GGAAUUUCUGCAACAUUAUAUUCUUGUGGAAAGAUAACAAAAGCUUGUAUAUUCAUAUAGAAAUGCUCAAGUUCCUACAUGAUUAAACAAUACUGGGAAUCAAAAUUCACAACGACAAUUAAUUAUUGGAGAGAGACAGACCGAUAAAACAGCAGUAGUCACAUAUAUAAGGGAUUUCACUUGGAAAAGAAAAUGUUUCAUGCUAAUGGAUUGAGGUCUAUAACCAUGGGUUACAUGAAAUGCACCAAAACAAAAGCAAGCCACACCUGAGAGAAAUAAGUGAAUUCCAAGAGUCCUCUGAGUAUUCUGGUUUUGCAUUACAUUAUGUUUUUUAAAAUAUGAAUAAAUAAGAGAGGAUAGGCUCAUUACUUAGUGGAAAAUGACUCGAAUAAAUCCAACAAGUAACUAAUAAUCCCGUAUGUAUGUAUGAUGAAAUAAGAAACACAUACCAAAGAAUGUUUGACCUGUAUCAUUCAGUUUCUGGGAGAAUACAAAAAAUAUAUACACUGAAGCUCCUAUAGGAAAAUAACUUUUUCUAUUAUUUGACAUGUAAGCCAAUAUAUCGAAAAACUAGAAAACUAUUUUGAUUAUAUGAUUGAAAAAUAACUUUCAGUAUUGUAUUUGAAUAAAUGAGUAUUAGUAGUCAAAAAAUGAAAUAUUAGUUAGAUAUGCUUGUUUUGAUCAAUCUUCAUAUUUUAUUUCCCAGAAUGAGUGUGUAGACAUAUAAAGGGAGGGGGGAGGGGAGGGGAGGAGCUAUUUUGUUAUUAUCUUAAAUAUGCAGCACAGAUGAAAUACGAUAGAUUGAGAGAAAUUACUGAUGGUUAAGAAACUACCUGGUCCUGAUUUUUUCAACUUCAAUCCGUCCACUACUAAAAAAUAUGGCAUCAGGCACGAAUUUUCCAUUCCUAAAACCUUGAUAUCCGUUACUAUUACUCUUUACCAACAGAAUAUUUGCAACCACAAAUUCGUUGUUAAUUUGAGAGUUGCUAAUAGCUACCAACGGAUUGUGUCGUAGAUAAAGAGUAAACAUUUUACCAACGAAAAUUUCUUUGGUAAUGUGUGAAUUUUUUACCAAUGAAAUUUCCGUUGGUAAAAAUCUUAACCAAUACCAACCGAUUUUUCGUUGGUAAUUGUCUACCAUUACAAUUGGUAAAAAUCAAUGUUGUAAAUAGUCGUAUAGGUGUGAGGCAUGGUAAAAAAAAAUAAUAAGAAAUAUUUACUUAUUUUUUUAUUAUUGUUAUUAUAUUUAUUUAAUAAUUAUAAAUUUUUUAAAACUUUUAAACAAUUGAAUUGAAAAGCCAAAAUAUUGUUUAACCACUUAUUGGACCACAAAUUUAUAGAGGACAACUCCAGAGACUUUGCUGUAAACUUCCUGAUAUGAUCCAGGAGUCGAACUCGACAAAGGCGAGUGCGAGACGAGACCCGUUGAUAGUCGAUGGCGGACCAAUGAACCGAUCAAGGGCAAAGAAAGUGAAACAAGAUAUGGGAUUGCUCGUUCAAAAAACCAUUGAUGGAAACAUGUUCGGGACUCAAAAAUGGAGCAACUUUCAUGUUCAGGUCGAAGGCCGAACCAGUUUGGAUCAAUUUAAUAUCGAAGGCCGAAGACGGAGGAAAUUAAGCCUAUGCGAUCGCAUAAGCUUACUAGGCUUGCGACCGCAUGGAGGCAUACCAAAACUCAAGAUGUGAUUUUUGGUUAAACCAUGUGACCGCAUGGAAAUACACUAUGUGGUCGCAUAGUUCAUUUUUUUUGGCAAAAUUCCUAAUUUUGGCAAUUUUGUUAGUUUUUGAUUCUUUUCCAUAUUUUGGGGAUUAUGAUCGACUUUUGCAUGAUUUUUACCUAGUUUUUAGGUUUAGUAUAAAUAGGAGUUUCCAUUCAAUUGUUAAAAACUUUUGACAUUAUUGAUAUUGAAUUAAAGUGAGACGUAUUGUCUUCUCUUCAUCGUUCUUCAUUGAACAAUUUUGAACUUAUCAAGUGUUAACUUGUAGCGUUCAAACAACCAGAUUUAAUUUUCGGAUUGCAUGAUCAAGGGGUCUUUCAAGCGUCAUUCUUGUUAGGUUUUUUAGUUCGACUUUCUUUUGGGUUAAUCCUAAACUCUUGGAUUAAUUUGGGUUUCUUGGGUUCGUCAAUCUCAUUGUGGGUUUCAUAGUCAACGUUGCUAUGGGGUUCGCAUCAGUUGGUAUCAUAGCUUUGGCUCCAAAUUAAUUGAAGGUUAUAUCUUUUUCUUUAUUUGUUUGAGUUGUUAAUUUUGUUUUCUUAGUUCUUCUUCAUUCUUGUUUUUCGUUCCGUCGUUUCGUUUAGUUGUUGGUAGUUUAAUCAUCUUCUUUCAUCAAGGAGUAAAAAACAAAAAAAAAAAGAGAAAAAAAAUUUGAUACUAUUAUUGUUUGAUUUUGUUUUUCUACCAACAACAAUUCCUAUAUUGUGUUUGAUUUUGGGAUAUUCAAUUGGGUUCGAUUCUUUCAAUCUUCUAUUGAGUCUAUUCACAUAUUCUUGUCAAAACAUUCAUCGAUUUCACUUAUUCAAGUCCUUUAAGUCUCGUAGUCUUUGAUUAAUAUUCGGUUUGUUUGAAUUUCCGGUAAAAUAAUUGAUUUAGUUCACUUGGUUCUUUGAAGUGCUUAGAGGGAGACUUUGAGUGGUAAAAGGCCAAGUGGUGAGUUUAAUAGAGGAAAAAAGCCAUGUUGAGUGUUUUUCGAGUGAAAUCUUUGUGAGGCAUAAAAAAAAAUUGUGUGAUAUGAUGUCGGAAAGAGAAGGUUCUAAUUCAAGCCGAAAUGGUAAUGACAACAAUACAUCGGAGGACAUGACAAGGAGGUUUGAAAGGGUACUUGGUGAUGUUAGGGAGAAGGUGGAUAGGCAAGGGGAAUGGAUGGCACAAAUGGGUACUACAAUUGCUACAAGUGGAGAUGUCUAAUGCUAGGGGGCCGGGUAGGCAUGAAUCUAGGAGAGGAAGGCAGGAUAAGUAUCGUAGUGAUGAGGAUGAUUUUGAUGAAAAUGACAUUGAUAUGGGUCGAGCGAGGCAUAGGGGCGAUAGGAUGGAAAUACGGGGUAGAAAUAACUUGGGAGAUGAAGUAGAUGAAAAUUUGGGGAGUAUUAAAAUGACUAUUUCACAAUUUAAGGGGAGAAGCGAUCGAGAAGCAUAUUUAGAGUGGGAAAGGAAGGUUGAGAUGAUUUUUGAGUGCUAUAAUUAUUCGAAGGAGAAAAAGGUAAAACUGGCGGUGCUUGAAUCUGUGGAUUACACGAUAUCUUGGUGGGAUCGAGCACUUACAUCACAGCGUAGGGGUCGAGAAUUAGCACUUGGGAUGAAUUGAAGGUGUUGAUGAGGAGGAGGUUUGUUCCGAAUCACUAUUAUAGGAAAAUCUAUCAAAAAUUGCAAGGUUUGCACCAAGGAUCGAAAAGCAUAGAGGAUUAUCAAAAGGAGAUGAAAAUUCUUAUGAUUUGGGCUAAUGUGGAGGAAGAUCAGGAAGCUACCAUGGCACGGUUCUUGAAUGGGUUAAAUCGGGAUAUUGCAAACGUUGUAGAGUUGUAACACUAUGUGGAAAUCGAGGACAUGUUACAUGUGGCAAUGAAAGUCGAGAGGCAAUUGAAGAGGAAGGGGACAUCUAGGCAACCGUUAGGUACUUCAACUCCUAAUCUAACAUGGAAAUUGAAGUGGGAUGACAACAACAAAAAUGAGGCUACACCUAGAGGUAAAAAUGAUUGGCAAAAGGGUAAUGAUGAAAAAUGCUAGCAAACUAAUAUCAAAAUUGGAGGCCCAACCAUCGCGCAAUCGGGAUAUCAAAUGUUUUAGGUGUUUGGGAACGGGGCAUAUUGCUUCUCAAUGCCUAAACAAACGGGCGAUGGUAUUGCGGAUAAUGGAGAGAUUGUGAGCGAUAGUGAUGGCGAGUUUGAUGACAUGCCGGCGUUGGAGGGUGUUAGUGAAGAAUAAAAAGUUGAAGGGCCUGUUGGGGAUUUACUAGUCAAGGCGAGCUCUCACUACUCACGUCAAAGCGGAUGACUUGGAGUUGUAACGGGAGAACAUUUUCCACACUCGAUGCCACGUCAACAAUAUGGUAUGUAGUGUUAUAAUUGAUGGUGGUAGUUGCACUAAUGUAACUAGCGUAUCUCUUGUAGAAAAAUUGGGUUUAACAUUGUUGAAACACCCUAGACCUUAUAAAUUGCAAUGGUUGAAUGAGAGUGGCGAGGUAAGGGUGAAUCGAAGGGUGUUACUUAAUUUGUCAAUUGGGAGUUAUAAGGACGAGUUAGUGUGUGAUGUGGUACCAAUGCAAGCGGGACAUAUUUUAUUGGGGCGACCAUGGCAAUACGAUAUGAAGGUUAUGCAUGAUGGGUACAAAAAUCGAUAUAGUUUCAUUAAGGAUGGAAGGACCAUUACUCUUGUGCCAUUAACACCGGCGCAAGUCUAUGAGGACCAAUUAAAAUUGAGAAGUGAGGAAGAGAGGAGAACAAAAGAGUUAGAGAAAAUGAGAGCAAAUAGUGAGUUGGAGAAAAAGAGAGAAAAUAUUGAGAUAGCCAUUAGAGAGAAAGAGAGAAAUCAAUCAUAAGAGAGAAAAGAAAGAGAGUGCCCCGAGAGAAGAGAGAAAACACUAGCAAAUAAAAGAGAGUGAUUUGAGGAGGGCAAUAGUUGAGAGGAAAGAGACGAUCUUGUUCAUUUAUAAGGAAUUACUCCUCAAUUUUGAGGAAACUAACCCACCCUUCCCUACUUUGGCUAAGUCUUUAUUGCAAGAAUUCGAGGAUGUAUUUUCGGAGGAUGUACCAAGUGGAUUGCCGCCUAUUCGAGGCAUUGAACAUCAAAUUGACUUCAUACCCGAAACUGUCAUUCCAAAUCGACCGACUUAUCGAAGUAAUCCCGAGGAGACUAAUGAGCUUCAAAGGCAAGUAGAGGAGUUAAUGAGCAAAAGAUAUGUGAGGGAAAGCAUGAGUCCUUGUGCGGUACCGAUUUUGCUUGUACCAAAAAAGGAUGGAACAUGGCGAAUGUGCGUGGAUUGUAGGGCUAUCAAUAAUAUAACGGUAAAGUAUCGUCACCCUAUACCUAGGUUAGAUGACAUGCUUGAUGAAUUGCAUGGUGCUUGCAUAUUUUCUAAAAUUGAUUUAAAAAGCGGGCAUCAUCAAAUUCGUAUGCUGUAGGGCGAUGAAUGGAAAACGGCUUUUUAAACUAAAUAUGAUUUAUAUGAAUGGUUGGUUAUGCAGUUUGGACUCACAAAUGCACCUAGCACUUUUAUACAUUUAAUGAAUCAUGUUUUACGGGCUUUUAUAGGAAAAUUUGUUAUAGUGUAUUUUGACGACAUCUUAAUCUAUAGCAAAAACCUAGGGGAGCAUUUGGAACAUUUAAAAUGUGUGCUAAUUGUUUUAAGGAAAGACCAACUCUAUGCUAAUCAUAAGAAAUGCACAUUUUGUAUGGAUAAAGUUAUAUUUCUUAGAUUUGUGGUUAGGGCUAAUGGGGUAGAAGUAGAUGAUGAAAAGAUAAAAGCUAUUAGAGAUUGGCCGGCACCUAAAAGCAUAACCGAAGUUAGGAGUUUUCAUAGUUUGGCUAGUUUUUAUCGGCUUUUUGUGAAAGAUUUUAGCACUAUCCCGCAUCACUCAUGGAAGUAGUUAAAAAGAGUGUAGGUUUUCGUUGGGGUGAUGAACAGGAACUUGCAUUUAAUACUAUUAAAGGUAGAUUGUGAAGCACCUAUUUUUGGCAUUACCUAAUUUUGACAAAACAUUUGAGAUUGAGUGUGAUGGCAGAUGCGUUGUCAUGAAGGUACGUAUUGCUAACUACUCUUGAUUCUAAGUUACUUAGGUUUGAACAUAUUAAGGAAUUGUACGAAAAAGAUGUUGAAUUUUCGGAUAUUUAUUUGUCAUGCAUAAAAGGGGCGGCUGAUAGGUUCUUUAGGCCUGAGGGGUAUUUAUUUCGAGAAAAUAAGCUAUGUGUUCCUAAUUGUUCUAUUCGGGAGUUGUUAGUAAGGAAGGCACAUAGUGGUGGAUUGAUGGGACACUUUGGGGUUCAAAAGACUUUCGAUGUACUGAAGGAUCAUUUUUAUUGGCCUAAGAUGAAAAGUGAUGUUGAGCGAAUUUGUAGUCGAUGCAUAGGUUGUAAAAAGGCUAAAUCUAAGGUUUUACCACAAGGUUUGUACACACCUUUACCUACACCUAGUGAGCCUUGGGUUGAUAUCUCGAUGGACUUUGUUUUAGGUUUACCUAGGACUAAGAGAGGUCGGAUUCUAUUUUUGUGGUUGUAGAUAGGUUCAGCAAAAUGGUAGAUUUUAUACUAUGUCACAAAACUGACGAUGUCACGAACAUUGCUGACUUAUUCUUUAAAGAGAUUGUGCGUUUACAUGGGGUUCCUAGAAGCAUAGUGUCGGAUCGGGAUUUCAUGUUUUUGAGUCACUUUUGGAGAGUUUUGUGGGGGUAAGUUAGGCACUAAGUUACUAUUUUCCACAACUUGUCAUCCACAAACGGAUGGGCAAACCGAGGUAGUGAAUAGGACUAUGACACAAUUGUUACGCACAAUAAUCAAUAAAAAUUUGAAGAGUUGGGAGGAGUGUCUACCAUUUGUUGAAUUUGCAUACAAUCGAGCUGUUCACUCUACUACGUCAUAUUCUCCAUUUGAAAUUGUAUAUGGUUUUAAUCCACUAACUCCUUUGGAUUUAAUUCCUUUACCUAAGAAUGAACGUGGUAGUUUAGAGGGCAAAAAGAAGGCGGAAUUGGUUAAGUCAUUCCAUGAAAAGGUAAAAGCGCAAAUUGAAAACAAAAGUAAGUUGGUUACGUCGCAGGCAAACAAAGGUAGGAAGCGCGUGACAUUCGAGUUAGGAGAUUGGGUUUGGGUGCACCUUAGGAAGGAGCGCUUUCCGAAUCAAAGGAAGUCCAAGUUGCAACCGAGGGGCGAUGGUCCAUUUCAAGUGAUUGAAAAAAUAAAUGACAAUGCUUACAAGUUGGACCUUCCAGGUGAGUACAAUGUUUCGAGUUAUCUGAUCUCUCUCUGUUUGAUACAGGUUCAGAUUCGAGGACGAAUCCUUUUAAAGAGGGAGGGGAUGAUAUGAUCCAGGAGUCGAGCCCGACAAAGGCGAGGGCGAGACAAGACCCGUUGAUAGUCGAUGACGGACAAAUGACGCGAUCAAGGGCAAAGCAAGUGAAACAAGCGAUGGGAUUGCUCGUUCAAGAAACCAUUGAUAGAAACAUAUUCGGGACUCAAAAUGGAGCAACUUUCAUGUUCGGGUCGAAGGCCGAAUCAACUUGGAUCAAUUUAAUAUCGAAGGCCGAAUACGGAGGAAAUUAAGCCUAUGCGACCGCAUGGUGGCAUACCGAAACUCAAGAUGUGAUUUUUGGUUGAACCAUGCGACCGCAUGAAAAUACACUAUGCGGUCGCAUAGUUCAUUUUUUUUGGCGAAAUUCCUAAUUUUGGCAAUUUUCCAUAUUUUGUUAGUUUUUGAUUCUUUUCCAUAUUUUGGGGAUUAUGAUCGACUUUUGCACGAUUUUUACCUAGUUUUUAGGUUUAGUAUAAAUAGGAGUUUCCAUUCAAUUGUUAAAAACUUUUGACAUUAUUGAUAUUGAAUUAAAGUGAGGCGUAUUGUCUUCUCUUCAUCGUUCUUCAUUGAACAACUUCGAACUUACCAAGUGUUAACUUGUGGCAUUCAAACAAUCGGAUUUAAUUCUUGGAUUGCGUGAUCAAGGGGUCUUUCAAGCGUCGUUCUUGUUGGAUUUUUUGAUUCGACUUUCUUUUGGGUUAAUCCUAAACUCUUGGAUUAAUUUGGCUUUCUUGGGUUCGUUAAUCUCGUUGUGGGUUUCGUAGUCAACGUUGUUAUGGGGUUCGCAUCACUUCCGGUGUGGGAUAAUUGAAUUACUUUCACCAACGGAUAAUCCGUUUUUAAUUACCAACGGAAUAUCCGUAGGUGAAAGGUUCAAAUGUUAAACUGUCAUAUUAGGUACAGGAUAUUCGUUGGUAAAGAGAUAUUAUCAUUACCAAUGGAAAAUUCAUUGCUGAUUAUCGUAGUUGAAAGUAAAUUACUUUUACAAACGGAUAAUCUAUUUCUAAUUACCAACGGAUUGUUUCCAUUAGUAAUAUUUGGUAUGUCACCUACAGAAUAUCCGUAGGUGAAAGAUCCAAAUGUUAAACGGUUACAUUAGGCACGGAAUGUCAGUUGGUAAAAGGAUAUCAUUGUUACGAAUGAAAAAUCCGUUACUGAUUAUCGUAGUUGAAAGUAAAUUACUUUUACCAACGGAUAAUUCGUUUCUAAUUACCAAUGAAUGCAAUCUGUUGGUAAUUUUUCGUAGGUGAAAAGUUGUUUUUUAGUAGUGAUCUUUGGAUAUAAUCUCACUAACAAUUUCAAAUGUGAUUUGAGGAACUCUAUUCCUUAAUUCAACCAGUAAAAUUUGCAAUUUCCUACAAUUUUUAACUGCUAAAAUGGAAAGCAAAGGCAUGGAUCCUUCCUCCACCUUCCAUGUCUCUAAGAAAUGCGAAGUCAAGAGCUCUAACCGUUUGAGUUCCUUGAAACCAGAUUUAACGCAUAUCAUUUUCUCUCCAGCAAUUGCGUUGUCUUGCAAUACUAGUACUUGCAAUUUUGGGAGCUUGUCCAAAGUUGCAUAGGGUCUUCCUUAAAUUCAAAGCCUAUCAAGACUAUCUCAAUCAGGCUUCGAGUGUUCUAUAAUAUAGUGGUAUCUGUCCAAGAUGCCCAUCCAUAUGCAAGGUGUGGAGAAUCUUACACUCGAGUAGUUUUCUAAAAACAAAAUGCCUUUUUUCUGUAUACCAGUCAAAGUUUUUUAUCCUAAUGGAAGGAUAUAAGACAUUUACAUUCUCUUAAGUCAGGUCCAUGCCGCAGAUAAUUUGCUCAAGAUCCUCCAUAAUCCCUUCAAUGGUCAUAGAAAGUUAUCGUAGACUCAUCAUUUCAAAAAGAUCAGCAACAUUACGCCGCCCAGGGUCAGAGUUUUCAAGUAACUCAAUUUCCUUCAAAUACAAUUUAUCAUUAUUUGGCGUUUGAAACUCGAGCGGAAGAUAUAGAUAAACAAGUUUUCCUAGCUUUCUCAAGAUAUUGGGAAUGAUUAUUUGACUUGAAACUCAUAGAUCAAGAGUUUCCAAGAAUGACAAGCUUCCUAUUGAUGAUAGCAACACCCCCAGAAUACAUCCUUUGAAACUCAAGUACGUAAGUUGGAUUGGCCAUACCAUUUCACUAGGUAGACCUCUCUGUUGAAAGUCAACUCGCUCAAAAGUUAGAACCCUCAGCAUUCUCUACCUCUUCAGUUUAAACAUUCUUCGAGACCAUUUCAACUUCACUUGAAGAUCCUACAGACUCAAGAGUAGAGUGAACUAAGAUGGUCAACCUUUUCAUUUCUUAACUGAUCAAUAUAAGAUCUAUCAUCUUCCUUAUCUAAAUGUAAAGCCAUUCUAAGUGCAGGAGUCAAUGAGACGGAAUGGGAAUUUCUAUUGUUUAGAAUCUUAAAGAAAUAUUCUUCUCCCUUCUGUAAGCAAUGAUCUUGCAUGUGCUCAUGAACUCUAUAAGACUUGUAUUUUCUCAAAGAUGGAGUUUCUUCUUCUUCGAGCUCAACCAUGUUUCUCUGUACCAGAUCGUUCAAAUAUUUUUCUGCUAAAUCCAUCAUAGUUUCAUUUGUUUGACAAUCAUCUUGUGAUAUCCUACCCUUGGCCAUCCAUUGAAGAUACAGACGCUCCACUUCUAUCUUCGAACCCUUUGGAAACAAGCCCAAAUAAAGAAAAUACGGUUUCAAGUGAUACGGUAAAUCAUCAGAAAUUAAACCUGAGAUUGAUUUUUGCAAUAUAAUUUGUUCAACUGGUAGUCCUUUACUGGUUAUUAAAUUGAUAUCUUGAACAACCAUCUUCCAUUCUUGUGAUGUAUGCUUUUUAGCUAAAACUUCUCCGACUGCAACUAUAGCUGAUGGCAAGCCUGAGCACAACCUCAAUACUUCGUCCAUUAUAUCCUCCUUGAACAAAUUCUCUUCUGCAUAUGUUAUACAAUAAUUGUUGAGAAAAUCCUCAAUAUAUUCGGUAAUCAUGAAACAAUGAGACCAUUACGGUUCAUUUCCAUUAUAUUGCUUGCGUCAGCUCUUAAUAUACAAUAAAGAUCAGCAAUAAACGAAAUUCUAUCUUCAAGAGAAGCAACUGACCAUAUGAAGAGGAUAAAAAUGAUAAAGUUGAUAGAUCUUAAUAAUAAUAUGCUUGUGUGAUACCAAUAUCAACAUUACAUAUAUUGACUACAAUAAUCAAUAUCAAUUAAUUAAAAUAUAUUUUUAAUUAAUUAUUUCAUAAAUAAAAUUUAAUUAAUAUUUGAUUUUUUGAAGUUUCAAACCUCAUUUCACUACAAAAAAAGCAACUUUUUACGCCAUUCAUUUACGGCGUGUAUCCAUGACAUGUCAUAAAAAGAGACUAAUUAUGGCAUGCGCUAUAUGUAUGCUAUAAAAGAAUAAUUAAUUAAAGUAUUUACGGCGUGCAUCCUUUGCACGCCAUAUUAAACUAGCAUUUACGGCGUGCUUUUAAUGCAUGCCGUAAAAAAAUUGAAAUUUUACAAAGCCCUAAAAUGCAGCAUUUCUCCCAUUCCACCCCCCAUCAACUCCUCCUCUCCAUGACUUUGCUCGGUGUCUAAGCUGUCACUCUCGUAUCUCUCCGCCUUUCAUCGCCAAUAACCGGCGUCAAUCACUCUCGUCGCUCACUUCCCAAGACCCAAAAUAUUUCUAUAAGGUAAGGACUCUUCAAAUUAAUACCCACCCUGUCUUGAACUGAUUUAUGCAUUUUGAUUGACGAAUCUAUAAAUAAUUGGCAUGAUAGGUUGAAGGGAUUGAAGAAUAUUUGAAACCAAUGGAAUUAGAAACUGCUCAAUCAUCAAUUGAGUCACCGGUUAAGUUAGAAAAAACAUCUCCAUGUGCAUUUCCUACCAUUGGGAGGAGUACACAUCAGAGAAAUGUUGUUAAAGAGGAUGUUGGGUUUUGAUACCUAAUAACUCCCUGGGGAAUGAUGUAACCCCGGUUUUAUCUAUUAUCAAUCGGCCUUGGCCACAUGAUUGAUUUAUAUGUCGACACAAUUAUUGAGACAACCCAACCCACAUCCCUAUGGGCCAUUAGAAGCAACCUAUUGUUAAUAGUGUUGCUCAUGGUUCGUCCCACUUCCUUGGAGGACUAUGGUAUUAAUUUGGAGCUCAUUACUUUGAGUUGAGCCUUGUUUGGUCCACUAAAUAAACCUAACCCUACUUACCAUUUUUUGGUCACUUACUUGGCUUAUAUUCUCGACCUCUCUUUGCCUCCACUAUGAAGCAUAAUCCAUCUCUCUCUGUGACAUUGAUUUUCGGCUUCUCCUCUUCAUAAAACCUUUGUGGGAAUAUUAUUAUUUUUCACCCUGGCCAACUCUUUGUGAGUAUGUUGUAGCAACCAGAGGUGGGAAUAUAGGCGGUGGUCAUUUGGGUGUUGUCUCAACCGGCGGUGGUGUCGACAAAUUGUGGGAACUGAGCUCAGUUUACCUUGGUAAUUGUUAGAAUUCGACCCUACAACUGGUAUCAGAGCCAAGGUCACCAUCUCCAGCAAGAAAUCGACUCAAAAGGGCAGCACAUUUGCAUUUUUCAAAAAGGAGCCGAACCUGCAAUUGCAAAUUUCGGCCAAACUACAAACUUUCUGGCGAAACUGACCCCACACCUAGAACCAGCAGGCAGAGGCUCUCCUUCCAGUGGGGCGUGUGGUGGCGACGGUGGUGCGUGGCUCUCUGAUAGCGGCGCGUGGCGGCUUUUUCAGGCGAACCUCCUUCGGGCAGUUUGGUCAUUUCGAUCCCCUGAACGUACUGACAUUGUUCAUUUUCUAUUUCAGGUUACAUAGAAAAAGUUGGACAUUUAUGCCCCUGGUGGAUCGAUGGUUGAAAUUGCCAUAUAUUUACUGAAUUACUUUAGGCCAAAAUCGCGGCCCUAAAGUAGUAGAUUCGCAUCUCUCUCGAUUAUAAGGACUCAGACACAUUCGCUUUGAUAAAUUAGCUUAACCCUUUAAUUUCAGCAUUAGCAUACUGUGCUUUGUGUUAAAAUUACUGUGAAAUUUCCUUUGAUCUAUUUUGUUGCAUCAUAAAUUUUGCUGUGUUGUUACUUCCAUUAGAAUACCUAGACCUUACCCGUUUGAACGUUCCCUUGAUCUAAGAUCACGAGUCUUAUGAAAUCCUGAGAAUCUAGAACGGUGUAUAUUGCGGCUGUAGGAUUACUUUGUGUGAUCUAUUCAUCCAAUUGAUUGCUUCAUUUUUCAAAAAUGUCUUCACAUUUUGAAAUUGGUAUUUUCAAUGAAAAAGGUGAUUUUUCAAUCUGGCAACAAAAAAUGAAAGGUAUUUUGGUCCAACAAAAGAUUUCAAAAGCCAUUGAAGGCAAUUUUCUGGCUAAUUUUUCAAAAGAACAAAAAGAAGAAGCCGAUGAGCUUGCUUAUACCUCAAUCAUUUUACAUUGAGAAAAGUGGGAAAACUGAAAACCACAAGAUUUUUGGAAAAAGUUGGAAGAUCUAUAUUUGCUUAAAUCCACUUCCAAUAAACUUUACCUUCUUGAGUGUUUCUUCAGUUUUAAAAUGGAUCCUUCAAAGGAUCUUGAUGACAAUUUAGAUGUUUUGAAUAAACUUGUCCAAGAUAUUGUUAACUAUGAAGAAAUCGUAUCUGAAACCUACAAGGCUAUAAUCUUACUUAAUUCUAUGCUUGAGUCAUAUAAGGAAGUUAAAAAUGAUAUUAAGUAUGGUAGGGAUAUGUUGACUCUCGAGAUUGUCAUAGACUCACUUAGGAGUAAGGAGAUGGAAACAAAAGCUGAAAAUGAAGAUAAGAGGAGUGGUGAGUUACACAUGAUAAGGAGUAGGAUGAAAUUUAAGAAAAUGAAUUUGGGUAGAGCUCAAAAUAGUGGUGAUUCGAGUAGUGACUCGAGUGAUGAAGGUGGUAAGAUGAAGGGCAAGGGACGGGAUAAGUCUAGUGGUAGGCGGUGUUAUAGUUGUGGUAAGUCUGGACAUUUUAUUAGGGAUUGUUCAAAGAAGAAGGAUAAGCAGAAAGAUAAGAUGAGAGGUGAGAUGAAUGUGGUUGAGAGGUCCAGUUAUGACCCCAGUGAAGUUUAUUGAGAGAGUAAACCUAGUCACUGCAUAUGCAUCUGUGUGUGAUCCUUUCAGCAUGUGUGUGAUUGCCUAAUUUGUUGCAUGACUAAAUGUUGCAUUUCAAUUUGUUUGAUAUGUGUGUUUACAUGAAUUUAAGGUAAUGUGAUUGCUUGGUGUGAUCGUUUGCAUGCACAGUGGGUUUGGAUGCAUUAUCAGUGAGUUAGAUGUCUUUCAGUAAGGUGGAGUAUAGAUGCCUAGGGGUACAUGAUGUUUUUGUACCGAGGGAUGUAGGGUGUGACAUUUGGAUCAUGAGUGGAGAUGUGAUCAAAUGUGUCGAAUCCUUUAUCUGUGAAAGAGACCUUGUAUAGGUGGAGUGCGAGAGAGGCACUUCUAUCACUUCUGUAAGGUGGAGUCCCAUUAUCCACAUAGGUUGGGAGAAGUGAUGUGAUGAUACAGGAUUAUCCCUAGAACUUAGGAUUUAUUGUGACUUGCCAGUUUAACAUGAGUUGUGUGAUCUAUUUAGUGAGCAUGGUGGGUGAUGAGAGGAUAUAUGUGUUCUAAAGGUGGGAGUAACACGAAAUGGGAUAGGAUAGGUGUAGUGAGAUCUUUUGUGAGGUCAUUUAUGCAUAUGUUGCAUAUGUGUUUUGAUCGUGUGCUGAUUAACUUGGUGUUAAUCGGUGGUUCUGUGUGUAUGAAUUUAAAAGAUCUAUGUGAGUUAUCCUAUACAAUAUAUUUAUCGCAUGAUUAGUUGUUCACUGUAAGUACUUGUUUCUACCUACGUGUUCUUGACCUUAGCCCUGGUGAGUAUACGGAGCAGGUAUGGUGUGUGUUUCAAGUUGGAAACACGAGGUAAGUUCUAUGAGCCCAAUUUUAUUGGAUUACCUUGAUUUUGCAAGUAUAAACUAUGUGUUUUUUAUUGCUUGCAGGUUAUUGGCCAUCAAGGUGGAGAUUGUUGCAUUUUGAUACCCAAUAACUCCCCAGGCAAUGAUGUAACGCCAAUUUUAUCUAUUAACGAUCGGCCUUGGCCAUAUGAUUAAUUUUUAUAUUGACACAAUUAUCGAGACAACCCAACCCACAUCCCUAUGGACCGUUAGAAGGAACCUAUUGUUAAUAGUGUUGCUCAUGAUUCGUCCCACUUCCUUGGAGGGCUAUGGUAUUAAUUUGGAGCCCAUUAUUUAGAGUUGAGCCUUGUUUGGUCCACUAAAUAAACCUAACCUAACUUACCAUUUUUUUGGUCACUUACUUGGCUUAUAUUCUCGGCCCCUCUUCGCCUCCACUAUGAAGCAUAAUCCUUUUCUCUCUGUGGCAUUGAUUCUCGGCUUCUCCUCUUCAUAUAACCUUUGUGGUUUCUUGUGGGCAUAUUAUUGUUUUUCACCAUGGCCAACUCUUUGUGAGUAUAUUGUAGCAACCGGAGGUGGGAAUAUAGGCGGUGGUCAUUUGGGUGUUGUCUCAACCGGCGGUGGUGUCGACAUAUUGUGGAAACCGAGCCCGGUUUACCUUGGUAAUUGCUAGAAUUCGACCCUACAGAGGAGUAUGAAACUUUGUCGUCAAGGACUACUACACAGCGUUCAACAAGAAAGACAGUUGUUGGAGAAGAAGGUGAAAAGGGGGUUGCAUUUGGAACUCCGACAUUGGUAGCGACCACUAGAAGGAGGGCACAGGUGUCAACGGUUCGGAGAAAAGUGGAGACUCAAUUCAAAAAGGAGGAUAUUGGAAAAGGAAAAAAGACCAUUCCAUCAAACCCUACUCCAUUAGGGACUACUAUCCAGAGAAAGGUAAAGGAAGAAGAGAGUACACUGAAAAAGGUGUAUAGCACGUACAGAUCGAUAAGGUUGGCUGAGAAGAGUGAUGAGACACAAAGUCCAACAAUGAAGAAAAAUUAGAAACUCCUAAGCAAGAAUUGUUUACAAAGAAAUGGGUGAUAAAUUGGAUGUGAAUCUGAUGCAGGGAUUAGAUGCUAUUUUUCUCUUAACUUGUUCAAGAAUCAACAAGAUUUGUUUCUAAAUCAGCAAUAACUUUCUACGAUUGUAGGUAUUGAUACGAAAACAAUGGCACAGGAUAAUUCGGAAAGGGAAACAAUGUCUGAUGUCAAGGAUCCAAAGUUUUCGAUGGAGGGUAGCGAAAACAUGGAAAAUCAAUUAGACUUUAUCGAUGAAAUCCAAGAAAAUGAUGGUAUGCUUACAUACAGGUUGUUCAUUUUACUUUAUGAUACUUGAAAAUUUAACUGUAUAAGAAAUAUACAAUUACAAAGCUUAGUAGUAUCAAAGUAGUUAACAAUUCCAUGUGAAAUGAAUUAGUAAUUUUAUCAUAUUUGUAAUGCAGGGUCUCAUAAUACGUGUAUUUCUGAGGCUGAGAAUGCACUUGACUAAGGUGUCGAAUCAAAAUCUGAAAACUUUUUCUAAUUUCUAAUUAUCAAAUUAGUUUCAAAAAUUUACUUUUUAUUUAUUUAAACGUGUUAAAAAGUAAAUUUUUUAUCUCAAGAGUAACUUUCGACUUAUCAAUAACGGUACCCAAAGAGAAAUCAAUAAUCCACUCGUGCUGAUCCAAUAUAAUUACUUAUCAAUUCUUGUGUCACUUGGAUGCUUGUACAUAGUGCAUAUGUACAAUAGAAAAGGUACUAUAUAUAAAACAAUGUCUUUCAUGGCAAGUAUCGAGUGGAACAUUAUAGCACCUUGCAGACCAAAUGGUCUGAAUUGUAAUGAUCACAAUAAGUGGAAAUGAACCCAUUUUGUUGAAGACAACCCUAAAUUUUUUCUCAUAAUGGUGUUCCCAUUAAACAUUAUACUAAUUUCUUAUUUACGUCUGAAUUUGUCGAUAUAUUUGCAUUAUUUUUCAAUAAAUUUGAAGCAUUCCACAUCGAUUUGUGAUUGUUCUUCUAAUUCUUUGUACUAAAGAGUUGAGAAAAAAUACUUAGUUAACCAUCGAUGCCAAUUGCACAAUCACAUUCAUUCUUGUAUAGCACUUUUGAAUAUUUUGCGUAAUAUAUCAUAUAGUUGAUAUGGACAGUGUUGUACCUUUAUUUGAUUUAACUCUUUUUUCCACUUUACUUCAGAAAAUUCUCUAAAUGGUAGUAUUAGACAAAAUUAUCCAUACAUGUUUUAUUUCUCAACAGUAAAUGUAAGAAAUCUGACUAUAUUAAUUAGCUUGUUGCGUCCAUAAAGAAUUGCUCGCCAAAAACAGUUCUAGAAGCCGCAAAAGGUCAAGGAAAAUAAUUAAAUUAUAUUAUCAGACAUACAAAACACCAAAAUAGGGGUCCUGAAUUCUUAGGAAGUGAUUAGUGUCUAAAAGUGCUUCAAAGAUAUAUCAGACAUUCACUUUGUUUAAAAACACUAAUGUUAGUCUCUAAUUUCAAUUCUCUUGCCGUAAAUUCAAUUUCCAUAAAUACAUGGUUAAAAAUCAAAUUAAUUGAAAUACGUAUUUACAUACAUGUCGACAUGAGUAUUAUACAUUUGAAAGAGUAUUUAAUUGAUAUAUUUCACAUGUAUUUCCAAUUUAGAACAAGGGGAUGAAAAAAAUGUUGAAAAGUCAAGAAUAGUGAACUGUCUCAAGCAAGAAGCAGUUGUCGGUAAAAUGAUCAUAACUUGCGCUGCAGACAUUGAACCAAGGUGAUUCAAAUUGGGUUGGAAAGUAAGGCAUCUAUCUACAACUUUCAUGUUUUUCACGAAGUCAUAUUUGUAUCACAAGACAGCCAAAAUUACCGUGCAAAGUCCAGCUUGUUAGCUGCCGGAUACAGCUUUUCUACCUGUGAAGCAGCACUCAUUUUUUUUUGUAAUAUCUAGAGUUAUAUAGAUCCAAUAAACCUGAUAUUUUUACCAAUGGAAAGCUAACUCAAGUAAAAAUAAUUUAUCUGUUGAUCAUAAGUCCAAAUUCGCUUCACAAAGUAUCUGAAAAUUGGCAUCAAGUUGCAUGUUCUAGUUGUCUUGAAGUUGGACAGAAACAAGUUGCAUUGUCCACUUGCAUUUUGGAUGUUCCUUUGCCUAUAAAAGGGGACCUUGGCCACGAUUUUGAGAGCAUCAGUUCCUCUCCAUCGUAUUCUAGUUUCCUUCAUUUUCUUUGUAACAUUUCAAUAUGUCUUUCUAAACCAUUAGCUAGAGCUAGGGGUGAAACUUUGGUGAAUGCAUAGUAUUGUCCUUGAUCUUUCAUUUUGUUCUUCAAUGUUCAUCUUCUUACUUGGUUGAAGUAUAUGUUCUACAAAUGAUUUUGUUUUGUUAAAGACUUUGAUUUAUAUUUGACAAUUUUAGUACAAUAAAUGCUUAGAUGAUCUCUACAUACCAACAACUUAUUUUGACAUAUUCUCUCAAACAAUUAUCAAGAUCUAUCUUUUAGUAUAUUUGCGAUCAAUGUUUUAUCUUCCAUAUUUCAUGAGUUGAAUAAAAGAUCAAGAGUAAUUUCUACCCAUUUAUCUGAAGUGAAUCCCCGACGCUCUAGUGUUCUUCUCCAUCGUAUUUCCACCAACCAUUUACCACUCAUAGAAUAGUUUAUUUCCUUCCAAUUCCCUGUGGUUCGACCUCGGACUUCCAACUUUACUACUUGCGACAACCUGCACUUGGGUUUGCAACCUUAAAGUUACAGCAAGUUUCUGCCGGGGAUUUGCGUCAAGGAUUAUUUUCUUCUACUUUCUGUGAGGUUUUCUUCUCUUUCAUAAUCUUCAUAAAUCAGGUACACUCGUUUCUUUUUUGAUCUUAUUACUUUAGUUAUUUUACUUUAAAGGAAGGCCAAGCCUCCUUUGUUUUUUAUUUUCUAUUUAUUUUCUUUCUUUAAAGGGAAGGCCGAGCCUCCCGAUCUGUCGUUUCUUUAUUAUAUGGUUAGCUGUACCACCUAAUUUUUGUUCUUUACAUUAUUAUAUGGUUGGCCGUGCCACCUAAUUUUUGUUCUUUACAUUUAUUUUAUGUUAUUUCAUGUCAUAUUGGUAUCGUGAAUUUAAUUCUCCUCGUUUAGUUAAAGAUAAUUGUGAAACUUUCUUUAGUAAUUUAUUUGAUUCACCUCAACACUCACUCACAUCUUCCACCAUAGCUGAUAAUGAAAGCGUACAUGAUGAAAAUGAAAACCAACAAGCACAAACCAUGCGUGAUGACUUGCAACUUCCUUGAAAUUCUACUCCUUCAUGUUUCAUUUUCCCUCUUUAAUGCUAAUAAUUUUCGAUUCAAUCCAGGUAUGAUUCCAUUACUUCCUAAUUUUCAUGGCUUAGAAUCCGAAAGUCCAUAUUUGCAUCUUAAAGAAUUUGAGGAAGUAUGUGCCACAUUUAACGAUCAAACUUGUCCCAAUGAAAUUGUUAAGUUGAAAUUGUUUCCUUUUUCUCUAAAAGAUAAAGCAAAAACUUGGCUUAACUCUUUAAAACCUAGGUCGAUUGGCACAUGGCAAGAAAUGCAAAGUGAGUUUUUGAAGAAAUUCUUUCCAGCACAUAAAACUAAUGCUUUGAAAAGACAAAUCCAAAAUUUUUCUAAAAAAACAAAUGAAGCAUACUUUCAAUGUUUAGAAAGAUUUAAAGAUUUAUUAAAUACAUGCCCACAUCAUGGUUUUGAAAAAUGGCAUACUAUAAGUUUCUUUUAUGCCUAACUCCUGAAAUAAAACAAUUUGUAGAAACGAUGUGCAAUGGUGAAUUUUUAGAUAAAGAUCCAAAUGAAGCUUUAGAAUUUCUAGAUCAUCUAGCUGAAAAUUCUCAAUCUCGGCAAACAGUAAAACCAAUCAAAAACUCAAUCAGAUCUAGUCUUUCUAGUUCUAGUGGAGGAAAAUAUCAGUUGAGUCAAGAUGAUUAUCUAAGUGCUAGGAUUGCUAGUUUGUCUAGAAAGGCUGAAGCUAUGGAAUUAAGGAAAGUAAAGGAAGUUAAACCCGUGCAAAAUGAUGAAAUUUGUAGCAUUUGUGAAACUUUUGGUCAUCUUACGCAUGAUUGUCCUAACAUCCCAGUUUUCAAAGAAGUUUUACAUGAUCAAGCCAAUUCUAUGAACACUUUCAAAAAGCAUUUUCCUUAUCCAUACUCAGAAACAUAUAAUCAACAAUGGAGAAAUCAUCCGAACUUUAGUUGAAGAGAUGAUAAUCGUGUUCAUAUAUCACAACCUCAAGGGCUUUCAAAAUUUCCUUCUUUUCCACCACUACAAUCAAAGACUCUUGAGGAAACAUUGCAAUCUCUUAAGUAAGGACAAGCAAAUAUUAAUAAUCAAACUUCACAAGCCAUCAAUGAAAUCAAGAACACACUUUCUUCAUUGACCUCUUCUUUGCGUUCUCAAGAGAAAGGCAAAUUUCCUGCUCAACCUCAACCAAAUCCUUCUGGGCAAUUUAAUGUAAAUGCUUCUAGUUCCUCUGAAAGUCAAUAAGAAAAUGCCAACUCCAUCACGACCCUUCGUAGCGGAAAAAUUAUUGAUAAAACCAUCCCUUCAAAAGAACUAAAAUCUGGUGGGACUUCAAAGCAAGAAAAUGACAUUUCCAAAAGUGAGGAAAAAAUCAUUUCUGAACCUAUUGUUGAAUAAUGUCCCAUUCCAGCUCCAUUUUCUCAACAAUUGCAACAAAUUUCAAAACUCAACCAUAAUUCUGAAAUUUUUGAACUUUUCAAACAAGUCAAAAUUAAUGUACCAUUAUUGGAUGCAAUCAAACAAGUUCCUUCAUAUGCAAAAUUUUUAAAAGACUUGUGCAAUGUCAAGAGGAAACUUAGUGUUCAGCAAAAAGCAUUUUUGACAGAGAAUGUGAGCUCAAUCAUUCAACAAAACACUCCACCUAAAUUCGAAGAUCCUGGUUGUCUAUCAAAUUCUUGUGUGAUUGGAAAUAAUAGGAUAGAGCGUGCUUUGCUUGAUCUUGGUGCUAGUGUUAAUCUAUUACCUUUUUCUGUGUAUGAGCAACUUGGUUUGGGAGAAAUUAAGCAAACAACAAUAACACUUCAACUUGCUAAUCAUUCAGUAAAAGUUCCAAGAGGAGUUGUAGAGGAUGUUCUAGUUCAAAUUGAUAAAUUCUAUUAUCCUGUUGAUUUUAUAGUUUUGGACACACAUCCUAUUUUAAAUUCAAAUGUACAAAUACCUUUCAUUUUAGGUCGUCCCUUUCUUGCUACUUCAAAUGCAUUGAUAAAUUGUGGAAAUGGUAUCUUGAAACUCUCUUUUGGAAAUAUAACUGUGGAAAUGAAUGUUUUUAACAUUUGCAAGCAACAUGGAGAUAAAGAUGAUUGCAUGAAGUAGUUUUUAUUGAAUAACUUGUUGAUGAUCAGUUUAUUGCUACAUCUUUAUCUGAUGCACUAGAAUUUGAAUUUAACGAUAAUUCUAAAAAUUCGCAUAUAAUUUCUUUUGGUGAAUUCUUUUCAGGAGAAAAAGACAAGUGAUUGGAAAUCAAAGUUUGAAAAAUUAUCACAACAGUCCAAUAUAUCCAUGAUUUCAAGUGUUCAAAUGCUAAAGCUCGACUUGAAGCCAUUACCAUCUAAUCUAAAAUACUCAUUUUUGGGUGAAGAUGAAACUUUUCGAUAAUAAUUUCUUCCCAACUUGAUGUGCACCAAGAAGGUAAGUUGUUACAAACUUUAAAAAUGCAUAAAAAUGUUUUAGGAUGGACCACAGCUGAUAUAAAGGGGAUUAGUCCUUUGAUUUGCACACAUAAGAUUUAUUUGGAGGAAUAUGCUAAACCUACAAGAGAAAUACCAAGAAGGCUUAAUCCUGUUUUGAAAGAGGUGGUAAGAAGUGGAGUCAUUAAACUCUUAGAUAAUGAAAUCAUUUAUCCUAUUUCUGAUAGUAGAUGGGUAAGUCCAAACCAAGUAGUACCAAUAAAAUCUGGUGUUACUAUAGUAAAAAAUGAAGAAAAUGAGUUAAUUCCAACUAGAACUGUUACUGGUUGGCGCAUGUGUAUUGACUAUAGGAAACUCAACUCAAUAACUAGGAAAUAUCAUUUUCCUUUACCUUUUAUGGAACAAAUGAUGGAAAGAGUGGCAUGACAUGAAUUUUAUUGUUUUCUAGAUGGAUAUUCUUGGUAUAACCAAAUUGAAAUUGCACUUGAAGACCAAGAAAAGACCACUUUCACAUGUCCCUUUGGUACUUUUGCUUAUCGUAGAAUGACUUUUGGAUUAUGUAAUGCACCAGCUACAUUUCAAAGAUGCAUGCUUAGUAUUUUUAGCGACAUGAUUGAAAGAUCUUUGGAAGUUUUCAUGGAUGAUUUUACUGGUUCUGGGGGUUCAUUUGAUGAUUGUUUAACUAACUUGUAAAAAGUUUUAGUUUGGUGUGAAGAAAAGAAUCUUGUGCUCAACUGGGAAAAAUGUCAUUUUAUGGUCACUAAGGGCAUCGUACUUGGUCAUAUUGUAUCACCUAAUGGAAUUGAGGUAGACAAAUCUAAAUCUAAAUUGAUUUCUAAUUUGCCUACUCCACAUAGUGUUAAAGAGGUAAGAUCUUUUUUAGGACAUGCUAUUUUUUAUAGAAGGUUUAUCAAAGACUUUAGUGCCAUAUCUAAACCAAUGUGUAAUCUCUUAUCUAAAGACAUGCCUUUUGAAUGGACUAAGUCUUGUCAAGAAGCUUUUGUUAAACUUAAGAACAUGCUUACUUGUGCUCCUAUCAUGCAACCUCCAGAUUGGAAUUUACCUUUUGAAAUCAUGUGUGAUGCUAGUGAUUAUGCUGUUGGAGCUGUCUUAGGCCAAAGAAAAGAUAAAAAACCUCUUGUCAUUUAAUAUAGAAGUAAAACUCUAAAUAAUGCUCAAAUGAAUUAGUCCACCACUGAAAAAGAAUUGCUUGCUGUAGUGUUUGCUUUGGACAAAUUUCGAUCAUAUCUAGUUAGCUCACCAAUUGUUAUUUUUAGUGAUCAUGCAGCUUUAAAAUAUCUUCUCUCUAAGAAAGAUGCUAAACCUAGGUUGAUUAGGUGGAUUCUUUAACUCCAAGAAUUUGACAUCACCAUUCAAGAAAAGAAAGGACUAGAGAAUGUUGUAGCUGAUCACUUGUCUAAGCUUACUUGUGAUGGAUCAUUUGAAACAACAUCGAUCAAGGAUACUUUCCUUGAUGAACAACUUUUUAGUGUUUUUGACUUGUCUUGGUUUGUUGAUAUUGCUAAUUUUCAUGUGAUGGGUCAAAUACCAUCUCAUUGGAAUGCCCAAGACAAAAAAAAAUUAUUCAAAGAGGUAUGAAAUUUCUUUUGGGAUGAUCCUUACCUGUUCAAAUAUUGUCCAGACCAAAUAAUAAGAAGAUGUGUGCCAAAUAAUGAAAUCCAAAAGAUAAUUGCCUUUUCCCAUUCUAAAGCAUGUGGUGGUCACUUUUCUUCAAAGAAAACUGCUGCAAAAAUCUUGCAGUCUGGAUUUUAUUGGCCAACUCUUUUCAAAGACACAUAUGAAUUUUAUAAAGCUUGUGAAUGUUGUCAAAAAAAUAUGGGAUUACUCAUAAAGUGUCUACUCCUUAUCAUCCAAACACUAGUGGUCAAGCUAAACUUAUAAAUAGAGAGAUUAAAUACAUUUUGGAAAAAACAGUGAAUCCAAAUAGAAAAGAUUCGUCUUUAUGAUUAACUGAUGCUCUUUGGGCUUAUCGUACAGCUUUCAAAACACCCCUUGGUAUGUCACCUUAUCGACUUGUUUUUGGAAAGCCUUGUCAUUUACCUGUUGAAUUGGACCACAAAGCAUUUUGGGCUAUUAAAAUGUUUAAUUUCAGUUUAGAUAAGGUAGGUUCACUUAGGAAACUUCAACUGAAUGAGUUGGAAUAAAUCAGGAAUGAAGCUUAUGAGAACUCUCGAAUUUACAAGGAAAGAAUGAAGGAAUUCCAUGAUAAAAACAUUGUUAGAAAGACUUUUGAGCCUUCCCAAAAAGUUCUUUUGCACAACUCAAGGUUACAUUUAUUUCCUGGAAAAUUACGCUCCAAGUGGACUGGUCCUUUCAUUAUCUAAACUGUUUACCCACAUGGAGCUGUAGAAAUUGAAAAUCCAAGUAAUGGAAAUAUUUUUAAAGUUAAUGGACAUCGUUUGAAACCAUUUUUUGAGAAUUUCUCUAGAUUAGAAGAGUCCAUUGCUUUACAUGAUCCUGAAGAUUGAUAUCAUUUUCUCAUUACUUUAUUUUGUAGGUUUAUUUUAAGUUUUAUAACGUUGUAUGUUUGUUUUAGGUGUGUUUCUUUUAUUGUCUUUUUUUUCACUAAUGAAAUUGAAGGUUCAUUUAGACCAAGUUUAUGCAGACUUUCCAGGUAAAGCUCAAAACUUGUCCCUUUGUUCAAAAUUUUGCUCCUUACUGUCCUUCAUAUAUUUUGUACAUUUAAUCUUUACAUUAAGGAAAAUGUUUCAUUCAGGUUGGGGGGAAAGGAAUCGAAAAGUUAAAAAAAAAAAAAGUUCUUACCGACUGUUGAUAAUAUGUGAAAUUGAUUUUAUUUAUAAUGAUUAGGGGAUGCUGCUUUGAUUUAGUUUAAGCUUGUUCAUGUUAGAUUGAUUUACAUUGAGCACAAUAAUCAUAAAUCACAUAUUAUUUAUAUUGGAUAAAUGGAUAGAAUAUAUAGAAUUAACUAUGACAAAAAAAAUAAAAAUAAAAAAAUAAAAUUCCUACUCUAGGUUAGUUUGGGGUUGUUGAGCUGUUUUAGGGAGAUAUUGAGAUACUUGUGGAUUCCAUGUGUAUUAAAUUUUGUGUGGAUUGCUUAAGACCAAUAAGAUGAUAAUUAGGUGAAAAUCUAAGUUAAAAAUCGAUUUUCGAGAAUAAGUGUUUAAUGAGGGGCAUUGCACUAAUCAUUGCAUAGAAGGGAAAAAGCUGACAUGUUGUGAAGCUACCCUAAAAGAGCCCAAUGAGGACAAUUAUAUAUAUAAAAAGAGAUCAGGCUAGGGCAUGAAACAGAAUACGCACGACAAACUUGGAAAAAAAAAAUAGGUGCAUGAAAUAGAUGAUGCACUGCAUGCCUUGAUUAAGUCCCAAAUACUUAUUUUAGAGAAUUAGACCUUUGAUAAGAGAUUAGUAGCUUAGUUGAUUCUUGGAGAUUGAAUCAGUCACAAUUAAGGAGAAUCCUCAUUUAUUGAUGUGUUGAGCUACAAUUAGUAAAGUCUAACCAAACUAGAGAGGGUGAGUAAUAGUAUAUAAAUUUAACCAUAAAUCACACUGUGGGAAAAUAGUUACAAAAUCAAGUUUGGGGGUGUGUAUCCAAUGAGAGAAGAGAGAAACAAUUGACCAUUGAGGAUUGGGAUGAAUCCAAUUUGAAAAAGUAUGUGAUUGGUUGAAUUGAUUAUGCACACACACACGUUGGUCGAGUAUUGAACAAGUUAGACUAUGUUUUGGUAGCAAACCUUAGAAGUCUUUGGUUAAGCAUUUUAAAAUCCUGAGAUAAGUGCGACAAGCUAUUUCAUUUGAACUAUUUUUGAAUUUUUAUUGCUAGAGACUAGCAAUAUCUUCGUUGGGGAGUGUGAUUAGUGUCUAAAAGUGUUUCAAAGAUAUAUCAUUUACAAGGCAUUUUACAUUCACUUUGUUUAAAAACACUAAUGUUAUUCUCUAAUUUCAAUUCUCUUGCCGUAAAUUCAAUUUCCAUAAAUACAUGGAUAAAAAUACAAUUAAUUGAAAUACGCAUUUAAUACAUGUCAGCAUGAGUAUUAUACAUUUGAAAGAGUAUUUAUUUGAUGUAUUUCACAUGUAUUUCCAAUUUAGAGAAAGUGGAGGAAAAAAAUGUUGAAAAGUCAAGAAUAGUGAACUGUCUCAAGCAAGAAGCAUUUGUCGGUAGAAUGAUCAUAACUUGAGCUGCAGACAUUGAACCAAUGUGAUUCAAGUUGGGUUGGAAAGAUAAGACAUGUAUCGACAACUUUUAUAUUUUGUAAGAAGUCAAAUUCGUAUCACAAGGCAGCCAAAAUUCUCGUGCAAAGUCCAACUUGUUACCUGCUGGAUACAACUUUUCUAUCUGUGAAACAGCCCUUAUUGUUUUUGUCAUAUCUGGAGUUAUAUAGAUCCAAUGAAUCUGAUAUUUGCACCAAUGGAACGAUAACUCAAGUGGAAAUAAUUUAAAAGUUGAUCACAAGUCAAAUUCGCUUCACAAAGUAUCUGAAAAUUGGCAUCAAGUUGCAUGUUCUAGCUGUCUUGAAGAUGGACAAAAACAAGUUACAUUGUCCACGUUGCAUUUUGGAUGUUCCUUUGUCUAUAAAAGGGGACCUUGGGGACGAUUUUGAGAGCAUCAGUUCCUCUCCAUCGUAUUCUAGUUUCCUUCAUUUUCUUUGUAACACUUCAAUAUGUCUUUCUAAACCAUUAGCUAGAGCUAGGGGUGAAACUUUGGUGAAUGCAUAGUAUUGUCUUUGAUCUUUCAUUUUGUUCUUCAAUAUUCAUCUUCUUACUUGGUUGAAGUAUAUAUUCUACAAAUGGUUUUGGUUUGUUAAAGACUUUGAUUUAUUGUUGACAAUUUUGGCACAAUAAAUGCUUAGAUGAUCUCUACAUACCAACUUAUUUUGACAUAUUCUUUCAAACAAUUAUCAAGAUCAAUCUUUUAGUAUAUUUGCAAUCAAUGUUUUAUCUUCCAUAUUUCAUAUGAGUUGAAUAAAAGAUCAAGAGUAAUUUCUACCCAUUUACCCGAAGUGAAUCCCCGACGCUCUAGUGUUCUUCUUCAUCGUAUUUCCACCAACCAUUUAUCACUCAUAGAAUAGUUUAUUUCCUUCCAAUUCCCUAUGGUUCGACCUCGGACUUCCGAGUUUACUACUUGCGACAACCUGCAGUUGGGUUUGCAACCUUAAAGUUGUAGCAGGAAGGUUUUGGGAAAGUUACAUUGGGAAAUUGAGAUUGUGUGAACACUGUUUAAUAUGCACAAGAGAGUGAAAUUUUAUGUAUGCACUCAGGGCUAGCAAAAUUUUCUCGGAAAGUAUGGAUUUAUUUAUUCAAAUGCAAGAGUUUGGCUUUCAAGACUACUAAGAGAGGAAAACUUUGAUUAAGAAUCAAACUGACAUGAAAUUAAGAGUUUAAAAACAAACAAUGGGCUUUCAUAUCUGAUAACGGUAUUUUACAUACUUAUUUGGGCCUGAAAAUAUAGAUAUUUAAUAGUUAUUUUUGAUUAAUUAUGUCCUAAUUUAUUGUAUGUUUUGUUUAUUUAGCAAAACUCGAUGAAUGGAAGUAGAAUUGAAAGGAAAAACCGAAAAUGGUGAAAAAUGAUGAAAUCCAAAGUAUAGGGACUAAAUUGCACACUUUCAAUAGUUGAAUCGGAUUUAAGACCUCAAUUGGAGAAUGAUUGGGUCUAGUUGAAUGCAAUUAGAAGUAAAAGGAUCCAAAUGCACAAAGAAUGGACUCAAUCCGAACAGAGGAUAAAAAUCAAGGACUGAAUUGCACAUUGGUGAAAAAUAUCACUCACACAUGUGGGAACUUGGUUGGCAUGCCCACACUAGCUGAUUGAAAACCUCCCGAGAGCAAGCUAAGUCUAUGCACGGGCGUGCCAUGUAAAAAUUGAGUGACGGAGGACCCAACGUGUAAAUUACCUGUUUGUGUUAGAGUUCUUAUUCCAUUCAAUAUUGGUUACGAUUUCAAGCCUAUUUUAGAAUUCUAUAAUUAUGGAAUAGCAAAAUACAUCAAAAGGAACCUCUUCUACGCCAUUAAUAAUCUAUUAUCAUCGUCAAAUAUAGGCCAAUUCCAUUGUUCUUUUGAGAACUAAAGGGCAAUUGCAACUUUUCAAGAAAUUAGAGAUCAAAACCUUGAAAUUUUGGUGAAAAAACGAAAGGAAUAAUUGGAGAUUCAUCGAGAUACAAUUGGAGAAAUUCAAAAACAUCACGAUUAUUUUCACUUCUCCUUCAUCAAUUCAAAAUCCGGAGGUUUUAUUCUUCCAGUUAAACAUAAUUUCUUGUAAAUUUGUAAUGUUAUGCUAGGAUUUCAAUUACUAAGACUACGAUGUUUUAAUAUAAUUUCAAUAAUUUGACAUUCAAUAUAUAUUAAUUAUUGUAUGAUUGUUAUUGGAUUUAAUGCAUUUUCAAUUACUUGAUAACAAUUAGAUUUAUUUUGAAUUUUAUUGAUUUCGAGAGACAAUACAAUGGAUAGCACGUUAACAGCGAUUGUAAAUUCCAAGAGGAUAAAUAUAUACAUUUAUGUUUUUCAUGAUUUUUAUAGACAUUCUAGUGUUUUUAAUGUAUUCUUUUAUGCUUACAUCUUUCAUAUAGAUAUAGGAAAAUUAGAGAUGACAAAUUUAAUUGACGUCGAGAGAUAUUUUUAUCCAAGUUAGAAAUAUUUAUCUACAAGAAUGAGCACAUACUGUCAUGUUAUUAAAUGGAACUGAAAUGAAAUAAUGACGGGGAUUCAAGGUUUUAGUAAUUAUCCAAUCUAAAUCUAGAGAGAAUUCUCUUUCAAGCGACUAUUCCCUAGAUACACACACUGUGUUUAGCAUUAGAACAUUUAUUUGCAAAUCCCUUUUUUUUUUUUUAAUCUUAGAAAUAUGAAAAAUACCUUCAUAAUUUGCUCACUAGAAUUUGUUAGUUUAAUUAGAUUAAUUAGUAUAAAUCAUUCAAACAAAUAAGGCUAUUUGAUUUCAGUUGAAAUUGAUUAACACUAGGUUAAGUAUAUAGUCCUUGUGGGACAAUACUUUACUCUUCACUUUAUUACUUGUUUGUGAUACCAUAUACUUGCCGAAAAUCAAACGGUCAUUAUCCAAUUCGAACAAUUUUGCAAGGAAAAAGGGUUUGCAAGGGAAAAGACGAUUAGAAAAGCUCCUCAACAAAAUCAUAUGACUAAGAGAAUGAAUAGAAUUAUUUGAGGAGUUACAUGUGUUACCUAAUGUAAAAUUAUCUACCAUGGCACGUGUUAAAUUCUUGCCAACCCAGUCUCCUAUACUUAAUAAGCGGAGUAUUAUAUAAGUCGUGCUCCUUACAUUAAUGGCACAUGAAGCUUGAUGCACUCCAUAUUUAUGGCUAAUCGUGGAAAAGGCCACUGGAAGGCACGUUCGGUACUUGAAGGAUACAUAUAAAGUUAGUAUAGUGUACCGGGCAACAAUGAAGACAUAGAGAAUUCUGUAGAUUUAGAAUUUGCAGGGCAUCUAGACAAAAGAUGACCAUUGACAUGAAAUAUUUUAAAUCUUGGGAACUUACUUGUUCAGUUAAGAUAUUUAGUCAUCUUGUUUGUUAGACAAUGUAAACUUCUAAUGUACUUCCUUUUGUACAAUUUUCUUAUUUGGUUGUAUGAUACCCUAGCUCCCUCUACUCUCUUGUCUUCCACCAAUAUCCAUAUACUAUCAAAGCUUCAACUAUGGUAGAUGAUAUCAGACUAUCAUGUAUUAAUGUCUGGUAUUCUUCUUGUUACUUCCUUUAUUUUCAAUUUUGAUAUUUUUGGUGCUUGUACUAUUUGCUUGGGAAAUUAUUGUGUUGGUUGUUGGUUGGUUAUUGAAUUUUUAUAAUGGCGGGGACAAAUCAUAAUUCACCUGGGUCCAUUACUCUGAGAUUAGAAGAGAGAAAUUAUUCACGUUGGAGUGUUGUCAUGGAGAACAUUUUGAAGGGUAAAUUAAUUUGAGAUUUUGUAAUUGGUAUUUAGACCAAACUCCUAAAUUCCCUGUAUAAGAAUCAUUCCCUAUACAAAUUAUCCAUGUUUGAUCAUAAAACUCAGAUUUCAUGGCCACCAUCAUUCUUAAUGAAUUCAACAAUGAUGUAUGGUCCCAAAUCAUGAAAAUGCAGAUUGCAUGACAUGAGAAUCUUGAAUAUAGUAAAGGCAAAACGUCUCCUCCACAGGCUACUGAUGCUUCUGAUUCAAAGUGGUAUGUCGAAAACAAAAAAUGUGAAGAGAUGGUUGCUAAUUUCUAUCUCACAAGACAUUAUGAAGCGCUAUAUUCAAAUGUGCUUCGCACAUAAAAUUUGGAGUUCUCUCGCCAAAACUUUUUAUGAUGGGACAAAUGAAUUGCAACUCUUUGCACUAAAUUAGUGAGCCUUUUCAAUUAAAUAGUUUGGUUGUCUUCUAUUGAUCUAUUAAGAUGAUCUUGUGGAAAUCGUCCAAGAAUUAGAUCAUCAUGAUAAAAUUGAAAUAAAAUAUCCUGAUGAUGUUAUCACCUAUAAAGAUUGUGUGUGCAUAUUUUCUUGAAUGGACUGGAUGAUGAAUUUGAACAAAUUUGAGGUGAGAUUCUCAGGAAGGAUCUUGUACUAGAUCAUGAAGAAACAUAUGUAUCUGUAUGUUGUGAUUCUAUUUGUAGAACCACGCUUAACAUUGAACUCGGUCAUAUAGAGUUAUUUGCAUGGUGGCUCGUUGAAGCAAGCCUCAACAUCCUAAACCAGGUCAAGUAUCUAGUUCCAUCAUUGACCAAAAUCCAUCAUCUAGAUCCCAAAAAUCGUAGCCGUGAAAUUGCAGCAGCACAAUCAAAAGGCGUUUGUACUCAUUGCAGUAAAACUGGACAUACUAAGUCCUGAUGGCUUGAGAUGAUUCGGUAAUCAGUAUGGUGGGAUCAUGCCAAGGCACCUUAAAUGGAACUUCGAACCAAAUCACCAUGCCUCAAUUGCUAUGGCUGAUCCUUUCACUAACACUUCCAAGGAAGAAUGGAUAAUUGAUUUGGGUGCUACUUACCUCAUGACUUUUGACAAUCAUCAUAUUCAGUAUAUGAAGUCGUCUAAACAACGGUACUCCUACUGUUGAAGAAAGUUUUAUCACUUACUGAAAACAUGAAUUUAGAUUUUGUCCUGAUGGUUCCUGCCCUCAACCAUAAGUUAUUGUUUGUUGAUCAAAUAACUCAUACAUUGCAUUAUAUUGUGAUUUUUUUGGCCUAAUUCUUGUGUUUUUUAAGACACCGGGACUCGAAAUACAAUUGGUUACAGUACUGGAAGGGUGACGCUCUAUUAUCUUGAUCUAAUGCCGACAAGUUCAAAUCAGUUUGCUUAAGUUUUUUCGACGGAUAAAUCUAGCACAAUUCAGAAUUCAGAAAUUUGGUUUUGGCAUAGAUAUUUAGGUAAUGCAUCUUUCUAAAGCUCUUUGAACAAUUAGCUACUUCAUAUUUCAAUGUGACAUUUGUAAAAUGGCUAAAAGCCAUUGUGUUCCAUUUUCAACAAGUAUGAAUAAAAGUCCAGCACCAUAUAUGGUUAUUCACUCUAAUGUACGAGGUCCAUCAAAUACUUCUUCUCCUAGAGUAAAUGUUAGUUCAUUUCACUUAUAGAUGAUCACACCCGUACGAGAUAUCUUUGCUUAAUGAAAUUAAAAAAUGAAGUUAGUUCAUUAUUCCAGAAAUUCCACAAUAUGAUAGCCACCUAGUAUCAAUCUAGUAUACAAGUUCUCUGUAGUGAUAAUGGUGGAGAGUUUGUCAAUCAAGACUUAAAACAGUUUUUGUACAUUCAUGGCAUUGCUCAUCAGACUACUUGUCCUUAUUCAUCCUCAACAAAAUGGGCUCUGGAGUGCAAUGACCUUCACCUUCUUGAAGCUGUACGUUUUUCCUUGUUUGAAGCUCAUAUGCCUACCAGUUAUUCGGGUAAAUCUAUCACUGUUGCAGUUUUCCUUAUUAAUCAUGUAUGUUCCAGUGCAUUUCAAUUUCAUACCCUAUUUAACGUUCUUCAUGAGGUGAUAAGCGCUUCUGCUAUACCAAUUAUGCUACCUAAAGUAUUUGGAUGUUUAGCUUUCGUGCAUCUUUACAAACAUUUAAGACAUAAGUUGGGACUUCGAGCUGUUCAUUGUAUAUUUAUUGGCUAUGUCCUUAACGUCAGAAAGGCUAUUGAUGCUAUCACCCCUUUGAUGUUGUAUUUUAUAAGGAUGACGUGCUACUACCAGGUCUCCAAUUCAGGGAGAGAAUAGAAACAAAUUGCAGACCUUUAAUCACACUUUGGAAAUUUUGGAUAUUAGGAAUGGUGACAAAUUGGAUGAGAUUAUUGAAUGCCCAAAUGAUGGCAACUUUGAUAAUAGCUAUGAUUGCCCAUAUGAGACAAAUUGGGACAGAUUGGAAGGUAAAAAUGGUAAGGAUAUGAUGGAAGUGGUACAACCAGCUGCUCAGCCAUUUCUCCUAUCCACAAUGUACCUGUUGACCUAUUUAUCGAUCAGACCGAUUCUAUAUCUAAAUUUCACGUAAAAUCUAAACCCCAACUAAAGAAUUUGGUUUCUGAUAUGAGAAUAACAUGGGCUAAAAGUUACAUUAUAAGAAGGUAAGUGACUUAUUUUGCACUUAUCCACUUAACUUUCAUUGAAUUUGGACCCAUUAUUUUCAUUUGGAGAAUGAAAAAAAAAUCAGGGAAGAAUCGAGAGAAAGGUUAAGGAAGGAAAAGAAAAAGAAGAAGAAGAAGAAGAAGAAGAAGAAGAAGAAAAAGAAGUGGGUUUUCAAGUUUGGGUUCUCGAAUUCAUAAAUUUCUCAAUUGAUUUAGAGAGGCAAGUGUAAGUAUGUUGAAUUAUUUUGUUGGGUUUAUGGAAAAAUUUCUCAAAUUUGAAAUUAAUGAUUAUUGCUAUAUGUUUGAGGUAGUAAACAACAAAAAAAUACAUACAUACAUACAUACAUAUAUAUAUAUAUAUAUAUAUAUAUAUAUAUAUAUAUAUGGUUCCCCCAUCAUUAAAAAAUAUAUAUAUAUAUAUAUAUAUAUAUAUAUGAAAGAUUAGUAUUGAAAGGAAGGAAGGUUGAAAUGAGUUUGUAAAUCAGAGUUUCAAUAUUUAAUUUUUUGUGUUCAUAUAAUAUAAAACACUUGAAUUAUGAGGGACUUAAUAAUCCAAAUGGUCACUAAACUUUACAAAAAGCUUUUAUUGGGUCACUAAACUUUAAAAAUGACCCAAAUCAUCAUUGAACUUUGUAAAAAAUUUACACGAGGUGAUUAAACUUCAAAAAUCACUCCAUUCAUCACUAAACUUUUCAAAUGAUUUCACUGGGUCACUGUGCAAAAACUUUCCUAGGGGUCUUUUUAAAGUACAAUGACCCCAUGAAAACCUUUUUCAAAUUUCAGUGACGACUUGAGUGAUUUUUAAAAUUCAGUGACUCUGUGAAAACUUUUUACAAAGUUCAGUGACCAUUUGGAUUAUUAACUCAAUUAUGAGGUAUUAAAGUAGUCCAAGGAUUUUAGGUUUGAUUUUGGUAUUUUUAAACCAUUUUCUUCAUUUUUUGACCAAAAUUAGAACAAUGCUGCUGCUUUGAGAUCUACCCGAAAGGUGCCAUUUUUGUCAAAGGUUCUGGAGACAGUUUUCCCUAUGUAGAAACUGGUGCCAAAUUUCAUUAGGUAUUGGAUUAAAUCAUGUAUAGGGGUUGUAUAUGUACAAAGUAGUGGGUUUAAGAAACUAUGAUUUAAUGGAUUUUAUCAUGUGUGACGAUUUGUUAGUAAAUCAUUAAAGAUAGGAAAAGUUAUAGAAAUAGUGACGCAAGAAUUAGUAUAGAAGUUGAGGAAUUAUGUGGUGGAUUUGCAUUAGUUUACUUGUCAGGUUUUAAUUUGGGUUAUUAUAUCAUUAUUUUAGUAGUGACGUAAAAGUUUGAAAAUGCUCAUCAUAACUAAAUUGUUAUAUGUAGAUCUAUGAGUGGAAAACUUAUAUAUUUUCAAAUAUUGAUAAAGUACUUAUACUAUUGUACGUGCGAUUAUGUGAAUUAUUUGUUCAAUUACGUGAUUACUAUGGAAAGGUUCUUUCACUAUGAUAAAUGUGGAACUCAAGAUCGUCUGUGGAUGAAUUUUGAAUUGAAAUUGAGAGAUGUGAUAUUGAGAUCGAUAAAAAAGUUAUCCUUGAUUAUAUAUUUCUUCUAGUUCAUAGAGGGACCUUAGCUGUGUUUCAUCUUAUACAGAGGGGUCUUGACCGAACAUUUAUCUUGGUCAUGUACAUAUAGUUAACAGAGGGACCUUAGUAGUGGUCUAGAAUUAAUUAUCAAAUGGGGCCAAAGACCCUUGUCGAACAUGCUUAGCCCGAGGGACGUAUUACAGAUUUCGGUCAGAGGGUUUAUUUUUGGGGACUAAAUGUAAUGUGAUGAGAUGAUGAUAUGGAUUUGGGUUGAUGAUUAUAUCAUGACUAUGAGAUGAUAUUUUUCAGUGUUAUAAGGUGUCUUACAUCUUGAUUAUUAUUACAUAGUGCUAUACUUUAUACUGUUAAAUGAUAUGAACUUGAUUUUCGAUAGAUAUGUAUAGAUAAGAAAAUAUAACUAUUUUCUAUAUUUUUCAUUCACUGAGUUAUCAACUCACAUAUUUUUUAAUGAUUUUUCUUACAUGUACCAAUUGGUUCUUGAUAACUUAAGGAGCCUGAUGAUUCUAGAGUUAUAGCCACACGACAUAUUAAGUAAUAUGAGUCAUUUGGAUUAUGUAAUGCCCCGACCCCUAGUGGAUUGGAACGCUACUUACUUUACUUAGCUUAACCGGUGGUUUAGUAACAAGUGUAUACCUUUUAACGGAAGCUUACAUCUUCGGAUAAUAAUUUAAAUAACAAUACUUCAAAUACUUUAAACAAAAACACUGAAUAAUUUUUCAAAACAACAAAAUGUAGUUUAUUUGAAGAAAACAUAACUUGUUCUCGCAUUCUGCAUUAUUCAAAACGUAUAUAACAUUGAUGUUCUCGAAGAAAUGCAAUACACGUUAUAUAAAUAUUCAAGAAGAAUAUUUAUUUAUUACUCAUGUAAGGCAUAAAUUUUAUUAUUUAGCUCGAAAGAUAGAAUGAAUUGUUAUUGUCAACAUUCCAUAAGAAUUUGUAUUUAUACUCUUGAAGAUUAUAUGUCUAUUGUCUGCCUGAUGAAAGCACAACGUAAAAUAAAAAUAAAAAAUUUGUGUUAGUGUUCUUGAAGAAACAUGAUGUUAUUAAUAAUUUAAAAGAAUAGAUAUUAUAAUUUCAAUAUUCCUGAAGAAUAUUGAUCGAUUCUAUUUAAAUCACAAAAUAAAUUUCUAUAUUUAUUUACGUGUCCAUUUUUCUGCAUACAUAUUUAGAUAUUGAUGUUUUGGUCAGAUUUUAUUGCUCUUAAAGAGUAUAAUGAUAUAUAUCUAACAUAAAAUUAUGUUUUUACUCUUGAACAGUAAAUUCUUACAUAAUUAUUACUAUAAACAAUAAUAUGCUAUUGCUCCUAAAGAGCAUCACAUUGAAAUUUUAAUAUUUUAGAAGAAUAAUGAUCUAUUGUUCUUGAAAAAAUAAAAUAUAAUGUGAUCUCAAAAUAGACAUUAUAAUUUUCAUUAAUAUUCUAAUUAGUUAUUACUUGCUCUCGAAAAGUAUAAUUACAUAUAAUUUAACGUAAAUUAUAUUUUUACACUUGAAGAGUAAAUUAUUGUAUAAUUUAAUAUUAUAUGAUUGCUUCCGAUGAGUUUGAAUUAUAAAUUUCAAUAUUCCAAAAGAAUAUUGACAUAUUGCGUUUGAAUUAGCAAUAAUAAUAAUAAUAAAAUUUAUAAAGUGAUCUUAAAGUAGCAUAUGUUUCGAAUAUUUUGAAUUCAUUUUUAUCCCUAGAGGAAAACAUAUAACUACUAUUGUUAGAACAUUGAUUAGUUUGACGACUUGAAUGAUAUAUUGAUUUUAUUAUUUGGCAUGACCAGUUUGACCAUCAUUGGAUCAAUAACGAUGCGAAAUUAAAUUUUUUUUCAUUAAUAUUAAAUGAAGAAUCAGAAGAUUUUUCAAUCCAAUGAAUUCCUAUAUAGUAUUUGUUCUCUUUAUUGACAAUUGAUCAUUAAACAUCGCUAGCUAAAAUAGGGAUUGAAUUCCCUAUAUUUCUAAAAAUUAAUUAGGGUGAUAUAUGGGGCCCCGUCACCCACCAUAUUAACUAUCUAAAUAUUAUUUGUAUCUAAUAGAUUUGACACAAAUAUUAGAUGAUGCAUGGUAUUCGCAGCAUGAAGUUUUUCGAAAUUAUUGCUCAAUUUAUGAGCAUAAUUUUCAGAUUAUAUAAUCAAGACUAUGUCUUGUUAAUAUUAGUGGGUAUAAAUCUCAACAUUUUAAUGUGUUAAUUGAGAUGUCGAUAAAUGGUUUAACACUAUUGUUUGUUAAAUGCUUCCAAUUAAUUUAAUUGAGAAUAAAGUAUUCCCAUUUUUAUUUAGGGAAUUCUAUUACGCAUCAUGCCAAAAUCACAAUUCUCCCUAUUAUAAUUAGCUUACGGUCAGAUCCUAAUUUUUCCAUCUAAUUAUUUUUGAUAGUGUAGUAUAUGUAAAAAUUGAACACUAUAAUACACUGAGAUGAAAAAUAAAGAAUGCUGAGAGUAAGUACAUAUUUUGAACAAUUAUUUCAAAUCGACGAUAUUUUAUAACAUUAAAAAAAUGAUUAUCAGUUUAAUUGGACAAUUCUCUCAGCAUUAGGGGAGGAAUUAAGAAAUUGAAAAUAAUGUGUAAAUGCAUCAUCAUCUAAAUCCUUUCUAAAUAUCAUUCGAACCAAAAGUUCAAAAAAUUUUAUUUAGAUGCAUUUAAUGUUCAAAGAGAUCAACAAUAUAUCACACACCAAUUUUUGAUGCUCCAAUACGAAUUGAUGUCUUAGGGGACAAUUUGUUAACAUUAUAUUUGGUUAUCUAUGGCACGCCUAAAGCGUGAUGAUGUUCAAUUCUAAUACAAAAAUCUUCAAAAGAAAAUGGAGCAAUUAACAAAGAUGGUUUCAUUGAGAAAGCAUAUACUCUUAAUGAGUAUUUACAAAUAACAAAUUAUAAAACCCCAGAAGAGGUUUAAGUACCUGAUAUGUUGAAAAUUGAGAUAUCUAAAUAAGUUAUGUCAUUAUAGGAAAAGAAAUAGUAUCGAACGAGAAAAGAAAAAGUUGUCGACAAAAAAUUUGUAUAUGAUAUACAAUAUCAUAUGUGAAUCAUGAGAAGUCAAAAAAAUGCAUCGAAAUAUAUCGAUCGAAAUAAUGUUUGGCCGAAUAAAUAGAGACGCAAUCUUAAAUUGAAUUUACUAGAUAAAAACGAAAAUUUUGGACCUAUAGUCCGAAAAUCUAAAGAUAUAUCAACGGUGACAGAACAAAGCACAUUUCUCCAAAAAUGUUUUCAUACAAAGACAAUGCAGCUUAUAUUGCACAACUCAAAGGAGACUAUAUCGAAUAUGACGGGACGAAGCACAUUUCUCUAAAAAUUCUUUCAUACACAUGAGCUUCAAAAGAAUAGCGACAUCGAUAUCCAACAAAUUUUCUUAAGUGACAAUGUGGCUGAUUUAUUCACAAAAACACUGCCAAGAUCUACAUUCGAGAAAUUAGUUCAUGAUAUUAGAAUGCAUCGACUCAAUUUCUUGAGUGAUCAACAUUAGGGGGAGUAGCUGUACUCUUUUUCCUUCGCUUAGGUUUUGUCCCACUAGGUUUUCUUAGGAAGGUUUUAAUGAGGCCGUAUUUAUUUUUAAUACUCCAAAAUAACUGUACUCUUUUUCCACCUGAUAUAACAAUAAAAAUUACAAUUCAUACGAGUAUAUUGGUGACCUAGCGACACACCCAUCUUAGAUCCUCUUAUAAUCUUGUAGGAUUUCAUAUCUCUUUAAAAAAAUGAAUGUCUACUGGCAAUCCAUGCAUUUUUUAUUAGACAUAAAUGUAUAAGGAAACAAAAACACUUGCACUUAAAGUAUCUUACCUUGUUAGAAAAAUCUGAAGCACGUUCAAAAUCUUUUCUCCGAUUUGAAAAAUAUGUGAUUAAUAUAUUCAACGUAUGCAAACUUUAUUUCCAAUGCUACCUUCUCUCUCUCUUCCUUUCUCUCUCUCUCUCUCUCUCUCUCUCUCUUUACUUACCGUACGUGUGAAUUGGUGUGAGUAAAACUUUUCAUCAUGCCUAUAUAUAUAUAUAGGUGUAGGCUAGAGUAGAUAAACCAAAAUUUGAUUUGAUAGGGCCAAAUCUUGUAACAAAUGUCUACUAACAAUGUACUUUAUUAUUAACUUAUUCAACUACAAGAUAUCCACUAUCUCUAUCCAACCGUAUAUGGGUGUAUAGUGAAUUUUGUCGUAACUAGAAUAGUAGAAUAGUAAAAACAUGUGCCAUCCUAUGAAUCUCUAAAUGAAAACUAACAAAUAAUGAUAAAAAUCUCACCUCACACUUUUUCUUUUUGGAGAGAGAAAAAGAUAAAUUGAUUUAUAAUCUAUAUAAAAUUACAUUUAUACCAUUUUCUUUCAAUUGGGUCUAGCUUAAUGUGUCCUUAUCCAUAAUAACUUUUUCUCGAGUCAAUGACUUCUAAUUAAUUACGAGCUAUCUAAUGAAUACAAUAUUGAUAUACUCAUAAUUGCUCUAUCAAAAUCUAAUUUGUUUGACCCAGAUAAAAUCGGAAUUUAUAUAAUAUACAAAAUAAAUAAAUUUUUAUCUAUAAAAUUUUUGGGUUGCUACAAUCUACCCUCCUUAAGAGAAUUGCGUCCUCGAAAUUUACCUGCGUUAGGAUCUUCUGUGGCCUCUUCUUGGGCAAAAGUAAAAACUCUGACAUUUCCUUUCCUUUUUGGCUCAUCAUUCUUCUUCAAAAGGUCAUCUUUGUAGUUUUUGGAAAUAUGCCCGAUUUUACCGCAUCUAUAGCAGACAUGCUUCCCAUACAGACAUUCACCCCUAUGCAUUUUCUUGCACUUUGGACAAUGUGGAACGACUUGUCCAAAACCUGGUCCGAAGUUAGCCUUCUUGUUCAGUCCUUCUCCUUUCUCUUUGUUGGACCCAUUCCAUUUCCUCUUUCCUCAAAACUUGGCCCCUUGCUGGGGAGUUUGGUCAAUUUCCAACCUAUUUGAGAUUGCUUGGGCAGUCUGCAAUACUCAGCUAUAGGUGGUGAAUUGGUAGGAUGCUAGUAUUCCACCAAUCUCAGGACGCAAUCCCAGUUCGAACCUCUUUGCUUUCUUUGCUUCACUGUCCACUAGGUGUGGUACAUACCUUGAUAGUUGUUCGAGUUUUCUCUCAUAAUCCUCAAGCUUCAUUUUUCCUUGUUUAAGUUGAAGGAAUUCUGUCUCCUUUUGAUCUCUCAGAGCUUGGGGAAAGUAUUUUCCCAUCACUUCGUCCUUAAAUUAUGUCCAAGUUAGAGCACACUAUUGUGCUUCUGUUCUAGUACGAGAUGCUGACUCCCACUAGUGGCAUGUAGCAUCAAGCAACAUGAAUUCUGCGCAUAACACCUUUUGAGCAUCAGUGCAAGAUAGAUGUUUGAAGAUUCGCUCCAUUCCUAUUAUCUAUUCUUCGACUGCUAGUGGGUCUAUCUUGCCAUCAAAGAUUAGGGAUUUGUAGCGAUAGAACUGUUCCACAAUUGAGCUGAUGUUGUUAGCGUUUGCACCAUGGGGACCACCCUGUGUUUGUUGCCUACCCAAGUCUUGUACCGCAUUUAUCAAAUCCCUGGUGAUCGUAACUUGGUUUUGUUGUUGUCUUGACAUUUUAUUAACACAAAUAAAAUUUUAAUUUAGAAAUAUUUAAUAAAACAACAUAAUAUUAUUAAUAAUCUUUGUAAAAACGAAGAAUUUUUAAAAUAUAAAUUUUCAAAUCCUUACAUAUAGUAAUGUGAUCUUCAAAAUCAACUAAACAAUUAAACUUUCCUAAGUAUAUAAAUAACACUUAAUCCUAAUCCUUGUGAGUCCUAAAAAAAAUCUUCUUUUAUGGCAUCUCAUCAUCCGAAGUAAUGCAUGACUUUGACUCAGAAUCUACAAUCAAAUCAAUAAAAUUUUGUGGUUGGAUUUCCUACUCAGGGUCUUCCAACUCUGGUUCGAUAUCUUCCUCUCGGUCCUCUUUCUGGUCCUCCUCUGGCUCUUGCCCUAGUUCGGGUUCUGGUUUGGGUUCGGGCGUUGGUGUUUAUUGUCUGUCAUUCCAUAAAAUUAUGAUAUCCUCACAGUAUCCUUUAAACUCAAUCUCGUCCCAAUCUUCUUCCAAAUAUAACUCAUAAUCCAUAUCCCUCAUUAAGUAAAUCACGUCUCUCCAUUGAGAUCACAUAGUACUUAUAAGCUGGUAUAUCGAGAGGAUUGUCCCCUCAUUAUAUCCGAAUGAUCUUACUCGCUCCCACUUAGAAACGAAACCUUCAACAUGUUUAACAAAAGUUCGCUCCCAUCUUACUUCAUAAUUUAUGUAGUUCCCAAUGGCCAUUUCAGCACGCUGGAGGUAGGUUGGAUAAUUCCUAGUCAUCCUAAUCACAUGACAAUUAUAAUUUCAAAUAUGUGUAAUCUUGCAUUAUCAGUAUUUUUUUUUCAGUGCAUACACGAUAUUCUAGUAAAAUGUAAAAAUGAUAAAUAUAUUAUGCGAGGUGAACAUGCUUAUAGCCAUGCUAGAAAUUAAGAAUGAAACGAAUUCAUUUCAUACCCGGGAUCAACUGGAGAGUAGUCGAAUGGUGAGCGCCACAUGCCAAGUGUUUUUAUAACAUUAUUUAUUUAAAAAAAAAAUUACAGUAUCCUUUAAACUCCCUAUUUUCUUUUCCUUUCUUCUUUUUUUUUUUUAAAUAAUUUCACUAUAUUUAUUUAUGAAUUUCUUAGAAUAGAAAAGGUCAAGAAGUAAAAGUUCAUAACAACAGUAUCGUUAUUUAAAAUCACGUUAUAAAUGGUUAUUUAAACACAAACAUAUAAUACAUACAUAUACAUUCUUGAAAAUAAAAUCACAGUAAUAACACAUAAGUACUAAUAGAGCUAGAUAACAACCACAUAGUAUUUUAAGAAAUUAAUUUAUAUUAUAAAAAUUAAUAUAUACUUAAAGGUAAUUGUGGGCUAACAUUUGAAAGGUUGGUUUCAAAGUAUGUAUACAAUUACAUAUUAGUUAGGGCAUGUAAUCUCAUUUUACAUAAAAAUUUUCACAAAAUCUCACUUUAUAAUAUUAUUAUUAUUGUUGUUGUUGUUGUUGUUGUUAAUCUUUUAAUAAAAUUUUCUCAAAAUAGAAGUUUCAAAAUUUUAAAUUUUCUUAAAUUUAGAAUUGUCCAAAAUAUUGUCUUUCAUCUUGUUGAUUUGAAUAAUGCACAAUUAAAAGGCUUCCAGAUGAGGAGGGGGUCACAGACGGACCACUUAAAUCUCAAACUCUUCUUAGACAGUUUAGGUCUUUUUGACAAAGCCUUUCAAUUUUGCAAUUACGCAAUUCAAACAAUAAAUCAAAUGUAAAAUCUCUUAAAAUAUCAGUUUUUCAAAGGUCUAUUUUUUUUUUUUUUAAAACAUCCCCAAAGGCUGAAGUUAAAACACAUAAAAAUUUAUCAUAUGUAAGAUUUAAACCAUAGGCAUGAAACUAUAACAAUUAAAUUCUAAACUACUAUUACUCGAAAUCAAUUUAAACAAUCAUAUAUUCUUCAAAAUAAAGAGACAAAUGCAUAAAAAUAAAUUGUUAUUGAUUUGAAUGGUAAUCCAAACUACUACAAAAUGUGCAAAAUGUAUAAAAAUAAUUUGCAAUAUUCAAAGUAUAUCAUAUCAUAAUUAAAAUUAUAGAACUCUUUGCCAUGUCAUGUAAAACAAAAAGUUUUUUUUUUUCAAAACAUUUAAAAAUUUUUUUUUAACUGUUCACUUGAACCGUUCAAUUUCUUUCUUUUUUUUCUUUCUUUCUUUUUUUUUUUUUUACAAAACAUGUCUACAAAAAAGUCAAACCAUGCUCUGAUACCAAACUGUAACGCCCCAACUUUUUAUAAUCCGGAACGUUAUGAAAAACUCAUUUUUCUUUAUUUUAAGUGUAGAACUAUAAAAAUAAAAUUUUUUAUUAAACAAAUAACUGCACCAUUUAUAAAUCUAAAUUUAAAAUAUGAAAAUUUUAUCUAAACAUAACAUAAACUCUUAACUAAUUCAAAUAACACGUUUGGAACAAAAUUUAAACUAAUUGAUAAAUUUAAAGACGGGAAACUCAUUUAUUUUUCUUUUCAUUUGAUCCACUUGGCAGCCCACAUCACCGUCCUUCCACAAUUCCAGUCGACCUGAACUAACCUAUAAAAAUUUGUAAGGGUGAGUAUUCGAAAACUCCCAGUAAGAUACGUACAAUUUUCAUAUACAUAUAUAUAUAUAACAAUAAGAAUUACAAUUCAUACCAUCUGAUCUAAUGGAAUAUAUCGGUGACCAAGCGACUCACUCAUCUUAGGUCCUCUUAUAAUCCAGUAGGAUUUCAUAUCUCUUUAAAAAAAACGAAUGGCUACUGGCAAUCCAAGCAUUUUUUAUUGGACAUAAAUGCAUAAGGAAACAAAAACACUUGCACUUAAAGUAUCUUAUCUUGUUAGAAAAAUCUGAAGCACGUUCAAAAUCUUUUCUCCACUUUGAAAAAUACAUGAUUAAAAUAUUCAACGUAUCCGAACUUUAUUUCCAAUGUUACCUUCUCUCUCUCUUUCUUUCUUCUCUCUCUCUCUUCACCUACCGUAUGUGUGACUUGAUGUGAGUAAAAAUUUUCAUCAUGCCUAUAUAUAUAUAGGUGUAGGUUAGAGCAGAUAAACCAAAAUUUGAUUUGAUAGGGCCAAAUCUUGCAACAAAUGUCUACUAACAAUGUACUUUAUUAUUAUCUUAUUCAACUACAAGAUAUCCACUAUCUCUAUCCAACCGUAUAUGGGUGUAUAGUGAAUUUUGUUGUAACUAGAAUAGUAAAAUAGUGAAAACAUGUGCCAUCCUAGGAAUCUCUAAAUCAAAACAACAAAUAAUGAUAAAAAUCCCACCUCACAUGUUUUCUUUUUGGAGAGAGAAAAAAAUAAAUUGAUUUAUAAUCUAUAUAAAAUUACAUUUAUACCAUUUUCUUUCAAUUGGGUCUAACUUAAUGUGUCCUUAUCCAAAAUAAAUUUUUCUCGAGUCAAAGACUUCUAAUUAAUUAGAGCUAUUCAAUGAGUACAAUAUUGAUAUACUUACAAUAUCUAUAAAAAUUUUUAGUUGCUACAAUUUCCGUCUUGUUCGUGGGUUCCGUAGCGCUUCCCUACGAGGGUUCACAUCAGUUGCAACUGACGUGAACCAAUGUAGGCAAAUGCUACCCUACGUGGGUUCACAUCAGUUGCAACUGAUGUGAACCUGCGAAGGCAAACUCUACGGAACCCACAAACAAGAUGAAAAUCUUCCCAGGAAAGUCAAAGCAGGGUUUUGAAUUCGAAUUCGAUAAAUAUGAAACCAAGCAACCCGAAUCACCGACGAUGUGCAGACCUCUUGAUUACGCAGAAUUAUGGAAUCUCACCCGGUUGAUUUGAACACCACAAGAAUUAGAUCUUGAUAAAUUCGAAAAUUUUCAAUUGGAAGAACAAAGAGAGAGCAAUUAAAGUCUUUCAAUUAAUCAAUAUGUCAAAGGUUUUUUUUUUUUUUUUUUUACAAUGAAAAUAAUAAGAGUAUUCAUACUAGUCCUAUGAAUCUAGGUGAUUUCGUGCAUAAUCUCCUAAAUAUGGUAAGAAAUCAAUUAAAUAUAUAAUUCUAGCAAUACUAGGAAAAUCACAAAAAAAAAAAAAAACGCGUCUGAAAAUAACCAUGUGGUCGCAUGGUUCAAUUCCAUGCGGCCACAUGGAAUUGAAGUCCGGUCCCCUUCAACUCUCGACCUAGGUCUAUGCAACCGUAGGCCAUGUGUGUUGUGCGGUCGCACAGCUUUGGCUCUCCACUGCGUCUUCGUCUGCCUUUAACACGUUGAUCCAAGUCUCUUUGGCCUUCGAUCCCAACAUGAAACUUGUUCCAUUUUGUGUCCCAAACAUGAUUUCAUCAACGGUUGUCUUGACAAGCGAUCCCAUCACCUCUUUUACUCGCUUCGCCCUUGCUCGAGUCAUCGGACCGCCCUUGACUAUCAACGGAUCUUUCUUUGGGCUUGACGUUGGAUUUGACCUUGACGCUUGUGGCUCCUGGAUCACAUCAACCUCUAAUUUAUCCAAUUGAUGUCAUAUGAUCUUCAAUCAUUGUUUUGUGGUCCAAAUUAACUAUUAGAUGUUUACACUUUGAUCCCCGAACUUUGGAAUUCCUUUGUCUUCACAUGUUUUUCGUUCAUUUCUUCCAAAUCUAUCCAUGUGCAUUGAUUUCAACAUAACAAACAUAAUUAACACAAAAUUAUGCUAUAACUCAUUCAAGUCACUAACAAAUAUCCUAAUUCGAUGGCCUUGAGUUGAUGAGGACUUCACUUAUUUCGGGCUUCUACUUGGAUGUUAUUUAUUUUAUGUUUUAUUAUUUUAAUUGGAUUGUAUUUAUAGACUAGCCCAAGGCCCUCUUAUGCUUUAGGAUUGCUCUUUUUCUCCUAUAUUAAUGAAUGUGUACUAUAAUUGGAGGGACGACAAUGAAAUGAAAUGAAUGAUAUGCCUGAUGCAUAAGUUUUCUUCUUUCCCCUCUCCCUAAGUUCUUCUUCUCUAUUUUUUUGGUGCUACUGCUCUAUUUCUUCUCCUACCCUUCUAGAUUAUUUCCCCUUCUUGCCUCUUCCCCCAAAUCUAUCCUACAUAAUAUCACCUCUCGUGGGAAAAUGAUCCCACAAAGAAAAGAAUUGUAUAGUACAAAAUAACAUAAUUGUUCACUAAAUCAUUGAGUAAUUGGCCAUAAAAUUCAAAGCAUUGAAAACAUUAUUAAAAUCCGAACAUAUAAUCAUAAUAAAUAAGAAUCUCAAAUGAAAGAAAUAAAUGGUCCCAAAUAGGUUACGUUGUUCACCCUAAAAUUAGAUUUAGCUACUCAUAGUACUGAAAAAAAUAAGUUAUUAUGGAAGAUAUCACCGGGUUUUGAAUAAGAAUAUAGUAUAAGAAAUCAAUCUUGCAACAAGAUUUUCUUCCUCUUUCAAUUUAUGCUUCAAAACUUGGAUGGACUGAUGUUUUUCUCUCUUGAAUUCGGCUUUCAAUUCUUCAAUGUUAUUAAGGUGUUUUUAUGCAUAGAAGCGUCUCCCCCAUGUUUAUAGGAUGUUCUGGUACUUAUAUGGCUCCAAUUUAGGUAAAAAAAUAUCGCCCAAUAUCAUUCCAAGUUGAGUUUUAAUUGUAUAAGGAAACUUGGGAUUCGGCCAAACUUUUGUACUAACGCGACCGCAUAGUUAAAAGUUUUUUCCGUCGGAUAGUUUUCUGUAUUUUAGUCAUAUCUUUCUCACUUGAUAUUCGAUUGAGAUGUUUCAAAGUGCGUUGGAAAGAUAAGUCAAAGAUCUACAAUUCUUUUAGAUAUAGCAUUUCUCCAAUUCGAAUGUUUUCUAACUGAAAAAAGGGUAUCAAGUUGAGGCUAAAAAUUCGAAGCAUAAUUUUUUUUUGGCUGGAAGUUGAUUUGUGAGAAUAUUUCGACGCUAUUUCACUCAUUUGACUUCUUUCCUCAUUCGAUUGACUCCUAACACUCUCAAAUCUUCAUCAUAAAGUUUGACACAACUUUUCGGUAUACACAUUUUGGUCCACAAACUUUGGAUCUUACUCUUUUCCGGGUUUCGCUCUUGUUUCUUCCAAGUUCUUGUACCAUCAUUGAAUUUUACUUAUUCAACAUCAAACGCAACAAUUUAAACCAUAAUUCAUUUGAGAAGAAAUUAAAUAUUAUCAUUUUAAGGCCUUGAAUAAGUGUACAAAAUAUACUUACCAAAUACCCCCAAUCUUAAACAUUUGUUUCCUCAAGCAAAACUAUCAUCUAAAUAACUAUGAACACACAAGCACGCAAAAGAUAACAAUCAAGCAUUUUACCUCAGGUUUGAUAAUUUGAUGCUUAUUCCAAAAUCAUGCUUCAAGUCACAAUACCAAACCAAUAUCUACUCUUCUAUUGAAUUAAUCAACCAUAACUGAACAAGUUGUUUCAAUUCCCGACCCUGUGGGGUCAAAUAUAUCCUUACAUUUUUUGUGUGAUUCACUCACCCCCAAACUUAUUUUUUUAGUCAUUCCCAGUGUAUAAUCUAAUGUUGAAUAUUUUAUUACUAUCGUCACCCUCUGGAGCUCAAUUGGACGUUAUUAGUUGCAAGUUAACAGCUCAAUGAACAGGAGAUUCUCCAAUUAUUUGAUUGCUUUGACCGCCACGACUCAACUAGCUAAUUAUCCUUCGUAAAAAGUCAUAUUCCUUCAAAUAAAUGUUGGGCUUGACCAAGGUAUUUAGUGAUUUUGCUCUUUUCAUCCAUUUGCUUUUUCUGUUUUUCAAAAGUUUUUUUGUUUUAACAUUCUCUUCAUUAAGCAUUCUAGAUGACCCCUAUAGUAGGCAUUAGGCUAAUAACUUCCAAAUUAGAUGAUUUUACGGAACCAGGUUUUAAACACCCUUACAGGCUUACUGACUGACCCGAGUAAAAAGGGUUUCGAAGAGAACCAAUUUUUGUUUCAAGUGCAACUUCAUUUUGAUUGCCUUCUAAAUGACCCUUAUACCAAGUUUUAAAUUGAUGACUCCUAAGUCAGAUGACUUUAGGAUACCAGGUUUUAAGAUACCAUUGCAGACUUAAUUACUCGAAUCAUGAAGACUUCAAAGAGACAUUUUUAGAUUUCAAAUGCAUAUGCCUUGAUUAUUGCAAUGUCUCUAUCACACACUUAUUCAAGCAAAUCGACCUCUAACUUAAGACUUUUGCCUAGUUUUAUCAUGUUAGUCUAAAACAAUCUACACUUAAGUUUACACAAAUGGAAUCCACAUUCAUCUCCGUAUCUUCCUAAAACUGUAAAAUCACCUCCAAACUGCGCUAAAUUCGGUCUAAGAAUAAAUAAUGUAAUAUGGUUUAGGUAAAGCAUCUAUGUCCAAUUAAAUCAACAUAUCAAACAAAUGAAUCAAUUCAUUUCAUCACAGUGUCAAACUCUUUUCUAGUCCGCCUAUAAUAUCAAGUUCUACAAGGUUAAAUUUCAAUCAAUCUAGCAUGCAUACUAUCCACAGUUCAUAGAUCAAUACUAAAUCUCAAAGUAAAUCAUCAUUGUCAGCCAAACUGUCCAACUAAAGCAAAAAUUUAGGUAGGCAAUUAGGCAAUUAAUAAUACACCCCAAACUUAAACUAAACACUGUCCUCAAUGUGAAAUUUAAAGGAAAAUGAGGGGGCUUUCCUGAAAUGUCAAUAUUGCCUAUGAUGUUGUGGUGCCUUGGUGUUGAAUUUGAUCGAAUCUUCUUCUACAUUAUCCCCUAAACUUGAGAUUUAUCUCGUGUUCUCCUUGUCAAUGUUAGUUUGAGUCUUCUACGACGUCAAGUCUCUAAAAAACUCAAAUUUGAAAUAUUAGAUACAUGGAACGAUUUACUUAGCUCAAACAUCUAAUAACCAACUUAGUUACUAAAUGACCGAAAGGUAAAUGUGAUAUGGGUGAUGACUCCUAAAUAGACUAACAAAUAAAUUAGACUAUCCUAUAAUUUGAAAAUAAAAUAAAUAAAAGAAGAAAGCUUGGAUUGCCUCUUAAGAAGCGCUUCUUUAAAGUCAUUAGCUUGACUUUUUGCAUUAAUUGAUCAUGGUUGCUGGAACCAAGUUAUUCUAUCAUUGCGCUUUGUGCAAUAUUUAUAUAUGCAACCUUUUUUGCUCUCCAAAUUUUCAUAAUUUCAUUUUCAUCUUGUAACGUGCAAUAUUUAAAUAUGCAACCUUUUUUUGCUCUCCAAAUUUUCAUAAUUUCAUUUUCAUCUUGUUACAACUCAAUUUUUAUAUUCAAAAAUUCAAAUGUUGACUACUCAAGAUCAUAGUCAAUUAAGGACUAAAAUGAAUUAAAUAAAAUAAACAAUAAUCUAUCCAUAUUUAUAAACUAAACCCCCAAGGUUAAUGAUGGCCAUUUAAAACCCUUAAGUAAUGUCAAUUAUAGGAGUUGGUAGAAUACAAUUGGCACUUUGAAAACCAUUAUCUUCAUUUUUUCCCACACACAUAUACACUAGAAGCUAGAAACGGGUAGAAGGAGAAAAAAAAAAUGGCAGGAAGAACCGAGAGAAACUGAGAAAAAGAAAGGAGAAGAAGAUGAAAGAUAAAGGAAAUAUGAAACACUAGGAAACUAGAAGCUAGGAACUAUUCCAUCUUUUCUCCAAUUUAAAGUCCUGUUUGGCUGUAAUAUAAGGUAAGUUAAGAACUUCAAUUUGGUUGAAAUUUUUUCGAGUUGGGAGUAGUAAUAAAGAAGAGCAUGACAUUGAAGAGUGAUGGGAACUAAAGAGCGGUAUGUGUUUGUAAAAUUGUCAUAGAAAAAUUAGUCAUUAUGGGAGUUUAGUGUAGCUUGUUUAUUUGCAAUUACCAUUUAAUUAAAUGAACUUGUGAUUAAAGAACAAGGAAUUGAAAUGGAAAAUUGGGCAUUUAUACGUAUAGUGGCAAACAUGUAUGUAAGAAACAAGGAAAGGAAAUUGAAUAGGUAGAAAGACAGUUGAAAAUUUUAUAUGCAUAAAAGUAAGAAGAUGUUGGGUUCUUGCUUCAGCAACCAAACUCGAAAAGGAAAGAAAUGUUUUGUGUCAUUUUAUUAAUACUUUGGAAUGGGAAAUUGUGUAUAUAUUAGCAUAUGGAUAUGUGUGCUCACUUGACUAAAACGGGAAGAUAAAAAGAAAUGAGUAAUAGUUGAGAUUUUGAGGUUUGGCUGAUUUUUCAGGUUGGUUUUGUCCAUGUUUAAGGGGAAACUUUGUCAAAUUUUUUAUAGAAAUAUGUCACAGUCAAAGCAGGUCAAGUUUGCCUUGGUGGUGGGUCUAGCAUUUAGCUGGCAUCUACCAUUGGAGCACGACAUGUGUCAAGUCAAUUAGGUUGAAUCGGGACGGGUCGUGUCACAUCUCUACCAAAAAGUCCUCCAAAAUUUGGUUUUCUUUCCUAACAGCUUCGUUGAUCAGGUGUCUCUUCUUCAUCAAUUCUACAACAACUUUUGAUUUGGGAGUUGGCUCAUAUUGAGUAUAAAUAUUGAAUAUGUCUUGCUUGUCCUCCAUCCUCAAUACCAACUCACCAUUCUCCAUGCCAAUUAGGGUUCGUCCCAUUGCUAAGAAUGGAAAUAUCUCGAUCUUCUGGUAUGUCCAGGAAAUAUAAAGUUUCCUACUUGUACGAAUACAUCCUCAGCUUUGCCACGUAGGCUUACAAUUGUUCUAUCAGCUAGUUGUAGCAUUAUUGAUGUUGAUUUGGCUUUACCUAGUUCCAAUUUUCCGUAAACGGAAUAUGACAUUAGGUUGGUACUUGCACUUGUGUCACAAAAUGCUUUAACUGAAUAGGGAUUUCCAAUUGAAACUAGCAAAGUAAAACUCCCUGGAUCCUUCAACUUAAGAGACAAUUUUUCAUGACCCUUGUAUUACUUUUCUCAGUUAAUGCCACAGUCUCAAAUUCUAGAAUCCUAUUUUCUUUGUCAACAUCUCUUUCAAAAACUUCGCGUAGCUUGAAAUUUGUAAUAUUACAUCAAUGAAUGGAAUAUUAAUCUGGAGCUUUUUGAGAGCAUCAAGAAAAUUUUUGUAAUUUGUGUCUUGUUUGUUCUUCUUAAGCCUUUGAAGAAAUGGAAUGGGAGACAUAUAAGUUUUGACUGGACUCGUUGCCUUGGUAAUAGAUGUUUCUGCACUUACUUUAUUUUUCGUUGAGGUUGGUGCAGAUUUUCCACCUUGGUAGAUUCAUCAAUCACAUUCUGGUCAUCUUCACCUUCUGAUCUCUUUGCAUUAAUUUUUGACGAUUAUACCUCACCCUUUGUAGCUAUAUAUGAAUAUUUUGCUCUGUUGAAUUCUUUUAAAGUCUUUGGGGAAAUGGAAGUGAGGGUACAUAUACUUUAACGUUCGUAGAGGCCCUAGGUAGAUUGUUUUCCACUACUCUAAUUACCAUCACCUGUUCUUUAGGAUUUAUCAUUGUAUUGUUGCACUAUUUGACCAAUUUGUUUCUCCAGUUUCUUGAAGGAUGCAUGCUGAUUUUGAAAGUUUGUGUCAAUUUGCUAAACACAUUGUCUGUCUUCAGCAUAUAUUGAUUGAACAUCUCACCCAAACUUGGUUUUUCUUUGGUUGAGUAUUAUUUGAUCUAUUCCCUUGUUGAUUAUCUGACCAUCUGAAGUCUGGGUAUUGCCUCCACCCUGGGUUAAAUGCUUGUGAAAAUGGAUUAAAAUUUCGAUAGUCAUUCUGAACGCAGUUGACUUGAUGAUUGUCUGACCAUCUGAAGUCUGGGUAUUGCCUCCAUCCUUGUUGAUUAUCUGACCAUCCCAUAAACGUUCAGUUUUCUGUCAGAUGAUUGGCUCUGCAAUUCUCACAUGAUGGAUAGCUAUCAUUGCAUUUGCUCCAUGUGUUCGCAAUUUUACAAAUAACUAUACCUAUUUUAUUAAAGCUGUUAUCAAUGCAUUGGUAGAUGUUGUGUUGUCUAAUUCAUAUUUUCUAGCUGCCUUUGGUGGUACUACUCUUUCUGAUGAAAACAUUGAAUGUAUGGUGACAAUUAACUCAAAAGAUACAUGGUUUGUUGCACUGAUUUUCCUAUGAUUGAUCUGGCAGUAGAGGCAUCCACAUGAGAUUUUUACAAUAGUGUAAGUCCGGUGUAUAAAUACUUUAGUUGGUUUCCUAUAGUGAUUCCAUAGUUUGGACACUUUAUCAUCAGCUCAUUAAAUCUAUUCCAUGCCUCAUGAUAGCUCCCCUUCUCUUUGUUGAAAAGUUUGAAUUUCCAACGUGAUUUUUGCUACUUUCGUCUGUGAGCAGAAUUUUCUAGUCAAUUCUUCCCAUCUAGUAAUGCUUCCAUGAGGUUUGAUAUCUUACCACUCCAAUGCAGCAUCUCUCAGUGUAAAUGAAAAUAAUCAUAAUUUAAUGGCGCCUUCAUUAACCACUAAAGCAUGGAAGUUUAGACAUUUUCUAAGAAAUUUGGGGAUAUCUGUGUUCGAAUUUUUAUGAGGUAACACGUAGAAUUGGAGAUUGUUGCUCAUCAAGUUAAUUCAAUCUAGCCUAAUCUGAAAAUUAAUCAUCCCAAAAUCUAGAUACAUAAUACUGGAGCGCGCGAUGCUGCUUAAGUGUUAGGAACAUUGAGACUGGAAAAUCUCCUUCAUUUACUUUCCCUUGCUCUUGCCGUUAUUCUUAUGGCGUGGUUUCUCUCACGACCACUUGUCCAAUUGGUUGAAUAGGUAUAGAAAUAUGUCGAUUGUCGACCAUUUGAUGUUAUUGUUUUUCUUUGUGUUCUUUGCUUCUUCAUUAGAAAGUACGUUCUAUCUCCGAAUCAAAUGAUUCAAAAUCAUCGCCUUGGGCAUGAAGCAUACAACGAACAUAGUUUUCUGUAAAUAAAAGAAAAUAAACAAAUAAAAUAAUAGUUAAAGAAUAAAAUAAAUUAAGAAUGAAAGUACAUAGUCUCCGAUAACGGCGUUAAAAACUUGCUAUCAAUUUUAUAUCCGCAAGUGUAUGGAUCAUAACAAGUAGUAAAGUGGACCUUUUGAGUCCAAAUUAUCGUUCCCACGAGGACUCUACUUUAAUACUCAAUUUGUUAUUUCUAACUUCUAUUUGAUGAAAAUAAACAAGGACAAUGAUUGAUUAUGAUUUUGAAUCUAACUACCUAAUAAUACGUGGAUGCGCACAAAGAAUGAUUGAGAAUUAAAAUAAAUAAAUGGAUAUUAGGGUGGAACAAUUUCAUCGAUUGAUCACCUCUAAGUCUUAAAUCAAGAUUCAUAAAACCUAGGGGAGUGUUUGGUCGAGUUGUCCAGUUGUAUUCAAUUUACCCCUCUCGAGUUCUCGUUGAGCCUAUUUAACUACUUCAAUUCCAUAUCUCUAUGCGAACCAAGCUUAGGUAAAUGAAAUAGUAUUUCUAAAAAUUCAUUUUUGACCGUAGUAAUAAAUAUAUAUAUAUAUAUAUAUCUCUGCACAUUAUAUUAAUUUAUGAAAUUUUAAUGUAUGGUCUAAACAAAGAAUCCGCAUCUAUACAUAAUUAUUUUUCACUAAAUUACUGAAUAAUUGGCUGAAAAAUUCGAAGCAUUGAGAAAAUGAUUAAAAUCCACACAUAUAAUCGUAAUGAACAAGAAUAUCAAAUAGAAGAAAUAAAGGGUCCCAAAUAGGUUAUAUUGUUCGCCCGAAAAUUAGAUUUAGGUACUCAUAGUAAUUAAAAAAAAAAAAAAAAGUUAUUGUGGAAGGCAUCAUUGGGUUUUGAAUAAGAAUAUAGAAGAAGAAACCAAUCUUGCACCAAGAUCUUCUUCAUCUUCCAAUUUAUGCUUCAAAACUUGGAUUGCUUGAUGUUUUUCUCCCUUGAAUUCGGCCUUCAAUUCUCCAAUGUUUUUAAAGUGUUUUUAUGCAUAAAAGAGGCUUCCCCAAGUGUAUGGGACAUUUUGGUACUUAUAUGGAUCCAAUUUAGGUAAAAAAAAACAUAUCGCCUAAUAUCAUUCCAAGUUGAGUUUUAAUUGUAUAAGGAAACUUGGGAUUUAGCCAAACUUUUGUACUAUGCUACCGCACAAUACAUUACCAUGCUACCGCAUAGAUCACUUUCUGGACUCCAAAUAAUUCUCUGCAUGCAUAGAUGCGACCGCAUGAUUUUAUAAUUAUGCAACCGCAUAGUUAUAAGCUUUCCCGUCAGACAGUUUUUAGUAUUUUUGUCAUAUCUUCCUCUCUGAACAUCCGAUUGAGAUGAUUCAAAAUACAUUGGAAAGAUAAUUCAAAGAGUUAGAAUUAUUCUGGAAUAGUAUUUCUCCAAUUCAAACUUUCUCUAACCGAAAAAUGGGUAUAAAUUUGAGGCUAAAAGUUCGAAGGAUAAUUUUUUUGGCCGGAAGUUGAUUUGUGAGAAUACUUUGACACUAUUUCACUCCUUUGACUUCUUUCCUCAUCCGAUUGACUCCUAACACUCUUGAAUCUUCUUCGUAAAGUUUGACACAACUUUUGAGUAUUUAUAUUUUUGUCUUCGAAUUUUGGAUCUUGCUCUUUUAUGGGUUCUCCUCUUGUUUCAUCCAAUUUAUUGUACUAUCAUCGAAUUUUACCUAUUCAACAUCAAAUACAACAAUUUAGACCAUAAUUCAUUCAAGAAGCAAUUAAAUAUUAUCGUUUUAAGGCCUUGAAUUACUCUUAUCAAUUUGUAACCAAGCAGUGGUCUUCACACCGUCCUAGAGAGAGUUGUCAUGGACGAAAAAUAAGCACUGGACUCAGGUGUAACAGAUACAGAUCUGAACAGACAAAAAAUGCUUCCCCAAACAGGAAUGAGAAAAGGCUCAUUUGAGAAUUCAAGAAUGCAACCAUGUACCUUCUUCGGACACAUUAAAGUAGUAUUGAGGAUAAAAAAAACCAAAGAAAAUCAGUUACAUGACCCCAUCCGUGAUGUUAAUGUGGAACAGAAGAUGAAUUGGUUAGUACACUUGAUUUAAAUAGAAGAGGAAUUGAGAUUGAAAUUGUUGAUUGUUUUGGAAAGAUGAAUGCUAAAGCCUACCUCGAUAGAUUGACAAAGAGGAGCUCAAAGUAAUCUGGAGGUGGGCAAAGAAUAUGAAAAGGUCUUCUCAUCAGAGUCGAGUUUGCCAACACAAUGAGGAUGAAAGUGGAGUAAUUACAUGAAACAAAAUUGCUAAGAAUAUUAAUUAUUAUCUUGACCUGACGUGUUACUUUAUUUCCUACAAUCAUGACCGAAGUUCUCAAGUUUGCUCAAGGGUUUUUUUGGCCCCAUUUUUUGGGAGAAAUAGAUUUUCUAAAAGUGAUUUUUUGGAAAAAAAGUGGUUAAAAAGUAAGAAAAAUUUUGGAACUAUGCGUAAAAUUAUUUGAUCGAGAGAAUGAGUGAUUGAAAAAUAAAUUUGGAAAAAAUGAGUUUUUAAAGAAUGAAGCUCAAACAGGGGGCUAAAUUUCAAAUUAUAUUUAUGCAUCUUAUGGUUUCUGUAGAUUUUGUGAUAAGAAAACAACCACUUAAGUGUAAAGGCACUUUAUUAUUUUUUGUAAGGGCAAGAAUUUAUGGAGCUUAAGAACAACUCUCUAAGGGCGGACUGCCGUGACUUAUUUAUUCAUCAUUUUAUUGCUGAAUCCGAAAGUAACAUGCUAGGUUCUUUUUUCCUUGACUCAUAUAGAUGUUGUUCCCUUGAAUCAUUUUCUCUUUGAUAUUUUGCGCUUCUUAUUUGCUGCUGGAUUUCUUUUUUGGGUGUAAACUGCACCAACAGCUUCGUAGGAUUGUUUAAUUCAUAUUUACUUCACCAUCAGAAACUAAGAAAUAAUUACCUAACUAUAAAAUGACAAAUAAAUACAUGUGCUGCUUCAUUUGCAACAUUCUUAGUCCAAAAAGAAAGUUUGUAUUGCCUUAGGGAGACACUGGUGACCACUUCACAGAUCUCAUCAGCUUCGUCAAAUUGUUCCCCAUCCAGAGCCAUCAACUAAGGAACAAAAAUUUAUCAGUCAAAUAUAAAAAGAUGAACUUGUUAAUUGUAUAAAAAUAAAAUCGCACCAGGGUUCUCGUUAUUCAACCCUUCACAAACAUGCUAAACGGUGUGAAGAAAGAGGUUGUUCCUUUUUUUAACACAGUUUCAAGCCACAUCUCGUCAAGAUUAGCCUUUCUGUUGCUAGUAACAGUCCAUUUGCCUCCGUUAGCACAUUCAGGAUCUUCCCAUUUGGGCUCCAUUCCAGCUUUGAACAAGUGAAAGUCAGUAUCUGCUGUCAACUUGCUUGGCCUAAAUAUCUUAUCAUGUAAACUGCAGGAAAAAUCACCAUUUCAAUUCAUUCCAUUUAUAAAAAGUUCAUCAUACUUCCACAUUAAGUGUUCUUUACACUAUGCACGGUUUAUCAUUUUGUAUAGGCGGCAAGCUGGAGGUUCCUUAAACACAUCUUUAUAUUCUUCCAGCAUAGUUUGCAAGCUAAGCUUCAUUUCCUUAGGUGUCAUGUUUGGUAAGGUGGGUUUUGAUUCAGGUUGGAAGCACAGCGUAAAGCUUGCAUGGCCCUACGCAGAAUUCUAUUAACGAAGCCUCCCGUAUAAUUUGUCCAUCCAUUCCCUGUAGUCGGCAUGCCUGAUUUUCCACACAAAAUCCAUAGUUAAUUCGUUCCAGUUACACACCACAUAUCCUAGCAUUUCCAACCAAUGAAUCCCCAAGAUAAUAUCAAGACCUGAUAGAUUUAGCGAAAAAAGGGUGAGAUAAAAUCCGUGCCUUGCAUGACACAUCCCGUCCCAAGACUCAAGACGUGACGUGCGCGAUGAUAAGUGCCAACUAGGCAGUGGACCCAACACCAAGGCAAAAGUAACUAAACUUUAAUAAUAAAGCAUCAUUUGACCAAUUAAAAUCUUUCUGAACUCCAAUAUACCAACACAAUAAUAUCAUUCACUCGCCUAGCCAACAACAUCCAUAUCAUUUUCAUAAUAACUGCCUCUCAAAAGGAUAAUAGAAGGCAGUUUAGAUUACAAUAUUCCAUCAUGAUCAUUGGUACAUAUAAAUACCAAAAUUUAUUAUUACACAAUUUCAAACAAAAGAACCUAUAAUUGGUGGUAGUAGUGGCUGCAAAACUAUCAAAAUAAUCUCCACCACAGCUCAGUCAACAGCGUCCUAUAAGGAAAAGUUAAGAAAAAAUAUGAGAUAAUAAUCCCAAUGAGUGGAGUGCAUAAAAGAUGGUUAUACAAUUCAAUAAUCUAAAACCAUAAUCUGAAAUCCACAAGUUGAACUGUAAAUGGGAAAGUGUAAGCUAAAGACUAAUAAUCAACUAUAUAAUUAAAAUUCACAUCAAAAUAUAUCCCAUGUAAAUAUCUACUAAUGAUCUAAAAGCUAUAAAUCAUAUGUACAUAAACCGUUUCAUCAAUAUUCUGUACACAACCAUAGUCCCUCAGUGUACAAGAUGGAAACAACGUAAUCAUCCUUAUACACGACUGUAGCCCCUCAGUGGAUAAGAGUUACCCGUACACACGGUUGCAGCCCCUCAGUGUAUAUUGGAUACCUUUACCCACGAUCGUAGCCCCUUAGUGCAGUAGAGUAAGAUAAUCACAUCAAUUAUUUUAUGAUAAUUUCAAAACAAUCGUGCUCGUUUGCUAAUUCUUGAAAAUAAAGCAUUUCAUGUAAUUAACAUGCUUCUAUAAAAUAUAAAGAAAAUCUUCUUUUUGAAAACAUAGAUUCUCCACUCACAGAUAUAGGCUGGACUACCGGGGCUAGUAUGCUGUUCCCACGUCCAAAUCCCCUCCUUAAACGAUCAUAAAUAUAAGCCACUUCAAUUACAUCCAUAUACAGUUACAAGGGAUUUCUCAAUAAUAACCCCUUCUUAUCAUUAAGAUAAAAUAUAUAUCCCACAAUAAGCACUAAGCUGAGAUGUAUAUUUAUAUUUCAUUUGGUUACUUAAACAUACGGUUCACUUAAUUUCGAAUCACUCUACAUCCUUAACUCGUUAAUACUAACCUUUCCCGGCUGCCCCAUCAAGAUUCAACAAGCUUUUCAUGAUAAUAAUAAUCCACAUUCCUUAUUUAAAUUCUCUUUUAACUAAAUACAUGAAACUCAUCAAAAGCUCCUUUUUUAUAUUCUCCAUAUUCAAUCAAAGUGAGAACUCAAGAACAAGAUAAUUUAUUUUCAACCAAUCUAACUUAAUACUACACAACAAUCACAAGGGAAAAUAACAAGAAUGCUAAUUUUUCCCCAAAUUUUCAGAUUAACCCACAUAUGACAAAACCCUAAUAUAUAAAUAUCAUUUCUUCCAAUCCACUAGAAUAACUAGCUCCAAAUACUCAAAUAGUUAACUUCUUUAUCAUAUUUUUCAAGUAUAAGCUAUAAAUUUAAAACCCUAAACAAAAAUUUACAAAAACUAAACCAUAAAUUCUUAACCUUACCUCUUGAAGAAUCAAAUAAACAAGAUUGAAGUAGCUGGCACAAGAUUUCUUCUUUCUUCUUCCUUUUUUCCUUCCUUUCUUUUUCUUUUCUUCCCUUAUCCUUGAUUUUUCCCUCUUCUCUGCAUUCUCUCUCACUCAACACAUUCUAGUGUGUGUUUGUGUGUGAUUUUAGAGGGGAAAAAAAUGGUCAAAGUUUGAAUAUAAAGGCCCACUUGUUCAAAGUUUCAAAGGAAGGUCCCUCUUCUUUAAUAGAAUAUAACAUUUAAAUCCUAAACUUCCAAAAAUAUAUAUAAGUAAAUUCCCAACUUUACAUUGUAGCCAAUUUAACCCUAAUAUAUGGCCAAUUAUAAAAUAAACCCCAAUAAAAUAUUUAAUUUCAUUUUAAUCAUUAAUUGACUUGGAUUUUGACUAAUCAACAUUUGAAUUUUGACUAGAAAAUUUUGGGUUGUAACAUUGCAACUCUACUAUGACUUUGUCAAAGUGUCCUUGUUACUGUAGUCUCUCUCCAUUGGCCACCCAAACGGUAAAAGCUUCAAUGGUUACCAAGUGUAAUUUCAACAUGCUGGCCAAACGAUCACUAAUAAAGUUAUACGUUGAUCUACUGUCGAUCAACACUUUAGCUUUGUCAGGACCCAUUUUGGUUGUCAUUCUCAUAGUCCUAGGCAUUGCUCAUCUAGUUUACGCAUGGAGCGUUAUUACUGGCUCCAAUUCAUUCUCGAAUAGCCGUCCAUUGGUGUCUUCUUGCUACUGUGGGUCAAUAACCUCUUCGCAUAAUACUUUUUUGGCAUCCUCAUAACCUUCUACCAUUAACAGUUGAGGUCUUUGACAUAGAUGCCCUAUUGACAACUUCUCAUUACAAUGAAAACAUAAUCCUUUUGCCCUUCGUCGUUGCAUCUCAUCCCGUGUCAGCCUUUGAAGUUCAACUAGUGCGGUGGAAGUCACACAAGCUGGUGAUGGAAGUGCAAGCAGAGGUCACGUUGGUAGUGAUUGUCGCCGGUAUCUCAUCUGCUUUGUAAGCUAGUUAUCUCGCAUCCUAGCCAAACUGAUGGCAUAUUUAAUGUUUGUGGUUAUAACACACGUAUCCCAUCAACAAUUUAAGUUUUUUAGACCAUCCAUGAACGUCCCAAAAAGGGCCUUCUAUGUCCAUCCUCUAACUCAAUUCCCAAGCCUUUCAAUCUCUCGUUGGUAUUCUCUUAAUGAUCCAACUUGUCUGACCUGUGAGAGGGCCUUAUCAAAGUCUUCACAAUCCGAUGGCCCAAACCAAGUCAAUAGCUCAUCUUCAAAGUCUUCCCAAGAUAGUACCACGCCGUCAUUUUUGUAUGACCUCCAAAGCCACUGCCACCAUUGGUUUGCCUCACCCUCCAAGUGAAAAGUUUCUAAGGACACCUUCUGAGCUUCAGGUAUGGCUUGAAAUUCAAAGAACUGAUGUACAUGUAGGAUCAUCUCCUGUGUACUGCUGAAACUCCAAUUUUACCAUUUUUUUAUGAACACACCAAUCGUAUUCCUUUGAUGUCCUCUGCAGGUUGUUAUCAUAGCUGUUUCGUGAAUUUUCUCCUCGUUCAUUAUUGCGGAAGGUAGUAUUGGAUCCUUCCCAAAAUGAACGCAGCAUUUUAGUUAGGCGAUUGAAGUUAUUCUCCAUAUUCUGGAACUUGUCGCGACCCCUCACUCCACACGGUUCAUCCCUUCUUGACGACCAUAAAGCUCAGCCUCCAAGUUCUCACUUUGUUCCUUAUUGGUUGACAUCUCACAAUGACACCGGCUUUGAUACCACUAAUGGCGAUCCCAUUCAAAGACGGAUAGAAUGCGAAGAUUAAUUCUCUUAGGAUGAGCAUUGUACCACAAUUUUGCUAAAUAAUUCUGGAUGCCUUCUUUAUUCAUGAUCAUGGCUUUAAACAAGCCAAGCUUUAACAACUUAUGCUGAAUUUCAGCUAAAGGAAAAUGCAGUAGAAUGAAAUAAAAAUAGAAAUUGGAACAAACUUCUAAACUACUCAAUGCCUAGUUGACUUAGCCUUCACUUGUGUAACGUUGGAGGCUUUAUUCCUUGUGUAAUCCAUGCAGCCAAUAGCCCAUAUACUUCGGAUUCGAUUGUGGCUGCCUCCCCGACUUGUUGAAAUUAUGGAGCCUAAGUUUUAGGCUUCACAGAUUCUCAUGGUGUCAGAUACAUUUUUUCAAAAGGUGGCAACAAAUGUUGAAAAAAACAAUGUGUAUGGAAAUAUCUUGCAACCAUGCAGCCGUAUUUUUGGAAGAAUUUUUUUUGCCAUGCAUUUAAUGAAAGGUUGCCUUUGGUUGAAAAUGUUGGAUUUGCAACUAAUGAGGGUGGAAAGUUUUUUACUAUAAAUACGAGGUCAAAGCAGGAGCAAAUAUAGAUGUAAAAAAGAGAAGUGCAAGAAAGGUGUUGAGUGAAAAUAUGAGAGACUAUGAGCAAAGCACAAAAGUGAGAAGCAGUUAGGCUUUAGUUUGUGCAGAAAAUUAACGAGAGAAAAUUGAGAGAUUGCUUUUGCAUAGGCAGAUAAAAUACAAAGAGUGUAUUUGUUGUAUUCCUUUUUUUCUUGUUGAUAUAGUAAAAAACUUGGUGUGAGUUUGUGGAUGUAGGCACGAUUCCUGAACCAAGUAAAUUCUUGUGUCAUUUCUACUUAUUAAUUUUUUGCCACAUUUAUUUCUUCUCAGUUUAAAUUAUUUUGCGUCCCAUUGAUCCUGACGGAAUUAAUAGCAGUCUAAUUCCUAACAACUGGUAUCAGAGCUCCAAGAUUUAAGUGGGAGCAUUGAAAACAAACAAAAAGAUAUCUAAAAUCGAUAAGUUUGAUGGUACAAACUUUGGAUUUUGGAAGAUGCAAAUGGAGGACUAUUUGUACCAGAAGGAUCUAUAUAAACCACUUCACAAAAAGUCGAAGGACAUGAUAAACGACGAGUGGGAAUUGCUUGAUCAAAAGGCUCUUGGUGCAAUAAGGCUGACAUUAUCAAAGUAAGUUGCUUUCAACAUAAAAAAAUGAGAAGACAAUGGCAUCUCUCAUGGCGGCCCUAUCUAGUAUGUACGAACAACCAUCUGCAGCAAACAAAGUUCAUUUAAUCAAAAAGUUAUUUAUUAUGAAAAUCACGAAAGGCGAAAGAUUUGGAGAACAUCUAAAUGAGUUCAAUGAAGUGACGGGCCAAUUAAACACGGUCAAAAUCAUGUUCAAUGAUGAGGUUCGAGCUUUGUUGAUUCUCGAGCAGUUGCAUGAGAGUUGGAAUGGCAUAGUUACAGCAAUUAGUAGCUUUGUUGGAAAGUCCAAAUUGAAGUUUGAAGAUGUUGUAAGUAUGAUCCUGACCGAGAAAAUACGAAGAUAGACAGAAGGUGUUUCCACCUCUGGAGCCGCUUUGAACAUGGAGAGCAGAGGCAGAAGUUCAAAUAGAAGUAAAGGGCAUAACAAGAGCAAAUCAAGGUUUUGCAGAUCAAAAUCUAGAUAUCCAAAGAAUUUCAAUUUUUUUUUAAAGUUGUUGAAUGUUGGAAUUAUGGCAAGACCAAACACUACAAAAAUCAGUGUCAAGUUUCCAAGAAAGAAAAUGAAAAUAAAAUCGAGGCCAAUGUUGUAGCAAAAGAAUCUGAUGAUGCUUUGAUAUGCUCUUUGGAAAGCAAAGCAGAAUACUGGGUCAUAGAUUCUGGAGCAUCUUUUCAUGCCACCUCAAACAGAGAACUCUUUAAAAGUUAUGAAGCGGACAAUCUUGGAAAAGUAUAUCUUGGUGAUGACCAACCUUUUGACGUAGUCGGCAAAGGUGAAGUACAGAUCAAGCUUAAUGGAGCUGUAUGGAAAUUGAAGGAUGUCAGAAACCAUUCCAGACUUGAGGAAGAACUUGAUAUCUGUGGGCCAACUAUCAAAUGAAGGUUAUGUUACAACCUUCAACAGUGAUAUUUGGAAGGUUUCCAGGGAUGCAAUGACCAUAGCACGAGGCAAGAAAAGUGGUACUCUUUACACCACAAUGAGUGCCUACGGAAUAAUUGCAGUUGCUAAUUCAAAUGAAGGUCUGAAUCUAUGGCACCAAAGACUGGGGCACAUGAGUCAGAUAGGACUCAAGUACAUGCAUGGUAAAGGGAAACUAUUGGGACUUCAAUAUUUGAUGUAGACCUAUGUGAGAUUUGCAUUUUCGGGAAGCAGAAGCGGGUGUGUUUCAACAAGUGUGGUAGAAUUUCGGAGGAAAAAAAUCUAGAGCUAGUCCACACGGAUGUCUGGGGGCCAACUGUAGUUCCAUCUAUUGGCGAAAGUCCUAUUUUGCGACUUUCAUUAAUGAUCACUCCAGAAAAAGUAUGGGUCUAUUUCUUGAGACACAAAUUCGGAGUGUUCGAGAUGUUCAAGAAGUGGAAAGCUAUGGUGGAGAAUGAAACAGGUUCGUGAGUAAAGAAAUUGAGAUUAGAUAAUGGCGGAGAGUACGAAUAUGUUGAUUUUAAAAAGUUCUAUUUCUAGAAUGUUAUCAAAUUGGAAAGAACGUUGCCAGGAACACCGCAACAAAAUGUUGUGUCCAAAUGAAUGAAUCAGACGUUAAAAGAAAGAGCCAGCAGCAUGCAGUUUCGUUCUGGUUUGUCUAAACAAUUUUGGGCCAAAGCUAUCAACAUAGCAGCAUACUUAAUCAAUCACGGGCCAUCAGUGCCUUUGGAGUACAGGAUACCGGAGGAAGUAUGUAGUGGAAAAGAAAUAAAACUUUCUCAUUCGAAAGUUUUUGGUUGUGUCGUAUAUGUACAUAUUAGUGAUCAAGCUAGGGAUAAGCUUGACCCCAAAUCACUAAAGUGUACCUUCAUUGGAUAUGGUGGAGAUGAGUUCGGGUAUCGCUUUUGGGAUGAUAAGAACAAAAAGGUCAUCAGAAGUCGGGAUGUCAUAUUCAAUGAAAGGGUGAUGUACAAAGACAGCGAUACAGUGCUGUCCAGUGACUUACAUGAUAAUCCAACAUAUGUUGAGUUGGAUGAUACUCUAAGUAGUAGUAUGUCAAAGCCGACAGAUGAGAGUCCUCAGCCAGAGAAAGCUGUUGCAGACACUUUACCAAAGCCUCCAACUUCUAUUCCUAGAAGAUCUUCUCGAUCACAUGUUCCAAACAGAAAGUACAUAAAUUAUCUGUUACUAACUGAUACCGGUGAACCUGAAUGCUAUGGUGAGGCAUGUCAGGGAGAAGAUGCGAUUUAGAGGGAGCUUGUAAUGAAAGAUGAGAUAAAGUCUCUUAUCUCUAAUCAAACGUGGGAACUAGUGAGUUGCCAUUAGAAAAGAAGGUUCUACACAAUAAAUGGGUCUAUUGAGUCAAGGAGGAACAUGAUGGAUCAAAGGGAUACAAGGCAAGAUUGGUGGUCAAAUGCUUUCAAUAGAAAAAAGGAAUUAACUACACGGAGAUUUAUUCUUUAGUAGUAAAGCUAACAACAAUUUUAUUAGUCUUGAGUAUUGUUGCAACAGAGGGGUUGCACUUAGAGCAGUUAGAUGUGAAAACUGCCUUCUCUAUGGUGACCUGGAAGAGGAGAUAUUUAUACAGCAACCAGAGGGUUUCUCAAUCAAAGGAAAAGAAAAGCUUGUGUGCAAAUUGAAGAAAAGUUUGUACGGCUUAAAACAAGCUCCGAGACACUAGUACAGGAAGUUUGAUGAAUUUAUGCAGAAAAAUAGCUACUACAAGUGCAAUGCUGACCAUUGUUGCUAUUUUAAGAGGCUAGAGUCUAGCUUCAUUAUUUUGCUACUUUAUGUUGAUGAUAUGAUAGUAGUAGGAUCAGACAUGAACGAAAUCUAGAAAUUAAAGAAGUUAGUAGAAUUUGAAAUGAAGGACUUGCGUCCAGCUAAACAAAUUCUAGGGAUGAGAAUAUGUAGGGACAAGCGAAAAGGCAUUUUACAUCUAACCCAAGCCAAGUACAUUAGUCAAGUUUUGCAGGGGUUCAACAUGAACAAUGUAAAGGCAGUUAGCACGCCAUUGGCUAAUCACUUCCGUCUAUUAAACGACCAGUCUCCGAAAAUAGAAGAUGAAAAAAACUCCAUGGCUAAUAUUCCAUACGCCUCAGCCAUUGGAAGUUUGAUGUAUGCCAUGGUUUGUACAAAUAUUGCUCAUGUGGUGGGAGUUGUGAGCAGAUUCAUAACCAAUCCAGGAAAACAGCACCGAAAAGCAGUGAAGUGGAUACUAAGAUAUCUACAUGGUACUAUUGAUAAAUGUUUAUGUUUCAAAAGAGGUGAGUUGGUACUACAAGACUUUGUAGAUGUAAAUUUUGCUGUCAAGGUCGAUCACAGGAAAAGUACCACCGGUUAUGUAUUCAAAGUUGGUACUACUGCAGUGAGUUGGGUUUCGCAAAAAUAGAAUAUUGUUGCUUUAUCCACUACAGAAGCAGAGUACGUGGCAGUAACCGAAUCUAGCAAAGAGAUGAUUUGGUUACAAGGUUUGUUAACAGAAUUGGGUUUCAAGCAGGGGAAGAAUGUUUUGCACAGUGAUAGUCAAAGUGCUAAACAUCUGGCAAAGAAUGCAGCAUUUCAUUCGAGAAUGAAGCAUAUAGGACUUCGUUAUCACUUUAUCAGAUCUCUCUUGGAAGAAAGAGUAUUGACACUGGAAAAGAUCCAGGGCAGUAGAAACCCAGCUGACAUGUUAACCAAAAUAGUAACUAUGGAAAAACUGGAGUUGUGUUCAACUUCAGUUGGCCUUCUAAAAUGAAGAUGAGGAAAGUGAUCCAUACCAAUUUCGCAAAAAAUGGAACUGCUCACGGGAUGUCUCAAGGUGAAGCCACUAGGGAUGUCAAACGAGCCAAGCGACUCGUUGGCUCGACCGCUCGACUAGUUAAAACCCAGCUCGUGGACGGCUCGAGCUCGUCAAAUGAUGAGCCCGAGCCUGAGCUGAGCAAGGAGAUCAACCCCACGAGUCGAGCCCAUGAGCUGCUCGUGGGCUAUGAGAUGAGCUCGAGCCCAAGCCGAGCAGGGGACUCAAUCCCACGAGUCGAGCUUUGCUUAGCUCAUUGAGCCCAAGAGCCAUUUUGAUGAGCCCAUAUAAAAAUUUAAAAAAAGGUCCGAAAAUGUACAAAAUUUACAAAAAAAAUUAAAAAAAUCACGAGCGGCCCAGCCCACGAGCUUGUGGGCUGAACUGAGAUCGCCCACGAGCAACGAGCAACGAGCUGAGCUCGAGCUCGGCUCGUCUUUCACGAGUCAGGAGCUCGGCUCACCAUGAGCCCAAGCCGAGCUCAUGGGUCAAAGGGUCGAGCCGGGCAUCCCUAGAAGCCACAUUAGUCUCCAAGUGGGAGAUUGUUAAAAUUAUGGAUCCUAGAUUUUAGGCUUCACAAAUUCUCAUGGUGUCAGACACAUUUUUUCAAAAGGUGGAAACAAAUGUUGAAAAAGACAAUGUGUAUGGAAAUAUCUUGUAACAAUGUAGCCGUAUUUUUGGAAGAAUUUUUUUUGCCAUGGAUUUAAUGAAAGGUUGCCUUUGUUGAAAAUGAUGAAUUUGCAAUUAAUGAGGGUGGCAAGUUUUUCAUUAUAAAUACGAGGCCAAAGCAGGAGCAAAUAUAGAUGUAAAAAAGAGAAGUGCAAGAAAGGUGUUGAGUGAAAACACGAGAGACUGUGAGCAAAGCACAAAAGUGAGAAGCAGUUUGGCUUUAGUUUGUGCAAAAAAUUAAUGAGAGAAAAUUGAGAGAUUGCCUUUGUAUAGGUAGAUAAAGUACAAAGAGUGUAUUUGUUGUAUUUCUUCUUCUUUUGUUGAUAUAAUAAAAAAAUUGGUUUGGGUUUGUGGACGUAGGUACGAUUGUCGAACCACGUAAAUUCUUGUGUCACUUGCACUUAUUAAUUUUUGGCCACAUUUAUUUCUUCUCAGUUUAAAUUAUUUUGCUUCCCACUAAUCCUGGCGGAAUUAGUAGCGGUCUAAUUCCUAACACGACUUGCGUGGCUUAUCAAUAUGAAAGUGUAAACAGAAGAAAAUGUUAAAUACUUCUUAUUGAAAAGUGAAAUUUAAGAUGCAUAUGUUCAAAUGAAAGGAUUUGUGUUCCAUUUCGAAACUCUCCUAUGUCCAAUGUAAGAUACUAGAUCUGUAUGAAUUUUAUAGCUAAAAGUAGAAUUUUUGAUUGGUAAAUUGAUUUAGGUUGAUGGAAAUAUUUCUAAUCCCAUUAAAAAUUAUUGAUUCCAUGUAAACUAAGAUAUGAUGGUGUUUUCAAUAAUAAAAAUCCGAUUAGUCUUAAUGAAGUUCACAAAAUAGAUGCUACUUCAGGAAGAAAACAAAAAUACACGCGUGGUGACGAACAACACAAGAAGGAGAACGUGUUUGCCGUUAUUAAAAGAGUUAGAGCACAUAAUACUUUCAUAAUAUAGUAAAUAAAAGUUGAAAGUGUAUUUCAAACAAAGUAGACAAAUAAAUUCCACAAGAUAGUAUUAAAUUUCAAAUUUGAACGAAUGCAGCUUAAUAAACUUGGCUCUGUUUGGUAACCAAUCAACUCAUUUUUCCCAUACUCAUUUUCGACCACAUAUUCACAAAAUAAAAUAUUUUUCACGUAAAUUCAAAACAUUUUCCUCUUUUUUAAUCGCACAUUCUACAGAAAACUACUAUUCAAAAACUCAUUCUUUUUUAAAAAUAUAGCUGUCAAACAGGGCUUUAUUUGACAAUGUAGACAGCAAAAAGAGAGUAAAGAUCGGCUUCAUAGCCAGUGAAGUACAAAUACUCUCAAAGGUUCGAUAGGUCAUGUGUAACGACUUAGACUCCAUGCAUAAACCGUUAUAUCAUACGUACUGUUUUCUCUGGGAGGUCAUCUAUCCACUUAUUCCCUCAAGACUUUCUAUUGUAUCCUCCAAAAUUCGAACCAAAACCUCUACCUAAUGAGAGAUUUAAGUUGAAUUCUAAUAUCAAUUGAGAAUUGGUCGAGCUCAAGGAUAAAGAAAAAGCAGUAAAAAUAGACAUAGGCAAUUUUUAAUAAGUUAAAUUCAACAUUUGACCUAUAAGCCCUUUUAGAAUAAAUAAAACGUAACAAUUCUUCACUUUAACCUCUAAAAAAGGGGGCUUUUUUUAAAAACUUUACCUUUUUCAAUCCUGAUACACAUUCUAUAUGGAACCAAGUAUGACAAGGCUUUUUUUAAUGGUUAAGCUACAUGUACAUAACAUCAUGUGUGGUGAGGUAUGAAUGAUUCAUAUUUUUCCAACCUAAAAAUAAAAUAAAAUAAAAUAACUUUCCCACCCUCCUACUCUUGUUGACGCCUCAUCUCUAAGUAUACAUUAUGUUAUUCUAUUAAGUACACGUAGCAUUAUUAUUAUUAUUAUUAUUAUUAUUAUUAUUAUUAUUAUUAUUAUUAUUAUUAUUAUUAUUUUCUUUUUUUACUGAUUUUCAUUCAAGUACAGGGUAACCCGAAUCUAACUCUACCGAUGACAAACGAGACACAACUUUAAUAAGGAAAAAAAGCUAUUAUACAGGUAAUAAUAAACAUGAUAAAUAGAUGUAUCGUUCCCCCAAAAUUCUUCUAUGGUGUCAAAAGUAUAGACUUUUCAAAGAGAACUCACCCAGGCGGCACCUUGUUUCGAUCUUGAUUGGUUGUCAAACUAAAACGUCCACUUCCUUUCUAGGGGUUUUUUUUUUUUCCUUUUGCGGCUACUUAUCUACCACCUCCUCUACUUCAUCCAACGCCGUCGGAACUUCUAUUGCUGCUUCGCUUGCGAUCCUAUCAAUCUAGUUAUUGUCUCUCCCUACAAUUUGCUUUUGCAAAAGGAGAGAGGGAGAGAGAGAGAGACCUUUUUCACAAUCAAAUUUGUAUUUAUAGAAGGGUUUUGAUGGGAUUGGUACAAGGUGGAUUGAAAAUAGACUAAGCCCAGAUCAACUGGGUUGCCUUAUGUGGGUUAAGCGAAAUUGAUGAAAAUUGCCCUUGAAUACAUUAAGGAUCCACUUGAAAUGGCUUUAGAAAAGUUAAAAUGAGCCCUUUGGGGCAUAUUCCAGUGGUGCAAAGGAUAAGAGUGAAGUAUACACAACUUUGCUGACAAUCGCAGUAUAAGGGUUCGAUUCCUGAAAUAUGAAUUGAGACUCUCUGUGGGCAUCAGUGGGCAGCUCUUAUUCCUUAGUCUAUUGGGGGACAUCCCGCGAUUAACCUCUCUCACGAUGCUAUGGGGGCGGGGCGGGGCGGUGGGGAACCCGUUGGAGUUCAACCUUUUUUUUCUUUAGAAAAUUUAAAAGGAAUUUUUGUGGCGCAAAAGCUACUUUUGGACCGAUUAGAUUAAUUUUAUGGAAGUACUUCUAGUAUAACAAUCAACUUUAACUAUUUAUUCAUACAACUGCCAUAUCUUGUCCUUGGAUUCACCUUAAAUGAACAAGGACUCAAAUGAAAAAUAUGCUAUAGUGUAGCUUCCUCUAACAACACUUUCGAAAUAGGAAACUCUUUCAAAAAUUAGUUUUCAUACAAAAAUUGAGGUGACUUUAUUUAAAGGUCUUCUAUAGGAAGUAAAAGUAAAAACAAAAUCCAUGCUAAAUAGGUCACUAAUUAACAUUCAUUUAUUAUUUAUGCUUUUCAUGAAUCCAUAAUGUACUCGCAUUUUCAAAAGUUAAUGAAAUUUUCAAGUUUCAUAGUGCUUGAUAGGUGGUAAAUUACGACCACAAUUUUUCUUUGUUUUAUUCUAUGGUAUUUAAUGCUUUCUUUAGGAAGUUGACAAAUCUUUAGGAAUAGUAGCCUAGUUUGGGGUAAAUUAAUAAUUUUGGUUUUCAUUGUUAGCAAAAAUAUUGCCGGUCGAAAUGGCAGCAAUUGUGCUUUGGAGUUUUUAAGCAUUUUAAUUCAUUGAAUAAUGAAUUAAGAGACCUACUGCCACCUCGAUUAUUGAUCUCUACUGACAACGAAUAGCAUCACUCGUGACUAAUGAAGAUACCAAAACAGUACUUUAAUGACAUAUAAUCUUCUCCCUUAUAGCAAGAUAGAUUGGUGGAACUUGAAUUGCUAAAUAUAAGAUAGGCCAAAUUUCAUCCUGUAGAAAGGCAAAUAUAAUAUGUUUCAUAAAAGGUCAUGCUAAAAUAGUGUUAUUGAUGCUAACUAGGAAUUCUAAGGCCUCAAAGUUAUGCCAUGGACCAGCGCCAGUAUCUCUUUGGCGAUGCGUCUUGUGCUUCAAUUAAGUAGAUGUGUAAAAGUGUGGUAGGCUGAGUAGACCUCACAAGUAAAAAGCCAGGCUAGACACUGUAUGACCUAGCCAAGCAGCGCAUUGGUCAAGCCAAGAGAGGCUCAGAGACCAUUUAGAAUGAAAUUUUUUAUGUGAAUUCUAAACUUAUAUGCUUAUAAUCAUAUAUAUCUGUCCUUUCUAUACAGGUUUCUGAAGUCUUGAGUUUUGAAUUUAUAAGCUUUAGAAUUGUAUUAAUGUAUUGUUUCUGUACCGCUUUCCCUCAAGUCUUCGAUUAUUUAAAUAAAUCCACUUUUUGCAACUGAUCUUGAAAUUGGUAUGGAACUUUGAAACAACAUCGUGAUUUACUAUCUAAAUUUCUUGUAUAAAACAUCACUCAAAAAUUAACUAGAGCAAUAAUCGAAAUAUUUGUAGUCCAUACUUCAGAAACGACCUUGGAUGUUUAGCACAAAGGGGCAGUAAUCAUGCAGUUAAACUAUUAUGAAUCAUUUUGUGUAGUCUACCGACUUGUGUAUCUAUCACUCUCUUUAAACUACUUAUGUCAAUAUUCAACUAUUUUUACAUAACACAAUUAAGUGGCACGGUAGAAUUUAAAAGAAAAAGCCAUCCUUUAUCGUUGGAUAUAUACGACGCCAACAUUAAUUUUUUUGUAAAUUCUUUAAUUUCCAGAAUAAUUUAUUAUAAUACUUUAUUAAUCAAGCUCAUGCCAAAUUAGUAUAGAGCAUAUUUUGUUACACUAAUGCUACUCAAAUAAGGGCUGGGAACAGGCAUAUAAAUAACCUCACCCCUUGCAAUUCAAAUCAUCCACCUCAGCCCCUUGUUUAUAUGCUUGUCUCCAGCCCCUGUUCGAGUAGCAGGGCUCAUUUUGCUAAGCUUAAAUUUAAAAGUUAUAGGGAAGUUUUGAAAUAACUGACCUUUUUUUAUUGGUGAAAAUAAAAAAAUAAGUAAUUGCUUAUAUUGACAUUUCUGUAACUUGUACUUUUUCCUUUUAGGAUUAGUCACUUAUUUGAUAACUAGUUGAUUUUCAAGGUAUUCUUUUUUAGUGUGAAGAUGGAAUGGAAUGAGAUGUACGAGAAACAAAAUCAUUCUUCGCGUGUUUGGGCAUUCAAUAUUCCCCCUUUUCUUCUGAACUUUGUUUUCCUUCUUUUGUGCUUCAAAUUAUAUUGACCUUCUCCCCUGUUUCCUAUAUACAUACAUAACAUUCAUAAGGUAAUCUUGAAGGUGAAAAUCUUUCAUUUUUACACUACAAUCCAUCACGGAGCACUUUCUCACUGAUUUAGUGACACGAGUGUGAAAUUAUCGUCCUCAAGACUUUGAAAAAAGGGCUUAGGGAGAAAUAAUGCAUUGAUCUAGUUGCCACUGGAGGCACAAAGUACUAUCUAAAUUGAUUCGUAAGAGUGGAAGAGAUACUGGAACCAAUGACACUGAAGGAAGGUAUGCACAAUUAUAUCCUUCAUAUGGUAGCUAUCAGCGAAUCUAUAAAUUGAAUUCAAUUUUGGCAAUGUUUUUGGCAAGUACGCAUGGACAGUACCCAAUAAGCUAAUGCUUGGAGAAUUGUGGAAGGACCGAAGGCAACUAACAAGCAUUGACAUCUUUGGAUGCUCUGUACAACUGACUUAAAGCUAUAAACCGGCUUCUUUUUCUUUUUUCUUUUUUUUGUUCACUUUUCUUUAUGAAUAUACACACUACGGGACGUCCAAAAUCAUGAUUGUUCAUUAUAUUUCAUAUUCAUAUCAUCAUUUGAAGAUCCAUGACAUUAUUCUUGAUUCAACAUUUUUUAUUCUUAAGAUCUGCAACCACACAUUUGGGAAAAAACAUCAAACCCUUAAAUCCAAAAGACCUGGAUUCUUUAACACUAUAAGGAAGGUACUCUCUCAGUUGGGCAUUGGGAGAGGUAAACUGCAAGCGUAGGAAAAGCACAAGAACAAGAGGUUCUUGGAAUUCCACUUGUAAGAGAUACUUGGUAUAAGAUUAGGAGAAUUGAAGAAAACAAUAGAUCUUGGAGGCUGCAAAAGGUAGAUUGGGAAGUCUAGUGGGGUGGCUAAAUAGUAUCUACAUAGUAGAUCUUGAGACUAGAAGAUUGACAGUACAUCUUAGAGAUUACAGGAAUCACAACAGUUAGAACUAGUUGAAGUUGCUAAACUGGAGUUGUACUGAAUCCCUAAUUGUCUAUAGUUGAGGCACUUGGUCCCGGAGUUUUUUCAACGUUAGGUUUCUCUGUCAAUAAAUCUUUUGUUUUUACUACUUUCCAUAUUAUUAUUGUGGCAUUCAUACUUAGGGAAAUUGGAUUGGAUUGUAUGUAUAAUCAUCUAGAAACCUAAUUAAAAGUGAAUUGUUGCUUUAAGUAGUCAAUUUUGCACAUAAGGUCGAAUUAAAAAAUUGUCUGGAAUGUAAACCUGGUAAUCUUAAAAUUUGAAGUAGUGUGUAGUGUGCCAGACUCGAUUUCUCAAGGGUAUUAGAGCCUAAUUGCAUGUCCUAACCUUACAUUGUCUAGAUAAGUACCUCGUUGACUAUCCCACCCUAUUUUGAUGAUAGUAAUUACGAAUAUUAGAAAGAUAGGAUGAGAGAAUUUUUGAAAUCUAUGGAUGAGAGAAUUUAGUUGAGUGAUGUUAAUCGUUCGUUUGAACAUAGUACCACAGUAAACAAUGUUGUUGCUUCCGUCCCCAUAGAAAAUUGCUCUAUGGCCGAAUUAGAUCAAUGUAACUAAAAUAGCAAAGCCUUAUAUGCUCUCUUUAUUGCUGUUUUUCCAGAAGAUUUUAGGAAAGUGUUCGUGUGUGAGGUUGCGCAAGAAGUUUGAGAUAUUUUAGAAGUCAUACAAGAGGGACCUCAUGUGGUAAGAAAUUUAAAACUACAUAUGCCUACCAUGAGGUUUGAAGAAAUCAGGAUGAAAGAUGAUGAGAGUUUUGAUGCCUCUAUACGAGCCUAAACUACAUAGUAAAUUCUAGCUUAAACCUAGCAAAUAAAAUCCCCGAGCCUAAGAUAGUGAGAAAAAUUCUUAGAUCCUUACCAGAGCAAUUCAGGCCUAAAAUUAUAGCGAUUGAGGGAAGUUACGAAAUAGAUGCUAUCAAGGUAGAAGAGUUAAUUAAAUCCAUCCAGACCUAUGAGCUUACCUUCGACAAACCUAUUAAGGAAAAGUCCUCGGCUUUGAAAUCUAUGAGGAAUAAGCAGACCAAACUCCUGAUUUAGAUUCACAUAAUGAUAAGGAGUUGACCAACCUAGCUAAGAAAUUUGGUAAAAUGUUUAGGAAUAAGAAGAAGUCUCAGGAAAGACAAAGAGGUGGCCUAUGUGAAUCUAUGAGAAGAUUGAAAUUAGUAGGAUGCCAUAACUGUCAAGGUUUAGGUCAUGUGAGAAAUGAGUGCCCUAGUCCUAGGAGAGUUGAAGAAAAGGCUAUAAAUAGUACUUUCACUGAUCACGAGUCUAGCUUGAACAAUCAGAGUGAGAAAUCCACUCAUGAGGAAAUUGAAAAAUAUGUUGCCUUUCUCUCUCGUGGUGCCGGCGGCCAACGUCGGCCCACGUCAGCACUGCACCAGUUGCAACUCGGCGCUGCUCCAACCUGGCAGCAGCAAAGUGCUGCUGCGAUGCUGGCGGCCUCGUUCAAAUUUUUUUUUUUAAAUCCCCAAAAGAAUUUGAAUCCAAGAAAAAAAAAAGCAUAAUCUGAAUUCUUCUCAAUUAUUAAUUAUACGUCAAAAGUUUUCAAAUUCAACAAAAUAUGGAUACUAAAUUAUCAAAUCUAAAAACUCCAAAUUAUUGCAAGAAUCAAUAUCCCAAAAAAAUUGAUUCUCAAUGAUUCAACAUGAAAAGGCUUUGAUACCACUUGUAGGAUAAUUUAUUACUUUAAAUCACCGAAUUUUUCAUGUUAAAUUAUCAAGAAAUUCAAGAAUUAUAGCGGAAGCAUACCUGAAUUAGACAUGGUAAUUUGUAAUGAUUGAAUCCUGCGGUAUAGUCUUCCACAUCUUCACGCAGCCUGUAAUUCUCUCUGGCGAUGGGAGACAAAAUAGAAUGAGCAAAAGAUACGUGCAAUUUGGGGACCAUAACUGUAUUUAUAUAGCGAUGCCCUUUGACCUAAUUCGGCCAAUCAUAGAAUUGAGACUUGGGCCCGGUCUCUAUACAUUUGUAAGCCAACACUUUAAUUAGAUGCAUAAUGGACCAAAAUCGAAGCCUUAUUAGAUCACUUAAAUUGGACUCAACCGAAUUCAAUAGCCUUUAGUUUAACACACAAUUAUUCACACAUAUAAGCCCAUCAAUUGAUUAAAAAAUCCUUACACUUUACUAUAAAAACGAGUCUUAGAAAUCAAUAAGCAUUGAAGAGCCUUUGUUUACUACCAAAAAUCAGAUCAUAAAAACAUAAUUAAAAUAUGAAUUUGCGACUAUCCGAGACUAAUGGAUUCACGUUAUGUCCUUUGUGGCAAUUUCUAUCUCCCUAAUAAUGAAGGCUAUGAGCAAUUGUUUCGCAUCAUUUUAUUGAAACAAUACCAAAAUCAUGUAAAAGUCGCAUAAAUUUUUCCUUCAUUAUUAAAGGUUGAUGCAAACAUUCGUGCAAAAAUUUUACAAAAAUAGAUUUAUAUGUAAGAAACCUAGAAGUGAGAUCAAAUUUGAUUGUGCAAGAAAAACUUCAUGAAAUGCUUUAUAACUUUUAAGUGAAAGGUGAUUCCUAUGUGAAAAUACAUAAAAACUUAAAACGAUACACCAAUUAUGUACAAGAAAAUGUACAACUCUUUUGUCACAAAGUCUUUUAAAUCAUACCACAACAUUGACAAAGUAAUUUACAAUAAAAGACAUGUUCAUUUAUUCAAACUAAAGGACACAACCAUCACUGAAACUUUUCCAAAUUAAAAUAUGAAACAUUUUAGUUUAAACUCACAACUAGACAAUUUCUUUAUUCAAACCUAACCUCUUCCAACAAGAACAAAGGAGGGACAGGUUCAAGAAUAAAAGAUAUUCUCCAUGUUCAAUAGGAACACACCCUUCUUCAUGGAAUUUCUGCAACAUUAUAUUCUUUACAAAGAUAUCAAGAGUUUAUAUCUUCAUAUAGAAAUGCUCAAGUUCUAGCAAGAUUUAAAAUACUGGGAAUCAAAAUUCCCAAAGACUAAAAAUAUUUUAAAAAUAUUUUGACAUUAUUAUGAGGUUUUUAAAGCGGUAUGGAAAUGAAGAAUAAAUAAUAAGAAAAGACAAAAGAAUUUUUUACCUGUAUUUAUACAUAAAAAUAUAUAACAAGAAUAAAUAAUAAGAAAUAUACGUGUAUCUUGAAUAAUCAUUUGUAAAUGUAAUAAAAUAAAUAUUUCCUCCCCUAGUCAACAUGCCAUUUUAAUUCACAUAUCGAAUUAAUAAGGUCUAAAAUUUCUAAAGUCCGAUUCACUAUGUUAUGACUUCUACAUCAUUCUAAAUUCUACGCAAGUUUUACAUUUAUAUGCAUCAUUAUCAUUAUAUGUAAGUAUUAUGCCCUAGGUCCAAUCAACCUUGAACAUAAAUACUUUUAAUACAUAAUUAAUGUAAUUUGAUGGCAGAUCUAUUAUUUAAUUUAUAUACAAUUAAAUUAAAAAAUAGAGUUCGUAGAUUCAAAUUUUCGUAAUUUAUUAAUUACGAGGAGUUGUGAUUGUGAGAUACAAAUUACAUAUGAUUGAAUCUUAAAUCGUCUGUGAUCGUAAGUAAUAACGAGAUAUGGAUAUCGUUAUUAUAGAUAGACCAUCACGUCUGACAUGUUUUACUUGUGAAGUAAGUAGCUGAUCUCAUAAGCUAAAGUGUGGUGACACUUAAAUGAACACGUAGAUGUUUUGUUAUAGAACAAAACAUUGGAAACCCACUGAGAGAUUCCACAUGAAUAACUAUUUGAGUGUCAGUGGUUAAUCUCUAACGUUCUGUAGUGGAAUUGGUCAUUUGACUUGAGAUCACCAUGGUACCUUGUAUGAGGACAGUCAUACUUUAGUGGUGUUGACGUUGCUCUACCAAGGGCCACUAAUAUGACAUCGUUCGGGUAUGUCAAGAAUUAUAUGAAGGUUGAGAAUGACGAAUAGAGGAUUUGUCAUUCUUAGAUAGUAAGAGAUUAUGAUCUGCAUUUCAUUUAAUUAAGUCGAUAAUGAAAUUUUUGGCCAAGGUGUACUCAUAAGUCGAAAACGAGUUUUCGACUUAUAUUGACUUAAUAGUGGAAUGAACGAUAUGAUCGGUAAUCGAGAUUGAACCACUUUCAUCGCAUAAUUGAUCGGAUCAUAUUGACGAAGGGACUAUAGUUUCACGAUAAACGAGCGAGUUCGAUUUUGUCAUACCACAUGACAUUUCCAGUCACAUGUAUUGCCUGACACAUUGCUAGAUGUCAGUUUGGAACGACGAGUGUGAAUUGGUGAUAAAUUAAAAGGGUGUUUUAAUUUAUCAAUUUUGAUUAGAUCAAAAUAAUGUUUCACGUCGUUAGGUAUCGUGAUUGGAAACCUGAUGGGUUGCACAGAAAAGAAAAUUGAAAGAUUGGCAAUUUGUCAAUUAAUUAAUUUAACAAUUAUUGGAUAAAUUAAUUAAUUCGGCCGGUUACUUAUAAAACCGAAUUAAUUCACGAACCGAAUUUAAUUAAAUUGAUUAAUUAAAUUUUGGAUCGGUCAGGCGAAGUCUGUUUGGUCUUAUAUAAAUAAUUGAUUAGGGUUUACAAUUUUGAAGAGAAAUUCAUUCUUGCUAGCAUAAGAAGAAAACCAUAAUCCUACAAUCUUGUUCUCUGUGUGGAUCAUCAUUAGAGGUUGGACAGUUGGACAGUUGUGUUUGGCAGAUCUGGAUCGUUGGAACGCAAGGAAGGCAAAGGAGUUUGUAGAUCUAAGAAAAAGGUACGAUCUUUUUCACAAUUUCAUCUAAACACAAAGAGAUUAUUGGUGGGAAUCGAAAUCUUUUUUAAUUUUCUGCUGCGCCUGUUAAAUAGAUUCCCAACAGUGGUAUCAGAGCCUACUUUGCGUUUGUAAGAAAUUAUUUGACAUUUUGUGCAAUCAAAAGUUGGUUGUUAUACAUUUUACUAGUUUCUAGUAAUUAAUGAAAAUUUGAUUUUCAUUUUUCUUUGAAAUCUGGUUUUGAAAACGAAAAAAAAAAAGGAUCAAAAAUCGGGUUGGGAAACAUGAACGACGUCAACAACAGCCAUCGUCGGAGCUUGAAGCUCGCGUGAUCACCGCGCUGCCGAUUGCGCUCAAGCGAACCAGCAGCGGCUGCCAUCGCCAUUGCUGGACAGGGUAUCGUCGGCUGCUGUAUGCAGUAGCGUGUGAUAUGCUACAAGGAUGGGUCCCAUGUGCAGCACCAGCAACGUUGCAACCAAGAAGAAUGAAGGACUGAAAAUUCCUAGGGUUUGCAGUUUGCGUUUUGGGCGAGUUUGAGGUAGAGGCCUCUGAUGAGAAUUGAUUAUUUUCAGGGCCCUUCUUGCAAUUUAAUUUCUAGGGCUAAGUUGUAAUUUUAAAUAAAGGGCCUUCUUGCAAUUUGGGAAAUUAAGGGGCUUGUUUAUAUAUUUUAAGUGGCUCAACUUGCAAUUUUCAAAAUGGUUUUUGAAUUUGGAUUUUAAAAUGGUUUUAAAAUUAUAUUUUAAAUGGGUUUGACCUGUAAUUUUAAUUUUGACCCAAAUUAAAAGUUUUAUUUAAAAUUGACGACUUUUCAUAUUUCUUUAAAAUUGGAUUUUAACUUGAAUGUUAAACUUUUAAAUUGAAUUUUAUUUUUUAGGAAUUUUAAACUAAAUUAAAAUGUUAAUUCAAUUUAAUUAGACUUGGACUCUAAUUUAAUACUUAAUUAAAAUUGGAUUUUAAUUAAUUAUUCACUCGGAUACAUUCUUGGAAUUAGAAUUAGAUUCUAAUUUGACAUUUAAUUGAAAUUUGAUUUUAAUUAAAUUAUCCCGCCCAAAAAUUUGUUCUAAUUAGAGUUGGACUGUAAUUUGAAAUUUAAUUAAAAUUUGAUUUUAAUUAAAUAAGUUUGCCCUAAAUCUUGGAAUUAGAGUUGUACUCUAAUUUUGCUAUUUAAUUAAAAUUUGAUUUUGAUUAAAUUCGACCGCCUUAAGUUUUGAAGUUAGAGUUGGACUCUAAUUUAACAUUUAAUUAAAAUUUGAUUUUAAUUAAAUAAUCCCACCCUAUAAUUGUGAAAUUAGAGUUGGACUCUAAUUCGACAUUUUAUUAAAAUUUGAUUUUAAUUAAAUAUACCCGCUUAUUAAAUUAAUUUAUUAAUAUGAUUAAAAUUAUUUAAUUGUUCUACUCCAUUUGUCUAAAAGAGUUUAGACGAUCUUAAUUGCUAGAAACUUGAAACAUGUUUGCAUAUAAUAUUAGAUAUUAGAUAAGAAUACAUUUAUGUGAUAAAUACAUUAUUAGUGGAUGAUUAUGGACUCGACCAUAUGGAUGUGUUGAAUGGUUGAUUUUUAUUCUUGUUGUUUUGUGGCCAGAGAGCCCGUUAUUAUUGUUAUUGUUGUGGGCCUAUGGGCUCUUAAUCAUUUUGGACCUAUGAGUUCGUUGUUGUUAUUGUUAUUUUCGGCCUGCGAGUCCAAUUUCAUCUAGACUUGCCAACUAGUAUAGGAUACAAGUUGCAACUAGACUAAUUGAAGACACACAGAAAGGAGGAAACCAUGAAGAUGGUGCAUUGAUAUUGAUCAAUGCGAUACCCCCUAAAAAUUGACCAACUAGUCUUCAUUAUGGCUCUGGAAGACUAGAUAGUAAAGUCCAUAAUCGUCAACACUAUUACAUUACAUAUAUGUGUGUGUGUGAAAUAUAGCAUAUAUGAUAUUACGAUGAGACUUUUGAAUGCAAAAUCCCUCAAUAAAAUAUUAAGUCACAUUUAUAAUCGCCUUCUAUCAUUAUUGUGAAAAACCAGAGUUCCAAAUCGUCUUAACUUGUUGAGUACACUCAAAGCUGGUCUAUUAGGGAUAUGUUUGACACUAUGAAAUAUUUGAUAUUUCUGAAUGACGGAUUUGACAUAACUAAAAUUUAUCUUUUAUUGAGUACACUCAAUGAGAUAAAUUUUAGAGGCAUGUUAAGCUAACACAUAAGAUGUGUAAAGAUAAAGAGUUGUCGGCUUAAUAAUCUGGGAGUUGUAUGGAGAUACAAUUGAUAAUAGUAUCUACCCAAAUGUUUUAUUAAAACUUGCUGAGUGCACUCAAGGUCAUAAUAUAAUUGAUGGGAUCCCAGCCUACUGAAAGUCAAGUAUGGACUUCAUAAAUUUAUGUGAGAGGGUCAUAAAUUUUAGUUAAACAGUAGGAGCAUAAUUAAUUUAAUAAAAGUCCAUAUUAAAUUAAUUGAUGCAUUUUAUAUAUUAUUUUUUUCUUUUUGUCAUCUAAAUUUAUUGAAUCGUGAGUAACCAUAUGUUUUUAAUGGCAUACUGGAUGCCAACAACCAAACUGAAUUUUCUUGAUUGGCACUGCAAUUUGAAAAAUGUUCUCAGGCAUGAGAAAAUUGAUUAUAUCCUUGAGUAGUCUUUUCAAGAAACAUCUGUUGAUGACUCGAUUAAAGAAGAGGAGGCUACUGUAAUAAACACAGUGAUGAUGUUAGUACUGCACAUAUGUGAUGCUUGCAACUAUGUCACCUGAGUUACAAAAACAAAUUGAGAGUAUAGAUGUUAACACAUAAUUUGUUAUUGCAAAAGGUUGUAUGAUAAUAAUCAUGUAUGGAAGGAUAUGAGACUUCCAAACAAUUAUACCAAUGCAAAAUGACAAAGCAAUCUUCGAUCGGUGAUCAUGCACUGAAGAUGAUUGUCAUUAAGAGAUUGUCUCAAUAAAGUUCAAUCAUGAACUACGAACUAAGUAUUGACUUUUCUCUGCAAUCUUUGUCAGAGAGUUAUUCGUACUAAUUAUGAAUUAUGAUAUGAAUAAGUUCGAAUGCAUACCUAUUAAAUUGCUUGACAUGCUUACGACUGUUUUGCUCAAUAUCAAAGUUACAAGUAGGCAAGCCAUUGAUUCCUCUAUGGGUACUAAGAGGAAGUCUAAAGGAGCUUUGGAAAAGAGUAAAUUAUGGCUAGGACGGUCAAAGCGAGGACAAUACCAAAUCUAAUGACCAUUGUUUUCAUUAUAAAAUGAAAGGUCGUUGGAGGAAAUAUUACAAGGCUUAUGUCUACUUCACGAGUUUCUUAGGUAUUUGAUGCCAGAUAUAGAUCUCAUAUUUAUACAAAUAUGGAGAAACUAAAUAAAAGUAGACUACUGCAAAAGGGAGAAGUUCACCUACACAUUGAAGAUGAGCAAAGGUUGCUACAUUGCCUGUAGGAGCAUACUUCUUGCUGUUGCCUUUUGGCUUAGUAUUGGAAUUAGAGAAAUGUUGCUUUGUACUCACCAAGCUGGACAAUAAAAUGAUUUUCACAUUCAAACAUGAACUAUUUUAAUGUUAAGGACAAUUGUUGUUCUUGCUUAUCUUGAUUAAGAUCUUAAUAGUAACGGUAAGUUACAAAAUAACAUUUAUAUUCUAAACACUAAGCAUUCUAUAAUGAGUAUAGAAGUUAAGAGGCAUAAAAGUGAAAAUCUAAAUAAUUCCCAAAUCUGGAAUUGCAAACUUGGUCAUAUAGAUGAAAUACAAUUUCAAAAUUACACAAAAAUGUAUACAUAGAGUCAAUUGAUUUUGAAUUGUUUGACAAAUGCAAAAAUGCCUUUUUGGCACAAUGACCAGAUCUCCUUUUACUUGAAAAGGAAUAAGUCUACGUAAAUAUUGGUAUAAUACAUAGUGACGUAUAUGGACCCAUGUCAAUUAAUGUUAGAUUAGGUUUCUCUUACGUCAUCAAUUAUUAUGUAUACUUGAUGAAAUUCAAGCAUAAAGUUAUUGAAAGGUUCAACUGAUUCAAGCUAGAAGUAGAUAAACAAAUAGGUAAAAUACCCUCAUAUUAAGAUCUGAUCGAAGUGAGUAUCUUAAAGAUAAAAUUUAGAUUAUCUAAGAGAGAAUGAGAUUCUCCUCCAUAUACACUGCAACAUUGUGGAGCAUCUGAACGGAGGAAUCAUAAACUAUUAUAUAUAGUCCAAUUAAUAAUGAGCCAUGCAAAUCUCCCAAAAUCGUUUUGGAGUCAUACACUAAUUGCAGUGUGAUACACACUAAAUCAUGUCUUAUCUAAGUUGGUUAACAGAACUCCGUACGAGCUACGGAAAGGCAAUAGUCCUAACUUAUUUCAUAUGAAAGUUUGGGACCAUGAAGCUUAUUUAAAGUGCAUUGAAUCGGAUAAACUUGACCAUUUAUAUCCGAUGAAUACAUAUUUGUGGGAUAUCCAAAAUAGAUAUUUGGAUAUCAGUCUCACGACAUAUUGCUCUCUUAGAGAAAAUGUUUACUUUAGGAGAGGAUAGUGAGAGAAAAAUAGAACUUGAAAGAGUCCAUAGAUAUAGUUAACUAAGUUGAUAAAUCCGAGUUUUAUCCCAUAUCUGAUAUAGGACUUACUCUUAAUCAGGAAGCAGAGACUCCUGAGGACAUGUCAGCUCUAUGUGAGUCUAGCAGGAUCAUAUGACCUUCAAGAAGGUGAGAAUCUAUGAUUACUAAUCAGGUAUCACUGAUCUAAGAUGAUGAACCUACUAAUUGCACAAAAAUAAAGUCAAGUGUUGACUUAAAAGAGAUGGCAAGUGACCAUGAAACCUGAGAUGAACUCAACGUACGUAAACGAGGUUUAGACCUUGGUAAACCCUCUUGAUGAGAUAAACCUUAUAGGUUGUAAUUGGUUUAUAAGGAUAUGGUCGACAUGGAUGCGAAUAUCAGUAUAUACAAAGCAAGGCUAGUAGCAAAAAGUUAAGUUUUGACCUUGACGAAACCUUUCACCUAUAGUCAUGCUGAAGUUCAUUCGAAUUUUGAUUGUAAUAGUUAUAUACCAUGAUUAUGGGUUAAAAAAAUUUGGAGCUGAAAUCUUCAAUUUGAUGUAGGAUCAAAAGGUUUGAUUUUAUCAAAUAUGAAGCUGAAUUGUGUGUUUACAAGAAGAUAAUGGGAGCAUUGUUACAUUCCUAAUAUUAUAGAAAAUGACAUCCCUAUAUAUCAAUCGGUUAAAUAAUGGUUGUUAAAGGAUUUCUUCAUGAACAAUAUGGGGAAGCAACUUGAUCUAUAAAGAUAGAUUUAGAAGAUUGCUUAACUAAUCCCACUCUAUAUAGAUAAUAUCUUGAGAAGAUUUUAUAUGGAGAAAUUGGUUUACUUUUAAACGGUAUAUUGGAAAGGUUCUAAACAUUAAAUAAUCAUUGAUUCAAUAGCUAAAACCUAAUACAUGAUUGCUUCAAAAGUAGCAAAGAGUUGCGAUGUGGACCAAGAUGUUCAUUAAUGAACUUAGAGUAGUUCUUAAUAUUGUUUAUCACAUACCAUUAUAUUGUGAUGACAAUAGAGCCAUUGCGAAAGCGAUCGAGCUAAGGUCUCAUCAAUGAUCCAAACUUGUAUUAAGGUGGUACAAUCUCAUCAGAGAGAUAAUACGUAGAAAUAACUAAAGAGAAGAACGAAUUUCCACAUUUGACAAUAUUGCAGAUCUACUGAAAAAGAGUUGUCGUAGCAUAAACAUGAUCGUCAUUUAGACUCUUAGGAUAUUUGAUACAUAAGUGAUUGGAUCAAGUGCAAGUAGGAGUUUGUAAGUGUUAUGCCCUAAGUUCAAUCAAUCUUGGACAUAAAAUCUUUUAAUAUAUAAUUAAUGCAAUUUGAUGGCAGAUCUAUUAUUAUAUUAAUAUACAAUUAAAUUAAAUAAUAGAGUCCGUAGAUUUAAAUCUUCAUAAUUUGUUAAUCACAAGCAGUUGUGAUUGUGAGAUACAAAUUAUAUAUGAUUGAAUCUUAAAUCGUUCGUGGUCAUUCUCGUUAUUACAAAUAGACCAUCACGUGUGGCAUUUCAUACUUGUGAAGUAAGUAGCUGAUCUCACAAGCUAAAGUGUAGUGACACUUAAAUGAACACGUGGAUAUUUUGUUAUAGAACAAAAUAUUGAAGACGCACUGAGAGAUUCCAAAUGGAUAACUAUCUGAGUGUCAAUGGUUAAUCUCUAACGUUCAGUGGUGAAAUUAGCCUUUGACUUGAGGUCGUCAUGGUACUUUAUAUGAGGAGAGUCAUACUUUGCCGAUGUUGGAUGCUGCUCUGCUAAGGGCCACUAAUACGACAUCGUUCAGGUAUGUCAAGAGUCAUAUGAAGGUUGUGAAUGACCAAUAAAAGAUUCGUCACUCUUAGAUAGUAAGAGAUUAUGAUCUGUAUUUCAUCAAUUAAGUCGAUAACGAAAUCCUUGGCCAAGGUGUACUCAUAAGUUAAAAAGAAGUUUUCAACUUAUAUUGACUUAAUAGUGGAAUGAAAGAUAUGAUCGGUAAUCGAGAUUGACACACUUCCAUAUCCCGUAAUUGAUUGGAUCAUAAUGAUGAAGGGAUUAUAGUUUCAUGGUAAAUGAACGAGUUUGAUUUUGUCAUACCACUUGACAUUUUUCGUCACAUGUAUUGCCCUGAGACAUUGGUAGAUGUCAACCUAGGACGGCGAGUGUGAAUUGGUCAUAAUUUGAAAUGGUGUUUUAAUUUAUCAAUUUUGAUUGGAUCAAAAUAAUAUUUCACGACGUUAGGCAUCGUGAUCGAGAAUAUGAUGGGUCGUACACAAAAGAGAAUUGGAAGAUUGCAAUUUGUCAAUUAAUUAAUUUAAUAAUCGUUUAAAAAUAAAUUAAUUAAGUUGGUUAUUUAUAGACCUAAAUUAAUUUACGGACCGAAUUUAAUUAAAUGGAUUAAUUAAAUAUUGGAUCGGUCAGGCUAAGUCCAUUUGGGCUUAUAUAAAUAACUGAUUAGUGUUUACAAUUUUGUACAGAAACUCGUUCUUGCUAGCACAAGAAGAAAAUCCUAAUCCUGCAAUCUUGUUUUCUGUGUGGAUCACCAUUGGAUGCUGGAGAAUUGGACAGCUGUGGUUGGCAGAUCAAGAUUGUUGGAACGCAAGAAAAGCAAAAGAGUUUGCAAAUCUAAGAAAGAGGUACGAUCUUUUUCACAAUUUCUAUCUAAACACAAAGAGAUUCCUCAUAGGAAUCGAAAUCUGUUUUAAUUUUCCGCUGCGCCUACUAAGAAGAUUCCCAGCAUUAUAUGAUAUCAUAUCAUAUUUUAAUUUUCUUUUAAUUGUACUAGCGCAUGAUAUAAUCUAGCAUGUAAUAAUGCAAAAGAAUAAACCAAAUAAAAUCAAUUUUAUUUUUAUUCAUAUUGUUAAGAGUAAAUAAUUUGUCAAUUCCUCCAUAAGAAUAUCAUUUUCUAACACAUUUCCCAUUUCAAGGUAAUACAAGUUUUUCGAACUCGUAAACACUUUUAAUUCUCAAUUUUGCAAAUAGAUCUUCGCUUAGUAAUUUUCGAUUCAUGUCAAGAAUAUGUAAUACAUUUAUUAAGGUAGUCAUUUUUCGGAAAGUAAUGAUAUCAAUAUUUCCUUUCUCAACAACAUUGGAGCUGCUAACAUUACCCAUUUGUAUUUCUUGUUUAUUAUCCGACUGGUGAUAAGCCGAAAAGAGUGAUUUAUCAUAUGAUACAUGAAUUGUUGCACACAUAUCAUAGAACCAAUAAAGAACUUUUUUUAUAGCGUUGAUUUCACUCACCGUACCCAUAGUGUUAUCUUUAUCAAUGUGGUUUAUUUUCCACUAUUUUUUGCUUUGUUCUCAAUGCCGACAAUCUCUUGCAUAAUGUUCGAAUUUACCACACACAAAACAAUCUCCUUUAGGGUUCUUCUUUAAAUUUCCGAAGUCCUUGUUAGAAGAUUUUCUUUCGUUUGAUUUGUUGGAUUGCUCAAUCUCUUCAAUGAUAUUGACUUUUGAAGUGUCUUUGUAAGCGUUUUCACUAUUAUCACUUGGUACUAGUUGUUCUUCAAUUUGGAGAUGUUUCUGAAUUUUUUCGAAAGAAUAAUAUUCGGAGCUAUGAAGAAUUUUCUUUUGAUAUCAUUUCCAAGUCUUGAGAACUUUGCAAUGAUUGCUUCCACUUGAAAGGAUUUCAAAAAUUCUAUUUUGAUCGCCUUUAAUUUGUUGACAAGCACUUGCAAUUUAUGUACUUGGGAAGAUAGGGUAAUGUUCUUAAGAAAUUCAAAGUUGAAAUACUUUGAUAUUAGGAAUUUUAUUUUAUCUUUUUCCACAGAUUUGUUUUUAUGUUACAAUGCAUCCUAAACCUCUUUUGCUAAGAUGGUGUUGGUGUAGAUAUUGUAUAAUUUAUCCGAAAGCACAUUGAGACAUGACCCAUACAAGUUAAUUCAUCUUCUUAAUAUUAUUUUCUUUUAGCCAUUAUCGCUUCUGAGUCUUAGAUGCUGAGUUCAGUAGUGGUGUCAAUUCGGAUUAAGAAUGUAGAAGAUCUUCAAUACUAUUAGAAAGGACUUCAAUUUGUCUUUCCACUGGGUGAAGUUCGUUCCAUCAAAUCGAUCCAACUUUAUGAGGUUUUGAUUCAUGAGUUUGAUAGUAGUCAUGAUUGUCUUGUUCUAAAUAAAUAUCAUUUGGAUGUCUUAAAAAAGAAAAAAUACCUAAGCACUUGUGUUUUUCUUCCAAGAAGUUGAAGAAAACAAAAGAGUCUGAGUAAUGAAUUAGGAAAAAAACACUAUAUAAUGGAUUUUAAUUGGUGAUUAUAUGGAUUUAUAAUUGAAGUAUAUCACCUAUUUAUAGAUUUCAUAAACCAUGAAAUAGUGACUAUUCAUGAAAAUUUACUAAAAAUCAAAUUUGAAAAUCAGCCAAUAGGCUAAUAUUUUAGUGCCUGCGCAUGGGCAAAAAUUACUUUACAUUCCAAUCUCAUUCAUUUGGGCCUCGUGGUUUCCCUUGCCAAAUUCCAUCCAUUUUGAGGCCCAAUACCUUGUAUAAUUGUGAACAAAUUAUAACACUUGAGUCACCAAUUAAAAGAUAGUGUACAAUGCUUUUAUCACAAAUCUUUUAAAUUAUAACACAACAAUGACAAAGAUCUUUGCAAUAAAGACAUUCAUUUAUUCAAACUAAAGGACACAAACAUCACCGAAACUCUUCCAAAUUAAAAUAUGAAACAUUUUAGCUUAGAAACACACUAGACAAUUUCUUUAUUGAAACUUAAAAUUCUCCAAAAAGAACAAAUAUCGCUUCAAGAAUAAUAGAUAUUCUCCAUGUUCAAUAGGAACACACCCUUCUUCUUGGAAUUUUUCCAACAUUAUAUUCUUGUGGAAAGAUAACAAGAUGAUGCGAACCCCGUAGCAACAUUGACUACGAAACCCACAACGAGACUGACGAAUCCAAGAAAGCCAAAUUAAUCUAAGAGUUUAGGAUUAAUCCAAAAGAAAGUCGAACCAAAAAAUCCAACAAGAACGACGUUUGAAAUACCCCUUGAUCACGCAAUCCAAGAAUUGAAUCCGAUUGUUUGAACGCCACAAGUUAACACUUGAUAAGUUCGAAAUUGUUUAAUGAAGAAUGAUGAAGAGAAGACAAUAUGCCUCACUUUAAUUCAAUACCAAAUAUGUCAAAAGUUUUUUUUUUUUUUUUUUAACAAUUGAAUAAAAACUCCUAUUUAUACUAAACCUAAAACUAGGUAAAAAUCGUGCAAAAGUCGAGCAUAAUCCCCAAAAUAUGGAAAAGAAUCAAAAACUAACAAAAAAUGAAAAAUUGCCAAAAAUAGAAAAUUCGUAAAAAAUUUUGGCUUAUGCGACCGCGACACUUACUUCUAUGCAGUUGCAUAGUUCACACAGGUUGGCUCCUUUGAGUUUCGCUAAGCAUUCAUGCGACCGCGACCCUCAUAAGCCUAUGCGGUCGCAUAGGCUUAUCAUUUUCCUCUGUCUUCGGCCUUCGAUAUUAAAUUGAUCCAAGUUGAUUCGGCGCUCGACCCGAACAUGAAAGUUGCUCCAUUUUGAGUCCCGAACAUGGUUCCAUCAAUGGUUUCUUGAACGAGCAAUCCCAUCACUUGUUUCACUUGCUUUGCCCUUGAUCGCAUCAUUUUUCCGCCAUCGACUAUCAACGGGUCUCAUCUCGCACUUGCCUUCAUCGAGCUCGACUCCCGGGUCAUAUCAUCCCCUCCCUCUUCAAAAGGAUUCGUCCUCGAAUCUGAACCUGCAUCAAACAAAGAGAGAUCAGAUACAUUAAAAGUAGUCGAAACAUUAUACUCACCUGAAAGGUCCAACUUGUAUGCAUUAUCGUUUAUCUUUUCAAUAACUUGAAAUGGACCAUCGCUCCUCGGUUGCAACUUGGACUUCCUUUGCUCGGAAAAUCGUUCCCAAACCCAAUCUUCCUUUGUUCACCUAUGACGCAACAAAUUUACUUUUGUUUUCAAUUUGCACUUUUACCUUUUCAUGGAGUGACUUAACCAAUUCCGCAUUCUUUUUGCCAUCUAAACUACCACGUUCAUUCACAGGUAAAGGAAUUAAAUCUAAAGGAGUUAAUGGAUUAAAACCAUAUACAAUUUCAAAUGGAGAAUAUGACGUAGUAGAGUGAACAUCUCGAUUGUAUGCAAAUUUUACAAAUGGUAGACACUCCUCCCAACUCUUCAAAAUUUUAUUGAUUACUGUGCGUAACAAUUAUGUCAUGGUCCUAUUCACCACUUCGGUUUGCCCAUCCGUUUGUGGGUGACAAGUUGUGGAAAAUAGUAAUUUAGUGCCUAACUUAUCUCACAAAACUCUCCAAAAGUGACUUAAAAAUUUGACAUCCCGAUCCAACACAAUGCUUCUAGGAACCCCAUGUAAACGCACAAUCUCUUUAAAAAAUAAGUCAGCAAUGUUCGUCGCAUCGUCCGUUUUGUGACAUGGUAUAAAAUGUAUCAUUUUGCUGAACCUAUCUACAACCACAAAAAUAAAAUCCCGACCUCUCUUAGUACUAGGCAAACCCAAAACAAUGUCCAUCGAGAUAUUAACCCAAGGCUCACUAGGUGUAGAUAAAGGUGUGUACAAACCUUGAGGUAAAACCUUAGACUUAGCACUUUUACAACCUACGCAUUGACUACAAAUUCGCUCGACAUCACUUUUCAUCUUAGGCCAGUAAAAAUGCUCCUUCAAUACAUCUAAAGUCUUUUGAACCCCAAAGUGUCCCAUCAAUCCACCACUAUGUGUCUCCUUUACUAACAACUCCCGAAUAGAACAAUUAGGAACACAUAACCUAUUUUCCCAAAAUAAAUACCCCUCAUGCCUAAAGAACAUAUCAACCGCCCCUUUAAUGCAUGACAAAUAAAUAUCCGAAAAAUCAACAUCUUUUUCAUACAAUUCCUUAAUAUGUUCAAACCCAAGUAACUUAGAAUCAAGAGUAGUUAGUAAUACAUACCUUCGCGACAACGCAUCCGCCACCACAUUUUCCUUAUCUUGUUUAUACUGAAUGAUGUAUGAAAACAUCUCAAUAAAUUCCAUCCACUAUGCAUGCCUCUUAUUCAAUUUACCUUGUCCCCGCAAGUGCUUUAGUGACUCAUGAUCAGUGUGUAUUACGAACUCCUUUGGCCAUAGAUAAUGUUGCCAAGUCUCCAAAGCUCGAACAAGUACAUAAAACUCUUUGUCAUAUGUAGGAUAAUUUAAAGUAGCUCCACUCAAUUUCUCGCUGAAAUAUGCAAUAGGCCUUCGAUCCUGCAUUAAAACUGCUCCAAUCCCUAUUCCUGAUACUUCACACUCAAUUUCGAAUGUUUUUAUCAAAGUUAGGUAAUGCCAAAACAAGUGCUUCACACAAUCUACCUUUAAUAGUAUUAAAUGCAAGUUCCUGUUCAACACCCCAGUGAAAACCUACACUCUUUUUAACUACUUCUGUGAGUGGUGCAGUAAUAAUGCUAAAAUCUUUCACAAAACGCCUAUAAAAACUAGCCAAACCAUGAAAACUCCUAACUUCCAUUAUACUUUUAGGUGUCGGCCAAUCUCUAAUAGCUUUUAUCUUUUCAUCAUCUACUUCUACCUUAUUAGAACUAACCACAAAUCCAAGAAAUAUAACUCUAUCCAUACAAAAUGUGCAUUUCUUAAGAUUAGUAUAGAGUUGUUCUUUCCUUAAAACAAUUAGCACACAUUUUAAAUGUUCCAAAUGCUCUCCUAGGUUUUUGCUAUAGAUUAAGAUGCCGUCAAAAUAGACUACAAUAAAUUUUCCUAUAAAGGCACGUAAAGCAUGAUUCAUUAAGAGCAUAAAAAUACUAGGUACAUUUGUCAGUCCAAACUACAUAACCAACCAUUCAUAUAAACCAUAUUUAGCUUUAAAAGCCGUUUUUCAUUCAUCACCCUCCUGCAUACGAAUUUGAUGAUACUUGAUUUUUAAAUCAAUUUUAGAAAAUAUGCAAGCACCAUGUAAUUCAUCAAGCAUGUCAUCUAACCUAUGUAUAGGGUGACGAUAAUUUACUGUUAUGUUGUUGAUAGUUCUACAAUCCAUGCACAUUCUCCAUGUUUCAUCCUUUUUUGGUAUAAGUAAAAUUGCUACCGCACAAGGACUCAUGCUUUCCAUCACGUAUCCUUUGUUCAUCAACUCCUCCACUUGCCUUUGAAGCUCCUUAGUCUCCUCGAAAUUACUUCGAUAAGCCGGUCGAUUUGGAAUGACAGCUCCGGGUAUGAAGUCAAUUUGAUGUUCAAUGCCUCGAAUAGGCGGCAAUCCACUUGGUGCAUCCUCCGGAAAUACAUCGUCGAAUUCUUGCAACAAAGACUUAGCCAAACUAGGGAGGGGUGGGUUAGUUUCCUCAAAAUUGAGGAGUGAUUCCUUAUAAAUGAACAAGAUCAUCUCUUUUCUCUCAACUACCGCCCUCCUCUAAUCACUCUCUUUUGCAAAGAAAUUUGCUCAUGUUUUCUCUCUUCUCUCGGAAUACUCCCUUUCCUUUCUCUCUUGUGAUUUCUCUCUCCUUUUAUCUCUAGUAGCUAUCUCACCACUUUCUCUCUUUUUCUCUAACUCACCACUUUCUCUCUUUUUUUUAACUCCUUGGCUCUCCUCUCUUCCUCACUUCUUAAUUUUAGUUGGUCCUCAUAGACUUGCACCGGUGUUAAUGGCACAAGAGUAAUGGUCCUUCCAUCCUUAAUGAAACUAUAUCGAUUUUUGUGCGCAUCAUGUAUAGCCUUCUUAUCGUAUUGCCAUGGUCGCCCCAAUAAGAUAUGUCCCACUUGCAUUGGCACCACAUCACACACUAACUCAUCCUUAUAACUCCCAAUUGACAAAUUAAUUAACACUUUUCGAUUCACCCUCACCUCGCCACUCUCAUUCAACCAUUGCAAUUUAUAAGGUCACGGGUGUUUCAACAAUGUUAAACCCAACUUUUCUACAAGAGAUACGCUAGCUACAUUAGUGCAACUACCACCAUCAAUUAUAACACUACAUACAGUAUUGUUGACGUGGCAUCGAGUGUGGAAAAUAAUCUCCCGUUGCAACUCCAAGUCAUCUGCUUUGACGUGAGUAGUAAGAGCUUGUCUCGUGACUAGUAGAUCCCCCAACUGGCCCUUCAAUUUUUUCUUCUUCACUAACAUCUUCCAACGCCGGCAUGUCAUCAAACUCGCCAUCACUAUCGGUCACUAUCUUCCCAUUAUCCCGCAACACCAUUGUCCUUUUGUUUGGGCAUUGAGAAGCAAUAUGCCCUUUCCCAAACACCUAAAAUAUUUGAUGUCCCGAUUGCGCGAUGGUUGUGCCUCCAAUUUUGAUAUUAGUUUGCUAGCAUUUUCAUUCUUACCCUUUUGCCAAUCACUUUUACCUCUAGGUGCAACCCCGUUUUCGUUGUUGUUAUCCCACUUCGAUUUCCAUGUUGAAUUAGAAUUCAAAGUACCCAACGAUUGCCUAGACAUCCCCUUCCUCUUCAAUUGCCUCUCGACCUUCAUUGCCAUAUGUAACAUGUCCUUGAUUUCCACAUAGUGUUGCAACUCUACAACGUUUGCCAUAUCCCGAUUUCACCCAUUCAAGAUCCGUGCCAUGGUAGCUUCCCGAUCUUCCUCCACAUUAGCCCGAAUCAUAAGAAUUUCCAUCUCCUUGUGAUAAUCCUCUACGCUUUUCGACUCUUGAUACAAACCCUGCAAUUUUUUAUGGAUCUCCCUAUAAUAGUGACUCGGAACAGACCUCCUCCUCAUCAACGUCUUCAACUCAUCCCAAGUGCUAAUUGGCCUGUCCCGACCCCUACAUCGUGAUGUAAGUACUUGAUCCCACCAAGAUAUCGUGUAAUCCACAAAUUCAAGCACCGCCAAUUUUACUUUUUUCUCCUCCGAAUAAUUAUAGCACUCAAAAAUCAUCUCAACCUUCAUUUCCCACUCUAAAUAUGUGUCUGGAUCGCUUCUCCCCUUAAACUGCGAAAUAGUCAUUUUAGUACUCUCCAAAUUACCAUCUACUUCAUCUCCCAAGUUAUCUCUACCUCGUCUUUCCAUCCUAUCGCCCCUAUGCCUCGCUCGACCCAUAUCAAUAUCAUUUUCAUAAAAAUCAUCCUCAUCACUACGAUACUCAUUUCCUCUCCUAAAUUCACGUCUACCCGGCCCCCUAGCAUUAGACAUCUCCACUUAUCCCCGGCUAAGAUUAGCGAUUGUGGUACCUAUUUACGCCAUCCAUUCCCCUUGCUUAUCCACCUUCUCCCUAACAUCACCAAGUACCCGUUCAAACCUCCGUAUCAUGUCCUCCGAUGCACUGUUGUCAUUACCAUUUUGGCUUGAGUUAGAACCUUCUCUUUCCGACAUCAUGUCAUACAGAUUUAUAUGCCUCACAAAUAUAUCACUCGAAAACACUCAAUAUGUCUUUUUCCCUCUACUAAACUCACCACUCGGCCUUUUACCACUCAAAGUGCCCUCCAAGUACUUUAAAGAACCAAUUGAACUAAAUCAAGUGUUUUAUUGGGAAUUCAAGAAACUGAAUAAUAACAAAGAACAACGAGAGUCAAGGAAUUGAAUUUAGGUGGAAUAGAUGAUUUUUUUUGACAAGAAUAUGUGAAUAGACUCAAUAGUAAAGUGAAGAAUCGACACAAUGAAAUAGCCAAAUCACACAAUUCAAGACUUGUUUUUGUGUUGGUAGUAAAAACAAAACAAGAAAUAAUAAUAUCAAUAUUUUUUUUAUUUUACUGUACGGAUGAACAGCACUUUUUUUUUUUUACUUCUCUUGUAAAGAAAAACGAUUAAACUACCAACAACUCAAUAAUUGAAAUUGACGAUAAUUUAACGACAAAAGAAUGACAAUAGAAAUUGAGAAGAAGGAAGAAAAUAAGAAAAGACUUAACAAGUAAGGAAAAGAUAUAACCUUCAAUUAAUUUGGAGCCUUGCUCAAAUACCAACUGAUACGAACCCUGUAGUAAUGUUGACUAUGAAACCCACAACGAGAUUGACGAACCCAAAAAAGCCAAAUUAAUCCAAGAGUUUAGGAUUAAUCCAAAAGAAAGUCGAACAAAAAACCCAACAAGAACGAAGCUUGAAAAACCCCUUUAUCACGCAAUCCAAGAAUUGAAUCCGGUUGUUUGAACGCUAAGUUCGAAGUUGUUCAAUGAAGAACGAUGAAGAGAAGACAAUACGCCUCACUUUAAUUCAAUAUCAAAUAUGUCAAAAGUUUUUUUAUAAUUGAAUGAAAACUCCUAUUUAUACUAAACCUAAAAAUUAGGUAAAAAUCGUGCAAAAGUCGAGCAUAACCCCUAAAAUAUAGAAAAUAAUAAAAAACUAACAAAAUAUGGAAAAUUGCCAUAAAUAGAAAAUUCACCAAAAAUUUUGGUCUAUACGACCGCAACGCUUACUUAUAUGUGGUCGCAUAGUUCACAAGGGUUGGCUCCUUUGAGUUUUGGUAAGCAUUCAUGCGACCGAGAGCCUCAUAAGCCUAUGCUGUCGCAUAGGCUUGUCAUUUUCCUCCGUCUUCGGCCUUCGAUAUUAAAUUGAUCCAAGUUGAUUCGACCUUCGACCCGAACAUGAAAGUUGCUCUAUUUUUGAGUCCCGAACAUAGUUCCAUAAAUGGUUUCUUGAACGAGCAAUCUCAUCGCUUGUUUCACUUGCUUUGCCUUUGAUCGCAUCAUUGGUCCAUCAUUGACUAUCAACGGGUCUCGUCUCACACUUGCCUUCGUCCGACUUGACUCUCGGGUCAUAUCACAAGAGCUUAUAUCUUCAUAUAGAAGUGCUCAAGUUCCUGCAAGAUUAAACAAUACUGGGAAUCAAAAUUCACAACGAGAAUUAAUUAUUGGAGAGAGACAGAUCGAUAAAACAGCAAUAGUCACAUAUAUAAGGGAUUUCACUUGGAAAAGAAAACGUUUCAUGCUAAUGGAUUGAGGUCCAUAACCAUGGGUUACAUGAAAUGCACCAAAACAAAAGCAAGCCACACCUGAGAGAAAUAAGUGAAUUCCAAGAGUCCUACAAGUAUUAUGGUUUUGCAUUACAUUAUGUUUUUUAAAAUAUGAAUAAAUAAGAGAGGAUAGACUCAUUACUUAGUGGAAAAUGUCCCAAAUAAAUCCAACAAGUACCUAAUAAUCCCGUAUGUAUGUAUGAUGGAAUAAGAAACAUAUACAAAAGAAUGUUUAACCUGUAAUAUUCAGUUUCUAGGAGAAUACAAAAAAUAUAUACACUUAAGCUCCUACAAGAAAUUAACUUUUUCUAUUAUUUGACAUAUAAGCCAAUAUAUCGAAAAACUAGUAAACUAUUUUGAUUAUAUGAUUAAAACAUAACUUUCAGUAUUGCAUUUGAGUAUAUGAGUAUUAGCAGUCAAAAAUUGAAAUAUAAGUUAGAUAUGCUUGUUUUGAUCAAUCUUCAGAUUUUAUUUCCCAGAAUGAGUGUGGAGACAUAUAAAGGGAGGGGGGGGGGGGGGAGGGGGCAAUUNNNNNNNNNNNNNNNNNNGGGAAGGAGCAAUUUUGUUAUUCUCUUAAGUAUGCAACACAAGAUGACAUACAAUAGAUUGAGAGAAACUACUGAUGGUUAAGAAACUACUUGGUCCUGAUUUUUUCAACUUCAAUCCAUCUUUGGAUAUAAGCUCACUGACAAUUUCAAAUGUGAUUUGAGGAACUCAAUUCCUUAAUUCAUCCGGUAGAAUUCACAAUUUUUAACUGCUAAAAUGGAAAGCACAGGCAUGGAUCCUUCCUCCACCUCCCACGUCUCUAAGAAACGCAAAGUCAAGAGCUCUAACCGUUUGAGUU
rnacentral:lncRNA from 1 species